GGCAGGGAAAGGAUGGAGAUGGAUUGCUGUUAUACACGCACACGGACUCUUGGUGAACACGGUGCUUACAGAGCGGCAUAGACAGAAAAAGGGGGAGUGGGAAAGCCGCGUCUCUUUCAAAGGAAAAGCAACAGGGGAAAAGAGAGCAGGAGGAGGAGCCCGGACAGUUGCAACUGUAUGUACUGCGAGGUACUUUAAACGGUGAGAAUGGGAAAAGGAGCAAUAAGCCUGGGACGAAGGGAGGAAGAAAUCGAAUACAGGGCAGGAGUUUCAGAACUGUGAGGGAAAGGGGGUGAUGCAGGACUAUGAAAUGCGUGGCGCUGGCUUUUGUCUUGCAAUUGUCCUGCUUGUUUCGGGUUGAAGAAUUCAUCCGGUUCGCUCUCCCACCAGCGUUUUAGCAGGCUCCUUCGUUCACGUCACGGGCACAUCGUUGCCCUGGGCCCACCCCCACCCCACGUUUGCCUCGGGCCUUCCUCAGCCGCCUAUUUCGCUUCAUUGGCAAAUCCUACCCCGCUACUAGGCUGGGGGGAGCGGGCAUUGGGCCCCCAUCUCUCUUUCCAGGAAACUGAGUGCCAGAUGAGCCCGAGAAAUGUUUGCAAUAAGGAAAGCACUCGAUAAAACCGGAGGCAGGUGAAUUCGCAUAGGAAACAGAUGGAGUAAUUAGCGGCCGAGCGAGCCCUUCUGCAGUUGAACCAGCCAGCCAUACAGCCAGGCGGGCGGGCGGGCGGCUGAGGUGAAAGCGGGCCCGGCUUCGCCAAGGGGAGCUGAGGGGUGCGGCGGGAGAGAGAAAAAGGCAACUGCGCUUCCCAAAGCAAAGCGGCGGCAAGACGCCCGGGAGCUCCGAGCACCUCCUGAGCAAUGUGCAGCCAGCCGUCAGCACGAGAGAGCCGGGGAAGCCCCGGCGGGGAGAACAUUUGUCUACAAUAAGCACGAACACGAGCAAAGCCCCCCGAGAAACCUCCCCCGGGAACUCCGCCGCUUCCAUGGCGGCUCUGGCGCUGACAGGAUCCUUGAAGCCCCACGGGAAGACGUCCGUAAGAAACCGCCCGGGGCCUCGGCCUCGGUCCCCAAGGACUGAACUUUUAUUCUGUGUUUUAUUAUUAUUUCAAGCGUUUACGGCCCGCCCGGUAGCUGAAGGUCUCAGAAUAUAUUAUAACGAAACAGGGAAGGUAAUACAGUACCUACAACAAAACCAGUAAUAACUUAAAUCAUCUGGGGCGGGGAGCGUCAGGCCUAAGGGCAAAAUACGGCCCUCAAGCCUCUGUUUCUGAGCCUCAAGACUCUGCCCAGGGGCCAGGCCUGAUCCGUACUCUCCUCCUCAUGCCUCUCCUUUGCCUGAAUGGAGGAUAGACAGAUGCCUGGGACUGCAUGUUGAAACCUCUGGUUUUUGCCGUGCAAAGGUAAGAGCAGAGGCAGAUUUAGAGAAAUAUGUUUGGUGCACCCUCACUGGGCGCUGAGCCAAGAGGGCGCUGCAACAAUGAGGAACAGCGAAAGGUGAGAAUUGGGGGCGCACUGAAUUUUGGCUUGUUGCAGGAUGCCGCUGGAAUUUUACAGCGCAAAGUCUGCCACUGGUAAGAAUCAUGCCAGUUCCUCCACCCACUUUUGCACCUGCCCAUGCCUAUCACUGGCAUGUGGUCUCCUCUUGGGCUGAAUAAAGCCCCCGCACCCCACCCCACCCCACCCCUUCAGUUAUUAUUGAUGCUGCAGUCCAAAUAGCAGGAACUGAGUUUAAACACACAAAGCCCAACAUCUGGAACUGCAAGAGCGCAAACAUCAGAGAUGUUUGGUUUUUUGAAAAAUCAAUAACUUAAGAAAACUCUAUGCUCUUUCUAGGCACCUGCCUAACCCCGGUUUUACCUGGCAAUCACAGCACGUGUUCAGCUUAAAAGCCUGCACAUGUUAAGCUUGCAGGCGGGCAAGUGUGUUUUCACACAAGUCAAAGGCACUUUGAAGGAGGGCUCCCUGCUGCUGAGGGUGACGUGUUGAAUGUACAGCCAUCACUUUAAGUUAAAAGGUUUCAGUGUUGUUUUUAAAAGUGGCUUGCCCUGUUUAACUAGAAGUGACAAUAGUACAAAAGAAAUGCGAUGCCCAUUUCAAAAUCACUUGCAACUCUCUGAGGUGUACAUGGCUCCACCAUUACAUGCUUUUAAGUGGGCUGUAUUUAUUUCAGACUGCCUUCUCUUAAAGGAGGUCUCCUAGUUCUGCUGGUCUAAAAUGGAGCUGUUCUUAAAAUGCUUUUAGUAUCAUUGCUUUUGGGGGGGAAUACAUUGCUGUUUUGGUAAUGUUUUAAUUAACUACAUUAAAUAUAUAUUUCAUUAUUACGUGAGCUAACUUGUAAGUGCUAUGCCCCCAAAGGUGCUCUCUCUCUCUCUCUCUCUCUCUCUCUAAAACUGUUGGUGUCUUUCCAUCCUUUUGUAGAGUACCUCCAUUGAAUUCAAUAAGAUAAACUCCCAAAUAAAUAUGAAAUGAAUCUGGGAGCUGUUAAUGUGGAAGGAAGUUUACAUUCCAUAUCUUGUUCAGCUUUAUAAUGCAACUUUGAACUAGGCACAGUUCCUGUUUUAUAAAUGGGAAACUGGGACUGAGAGCCAAGGCUCCCAGAGUGAGCUGGAAUACAAAGUCAGAGCACUUACUGGUUGAAUGACUCUGCUCAUCCAGUGUCACAUCAGAUGUAUUGCAGGCCAGGUAGAGGCCCAGGCCUUUGGGACUGAGGUUCCUCUAUCUUCCUUUCUCAUACUGAAUUAUAACUGAUUGGGGCCUCGUGCCUCCGCAUGCAGCCUAGGAAUCUUUGUUUUGUAUUUCAGCAAUGCCGUCCCUGGGUCCGACUCUCAAUACUUAAUUGAUUGCUCACUGGGGAAAGAUGCAUUCAUCUUGACAGGUGGAAGAAAAGUGGUGUAAUGGGUCAGAGGUUUAUGGGAUGAGUGGGUAGAAACCAAUCCUGGGACUUUUCUGUCGUUGCAGCAAAGAACAGAGAAAUCAAAAUAGAGAACAACUGCCAAGCAGUUAGCAGUUAGCCCAAUGUUUCUUGAACUUUGUAAAAUUGCAUCUCCCUUAUAACUUUUCACAGAGUAAUCUAGUACAAACAUAAGAAGAGCCUGCUGGAUUAGGCUAGUGGGCCACCUAGCCCAGCAUUCUGUUCUCAUAGUAGCUUCUUGUGGGGAGCCUGAAAGCAGGACCCAAAUGCAACAGUAGUCUUCCUUCUUGUGAGUCCCAGGACCUGGUAUCCAGAUGCAAAUUGCUUCCAACAGUGGAGGUAGAGCACAUUUACUCAAAUGUUAGCCCCACUGACUGCAGUUGACUUACUCUCAGGUGUUUCAGCCCCCGCGAGAGCAGGGGAAUCCCGGCCGUGUCUUCCCGUCUUCCCGUGGCCUGCCCUAUUUAGGGCUAGUGCAGAGGGGGCUCGCCCUCUUUUCGCCGGCUAGCCCCCACGUUUUCCCACCCUCCCUCCCUGUGGGUAGGCUUUAGGUAGGUCUCUGACUUUGCUAUGGACUUUGGUCUGUCGCCGCAAGGGGCAUGGUAGGAAUUUUUCCCAAUUGGCAAUUUACAGCCAUUUGGUUUUUCGCCUACCUCGUAGCAACUCGUCACAACUCCUCAGCAUUGGCGGUUAGGCAUUGGUAAGAAGGGGUUAAGAGGAUGUGUGUGGGGGGAGGAACACCAUCACCUCCCCCAGAGAGCGAAGGGUGGUCCGAUAAAGGACUCCGGUGGGUGUGGCCCUGUCCGAAGCCUGUGGAGGUGUGGGCCAAAGGCACGCCCCCGAGCGGUGACCCGGGGAGCUCCUAGUUGACGUGCCUCAGCAGGAGACUCCCCCUCUAUGGUGUUAACCCUUCCCGUGUCUCCAGCAAAUGGGCUGGAGCCAGAUAGUCGAUAGGACCAAUGCCUAAGCCAAUGCCUCUCAUUCCUGAAUUCAAUAAAGUUGUGGCCUAAUUCGCCCAUUUAACCUUAAAUUUGGUGUCUUGUGUCUUUAUUUAUCCUGGUUGGGGGCGGGAACUCGCCACGCAAUACUGCAACCUGGAAGCUGCAUAGAGGAUAUUCACGACAGCUAUUUCAUAACAUUUCCUACUUUGCCCAGUUCGUACACUUGAACAUUUCCACCUCUCCCACCUGUAAAUCUUGCUCCUUCCUUUCAGCAAUCAUCCAUGCGUUAUGACCCACCAUUUGGAACCCCCAAGGACUGACUCUUUCAAUACCUUUUGCCAAUGAGACAUCCAAAAUGGUAAGUACUGUUUUGUUCCCACAACAUGCCCAGCUGCCCUGGUUGUCCCUUGUCUUCCUGGGCUAGGAAGAUUCCUUGCUUUGGGAAACAAUGAAGUAGUCAGCACAAAUAUAUGUAUCUCUGGGGGAAAUGCACAUUGAAGAAUAUUCAAGAACACAUGUUUUUCUACAGAAAGACACUCCUUGAUAUGCUGAUGAGAAUCUGAGAUUUUGCAAUUUUUAUGGGUAAGAACAGAAAGAAAGCCCAGCCUUCCCAUGGUGUCUAACCAGAUGCCUCUAGGAAGCGCAGGAACUGCACGUGUUCCCCUGUGACUGAUAUUCAUUCAGAUACAUGAUGUUUCUGAAGGUGGAAUAUAGCUAUCAUGACUAGUAGCUGUUGAUAGCUUUAUCCUCCAUGAAUGAUCUAAUCCCCUUUUAAAGCUAUCUAAGAGACAAGCUAGGCUUGAUCAUUAAAAUGUGUAUUUGCAUUUAAUGUGCAGGUCCAAAUAACCUCAGCUGGUAGGGGGUGAUAAUUGCUGAGAUAACAGCAGACACUAGAGGGGAACCUGUGAACCUCAGAAAAACUCCCUUUCCAAAGCUAGUGGUUGUACUGGGAGGAAAUCCCCCUCCCCCAAAUUUGUGACAAUGAGGAAUUUCCUCCAAAAGUAAAGUGAGGGUUUCUGCCCCCCCCCCUCAGGACAGCAAGGGUGGAAAGGGUUAAUGUCUUCCUCCAUGCCUGCUGUGAUGCUGCUAAAUAUCAGCCAACCCCAGUUGAUGCUAUUUGCAUUUUAAAACAAACUCAUACCUUAAAUUUGGUGCCCUUCCCCAGGACUUGCUAGGACAACAAAUUCCAUAGUUUGUAGCUAUGCACUGUAUAAAGAAGUACUUUCUUUUGGUCUGUCUUGAAAUCUCCCCCCGCUCAGGUUCAUUGGAAGACUCUUCAGGUUUUAGUAUUAUAAGGGAGAAAUUCUUUACAGUGGAGUUGUUCCAUCUUUUUGACCAUUUUGGCUGCCCUUUUUCUGCACUUUUCCCAAUUCUAUAAUACUAUUUUUUGAGUUGAAGCUCUAUGCAGUACUCCAAGUGUGGUCGCGCCAUCAAUUUGCAUAAUGGCAUUUACAAUAUUGGCAGUUUUAUUUUUCGAUCCCUUUCCUAAUGAUCCCUAGUGUUAAAUCCACCGCUUUCACAGCUGCUGUACACUGGGUUGACAUUUUCAUUGAGAAAUCUUCCAUGGCCCCAAUAUCUUUUUCCUUAUCAGCCACCACCAGCCCAGAUCUUUGCCUCUCCCAAAUCUACAGGAGGGUCAGAAGAGCCCCCAGUACAGCAUGUGGGAGGUAGAGAGGAGAUAUUGUUCUCUCUGGUGAGCAGAAGUGUGUUUGUUGAUGGAAUGAUCUCCGUAGCAUGACAUUGGAUUCUGCCCAGGUUUAGGAGUAUCCAUAUUCCUAAACCCAGGGUGACCUUAUGUGCUCUGUUUGAGGUGGCACAGGACUAUUAGGCAGAGUAUGGUAGCUGCCUGAGGCCAUGGAUGCUUGGGAAGGAGAAGUGGCAGCAAGAUAGCAUCAGAGAAUUGUAGAAUCAUAGAACUGCAGAGUUAAAAGGGACCCUGAGGGUCAUUUAGUCCAUCCCAUUGCAAUGCAGGAAUCUCAGCUAACUGCCAUUGAGGACAGGGCUGUGUGUGUAUGCAUGUGCCACGUGGCCUGCUCUGCAUUCUUUAAGUUGGCCUGCUGUCCUGUCACCAGUGUUGAAGGAAGAUUCAGCUGCCAGUCUGGUCAGCUUCUGUGCAUGGAAUGAGGGAGGUUGCUAUUUUGCCCUUAAAACAGCCAGAUAUCUUACCAGUUCUUAGAUGGGGAAACAGGAGAACAAGUUCUAAUCAAUAAGGAAUUCUUGGUGGUGUUCCUGGAUGAAAUUCAGCUUGUGGCUACAGUGCCCUCUCUGAUUACAAAUGUCCUCUGAGCUGUUACCCAACUGGUCACCUAAAUCAGCUCUCUGUGGUCUUUCUUUGCUUGUUGCCAGACUGUGCAAGCAAUGCAACUGUGAUCUUGGCUGCCAAAUAACAUCAGAAUAGAUGCAAAUAUGUUUGAUGCAAAACCUGGGUUUUCUUUGCAUGCAGUGCACACAGCCGUGAUCAGAGGGCUCACCUUAAUAUCUGGAAUCUCCUUCUGCAGUAUGUAGUGAUAGCUUGGAUGGCUUUAAAAGAGGACAGGAUGUUGGACGAGAUGAAGGUUUCAUCCAGCAGAGCUCUUUUAUGUUCUCAUUACAGCAGUGACUCCUCCUACCUUAAAGUCCUUUUCCAAAGUACUUUAUCCUGACCAGGCUCACCAAGUAUUGUUCUAAGGGCACUUUCACUUCUGCUUUCCCAAAGUCCCAGGGAGAAUUCCAGAUUUUCCUGUUAUGGUGCCCCUUGAAGAAUGCACACUGCAUCUCACAGCCCCCUGUGCAUAGAUAUAUGAGACCUGGUGUAGAGAAAUAACAGACCCCAAACAGGACAUGAGACAUGGGCUCUCUGGAAUAGCUUUUGCACAGGCUCAGAGGUGAACUGGGGCCUGAAGCGACAAGUAGAUGGUGGGGUGGGGCAGCUGCCUCAGCUCUUGUGGGCCCCCUGGGACAGGGCCUUAUGUGUGCCUGGGCAUUCCUCACCCCAGCAGGUGCUGGAUUAGCUUUGACAGAGACAUGCUGCCUCUCUUGUUCACUUUGGCAGCUCCAAGACAGGCAGCCUCACGGGGGAAAGAGUCCAGUUGUUUGUGUCUGCCUGAUAUGUCUCUUUGCGAAGGGCACCCGGCCUUGAUUUGGAGCCUGUGAAUCACAGCAAAUCCUCCCCUCCUCCCACAAUUGAAACAGCCUCCCUCUCUGUUGAACAGCCAGCAAAGUAUGUGAAUGUGUGUGCGUGGCAUGUGGCGUGUGUGUGUGUGUUGAAAUAGAUUGUUUUUUAAUGGAAAUAUCUUCAGCUUUUGGCAUUCCCUUCCAACCACUGCACUUCCUUUUCUCCCUCCACCCAGAGCUACUAAGAGUUGGUGGUUGUAGAUGCUGGUUAAUCUGGGGCUUUUAAUGGAUAUAUAAAAGCAGGAUCAAUGUUCCCCUUCCAACCUAAUCAGUUGAAGCAUCCUUCAAAGCCUGACUUUGUUGGCAAUUCUAGCCUCUGCCAGCCACGAGGUAUCCUACAAGCUCCCCCAGCUCACAAUUGUCAGGACGUGCUUCAAGGCUCUGAGUCUUUUGAUUCAAGCAGAAGGGGCCCGACCCUUUAUCCUUGGUGGCUCCAUCUCUAGAUUCCUGCCAGGUUGCCUCUGGGCUAAAGAGGAAGCAGGACCCUUUGAUCUGCAAAGUCCCAGGGAGGAUUUGCUCAGUGCUGUGGCUCCAUUGCUGCCCAGGGAAAUAGCAUUUCUCAGUGCACAAAUUUGCAUCACAUAGUAGCAGUUUUACUUUUGCAGAUUAGGAUGCUGUAUCUUUAACGUUUCAGGGUGUGUGUGUGUGUGUGUGUGUGUGUGCACAAACAAAUGCAAUAGAAGGAAGGCUUUGGAUCCAUGGGUCGCAAAAAAGAAAAAGCAUAGUGUUAAUAGAUAAACGAAGGAGAAGUGCUAAGGAGAGCUGGAGUAAUAGGAAUGAUCUACCCCAGUUCUACACAGUUUGACAACUCUAUAGGUGCUUAAAAUAGAUGCUCUUGCAAUUCCAUCCCAUGGUCUCAGAGAUCCAACUCAAUUACAGGGAAAGUGUAACCUUUUAAUGCGCUAUCUUUGCAGCAAAGCUUCCAACUCUAGGACAACAGCAGGAUUUGGGCUGUAAUGCUGCACAUACUUACCUGGGAGUAAUUCCCACUGAGCUCACUUCUAAGUAGACUUGUACAGGAUUGCACUGUAAAUGGGUUUGGGUGUAUAUGGGUGUACCUCCACUUUGGCUGCAUGCAGACAUACCUAACACUGUAGAAACAUGCUUGCCCCAUUUUGUUUAGAUUAAUGUAGUGUCUGUCUCCCCCGGAAGCAGUUCAGGGGAAGAGAAUUUAUUGAAAUAUAUUUAUUGAAAUAUUUUAAAACAUGUAUAUGCUGCUUUUCUGGGCCAAGUCUAUUCCAAUAAAAACUGCAAGUACAAAAACCAGUAUUUCUAAAAACAGAAAUAAAAUAGAUUCACAAAGAUAGAAUAGAUUCAGAACUAUAACAACAUAAUAAUAUCACAGCUUCUAUCCAGUGAGCAGCAUAAAAAAUAUUGCACAGGGAAGGCCAGGUGAAACAGUGAGUCUUUAAGGCCCUCCAAAAAGCCUGAAGUAUAGCUGCCCAGUGCUGUUCUGCUAGGAGGGAGUUCUAAAGGUGUGGAGCCGCCACAGAAAAGGCCUUCUGUCUUGUGGUCACCCAUCCUACAGACCUAGAAGGCAGGCACACCAAGAUGGCCUCCAGUUAUUUUAAUUGAUUGAUUGAUUGAUUGAUUGAUUGAUUAAGUGUACCAUGCUAUACCGUCAGAUCUCAGGGCAGUUCACAGGAUAAAAUCACAACAUAAAAGUACAAAAUACACAAUCAAAAUAAAAACAAAAAGAAUUCAAUAACACCCCCCAACACAUUUUAAACAGGCAUAGGAUGUCAAUCAGCCAAACGCCUGGUUAAAGAGGAACAAGUUGAGAUCUCAGUGUGUGGGCAGGAUGGUACAGGAACUGGCAGGUAAUUUGAAGGCAAACUGUUUAGGUUCCCUAUUGGUUGUCUGCAGACCCCAGAGGAUCCAUGUAACCCACACAGUGGGUCUGUGGGACCAUUCACAUAACAAAGACUACCGUAGAGAUAGCAACAUUUUGAAAAGUAGGGGGUUCUGCAGGCACUGGUUCAGACUCUGAGAAGCCUCCCAGAUUCCAGAAGGUGGGAAAGAAAGAUAGAACUGCAUGUUAUCAGCAUACUGGCGAUGCUGCAUCCCUGACCUUUGGAUGACUUCCCCCCCAGCAGCAUCAUGCAGAUGACUAAAAGGCAUGGGGGAGAAUAUAGAAACAACUCUCCCAGCCUCCAUAAACCAAAGGCUUUGUGGUAGAGCAAGAACCCCCCCCCCCAGCACCACCAUCUGAGGAUGCUCAUAUCAGAAGCACUGCCCAAAAAAAUGUCCUGAAGAUCCAGAUAGUUGGUAUCAAAAGUUGCUGGGAGGUCCAGAAUAGCCCUACCCCUGUUCAUUUUUUUGGCAUAAGGCCUCCAUCGGUGCAAUGGAGGCCAUUUUUUUUUCAAUGAAUCUGGGGACACUUUUCAACUUUAAUGGAUUUUGUAUGGGGACUGAUUUGUAAAUCCGGAGACUGUCCCUGGGAAACGGGGACAUCUGGUAACUUUACCAUAGCUGGGCUUGGAUGAAUUGAGAUUAAUCAGAUAACCAACAUUCUCCAUUGUGAGGCCACAACCCACUCUAAGCCCUUGCCGCCAAACGGCAGAUUUUGCAUGUUCAUAGGAGAAGCUGGCUGCACACCAUAUUGAUUUGCUUGGAGCUGGUGAUGCCACUGACCAACAUCUCCAGUCCCCCUUGAAGCUGUAUUUUUAUGCUAGUGGAUAAUGGUUCCCCUGGCUUUGCCAGUGUUAUCAUCCUAAGUCAUGGAACACUGCCCAUGCACACAACUUACAAAAUCAUGUGUAUGAUUUUUGCAUUUAUUUAUUCAAAACAUUUUUAUUCUGAAAUUUGCGUAAAAGACCCUGAUUAGUGACCUAUAAAACAUCAGUAGUAAGGUAGUCCUUGCUUACCAGUCAACAGACAUGACACAUAAGGAAGAAAGGAAGAGGAGGGAGGAGUGGGGGAAAACCAAGCUCAUGCACCAGUUCUUGAAGUUGCAGUUUAUUGCAGCAACCAACUGGAAUGCAGUGGCUGCAGCUACAUCACAGUUGAGACAGGGCCAAAGUAAGUCUCUCCACAGAGGCGAUGAAAUAGCCCUGCUUCUCCUCUGUACCCAGAUGGAAACAAUAUGAAAUGGCAGUGUAUAAAUUCUUUAUGUUCAAUUUUAAAAUGUGGCAUUCAUAAGGAUUGCACUGGUAACACUGAUAAAAGGUUCUCCCUCCUCAUAUGUGUAUAACCAGCUGUCCAUCAAUACUCCCCCAUCAUUCCUUUUGUUUACAGUGUAGCCUUUAUUUGCUAGUGACUCUGAUGGUACUAUGGAGGAGCAGAAUUGUUCAAGCCAUCUGCUCCUUUGGAAGACCUUGCGAGGUCUGGCAUGGAGGGGUCUUCCUUGCUGACAAUGGAAACGCUGGCAUUGUGGUAUUUUCUAAUAGCAGUGAAGCCACUGCACCAGCUUCUGAAGCUGCCUCUCCUCUUCUGCUGCACCUAAGGGAUUGGAGUGAAUGGCUCUCUCUCUCUCUUAAUAAUAAUAAUAAUAAUAAUAAUAAUAAUAAUAAUAAGUAAAGCUCUAUGAGAUUUGCAUUGCUAGUCCUACUGUUCAGAUAAGCUAAUAUACUCUUUGAUCCUAUGGAAAUAUGGCUAAUUUCCAUAUGUUGCAAAGGCUUUAGGGAGGGAGAGAGCAAGCACAAAGCUGGCUUUAAUACUUCAGUCAAAUCAUUUUUAGCAGGCUUGAAUUUGCAGAAGCAUAGAUUAGGACAACAUGUUUCUCUUUCUGCAACUUUUGUUCUCACCCUAAUUACAGACAAUGCACUUAAUGAUGUUGCUGCAGCUACAUCAGGCUGGCUUGCUUGAGUUCAGUGGAAGCUUGUUGCUUCUAUACUACCUGGCCUGCCUCAGCUAAGGGAGGGGUGAAAUUUUUAGAUCUCUGAAAUACUUCAAAGAAAAGAAGAAAGGGCGGGAGAGUUGAUGGCUCUGCUCCUGAUCUAUGCUUUCUCUUGCAAACGAAUCCUGUGGAAAAUCAAGGCAGCUGAAAUGAGCUCUUUUUAUAUUUUUAACAUCUGUGGUGCACACUAAAGUCAAAAGAAGACAGCAAUCCUAGCAAUGCUUACUGGGAAGUAAGUCCAAUUGAACCCAGUGGGGCUUUCGAAUAAGUAUGUUUAGAGUAGGACUGUAAAUGCUGCUCACAACCAACACAUCACACAGCCUGUCUCUUCUACAAAGUCCUCAAGUCCUGCCCUGUGAUCUCAGGCAGACUACACUUGCCCAUCUACCUCACAUUUUUUAACUGCACACAGCUACUCUCAGGUUGCCCAGGUGCUGCACCCUUUGCUUAGUUUUUGGCUAAUUACCUGCUUCUUAUUUCAUGAAAUUGUUCCCUAAAAAACAACAACAAGGAACAAUCCAUUUUAAUUCUAAAAAGGGAACCAUUCCUUGAAAGAAGGUAGAAACAGGUAGAAAGCCCAAGAGACUCUCCCACUCUUUCCCUCACUUAAGAUCAUUAAAAGCCCUUCUGGAUCAGGCCAAAGGCCCAUCUAGUCCAACAUCCUGUUCUCACAGCGGCUGACCAGAUGCCUGUGGGAAGUAGGCAAGCAGAACUUGCCUUUGCAUUUCAAGCAGCUUGCUCAAGUUGCGAGCCAAAGAGAAGGUGGAUUUCUGCACAAAGGAGGGAUGAUUCAACUGCUAGUGAAGUCGCUUCUGUAACAUUGGAAGGUGGUGGCAUCACCUUGUCCAUCAAGCAGCAAAAUGUCUUGACGGCUAACCCUGCUCAGAAGGCUGGAGUGCUCUAUUUGCAGCUUCUGCUGUUUACAGUUUCUUCAAGCUCUGUGACUGGCAUCGACCCAGUAGAACCUCCUUUAUGUUCCUUUUUAUGUUCCCUCCAAGUGUCCCUAUUUUCCAGGGAUGUCCCUGAUUUAGAGAAGCCAUUCCAGUUUUUGGAUUUGAUCCCGGAAUGUCCCACUUUUCCUUAGGGUGUUCCUAUUUUCAUUGGAGAAAUGUUGCAGGGUUUGGAGUUAUCUGACCCGAGUCAUUUGAAGGCAAUCCUAUAUAGGGUUUUAUUUUAUUUUAUUUUUAAAAAAAGUUUAAUGUUUUAUUAUGUUACUAUAUAUGUUGGAAGCUGUCCAGAGUGGCUGGGGCAACUCAGUAAGAUGUGUGGGGUUAUAAAUAGUAAAAUUAUCAUUAUGGAAUGGGAUGUUCCUAUUUUCGUCAGAGAAAUGUUGGAGGGUAUGGGAACACAAGGCCCUAUAGAUGUUGUAGUACAACACUCAUCAUCCCCAACCACUGGUCAUGCUGGCUGAGCCUGAGGGGAGCUGGAAUUAACAACAUAUUGUGGAUCACCCCUCCUUUGUGCAGAUGUCCACCUUUGCUUCUCUUUGAAAUACUGGCAACAAGAGCGGGUGCUCCACCACACUUGAAUGAAGUUGGUUAGUUAUGGGGUGAAGACCAAGCCACAAGGCACACAGCUGUGUCCUUCAACAGAAAGAUACAGUGUGGCAGAGGGAGGGAUUCAGGAGAAAUCGACCAGGAGCUGCCCCUGCUGCCCCCACCCCCUGCCACCUGAGGAGGUUGCCAUUGACUCACUCUGACUUCUGGUAGGGCUGGCCCUGCUUCUGGCAGGCUCUUCUUGUUUAGGGAUCUGUUAAGAAGCUACUGAGGGCUGGGUCAAUGAGAGAGGGGACCAGGAGCUCCAUUUGGUUUGGGUCUCAAGCUCAAAGAAGACCCAAAAUGUAGACAGGUUAAUUUGCUGACGUUUGAUAAGUUUUGCAACUUAUGCACAUCAGAACAAAAUGUGACACACACUCUCAGCUUUGAGCUGCAAAUCUGAGCAAACAAGAUGUGCUUGGGUAAAAGACUUCUUUUGUUGUGGCUGUUCUGUUAACUGAGACUGUGUAUGCAUUGCUGUUUACUCUGGCUCCAGGGCGCUUUCACUUCUGGUGUUUGAAGCUGAGUAUGCGUGAUGUUAGCCACAAUCCAUAUGUAUGCUGUAGUCUUGAGAAAUGCUCCUGUUUGACGUGUUUUUCCUCAAAUCACCUUCCAUCCAAUUUAAAAACAUAAGCCACGGUUAAGCCGAAGUGUGUACAUUUGGGACAGCUGUUGAACCUGUGCAGAUGACAGCUUCACAAACAGAAGUUCUAUGGGAGGGUGCUUGCAGGUGUGGAGAAACAAAUCAGGUGCUGUGUAUCAGGUGAUGACAUCUUCGUCCAGACUGUGGUGUGUGUGGCAAAGUGCAAGUGUGACUAGAAACGCAACAAGCAAGGAGGCAUUUUAAGCUGCAGGUGUAUACCCAGCCUGAUACAGGGUUGUAUCCAAUGAAGUCUUUCUGCAAGUACUUCUACCCUCAGGAGAGGGAGAGAAAGUCCUGUUGAGCAGGCAGAAGUCCUUGUGCUAACGGGAGGGCUUCGUUAGAUACAAGUCAACCCAUUGAUUUUGUCAUAUUAAAGAGUUUAAAAUGUUCAUAAAUAUUAAUAAGAAAUAUUGAUUCUGAUGGCACAAGAUUAGACCAUGAUUAACAUGUUCUCUCAGAUCAGCUGAUUAUAUAAACAAAUCACUCACGUUUUUUCUUUUUCGGUGCCUUGUUUUUGGGUGUUGUCAUUAAAAUAUACAUAUUAUUAUGGCUAAUGCCCUCAAAAGCUGGAAGUGGCCUGGGCUUCUCUGAACCUCUGAGAGGGCUUGCCUGAACAACUUUAAAAAUCCUUGUGUCUUCUACAUUUUUGUGGUAUUCCGGGGUUGUAGCCCAUCCUGCACUGCUUUCUAACCACAUGCAGGAUUACAGCCUUUAUGAACUCAUUUAUAUUGCUGGCCUUCAUCACUUUCAGGCUCUUUUCAGGCUUUCAGUUUUCAGCAUGAAGAAAUGCUAAACAUUUCCCAUUUGUUGCAGAAAGUCCAGACAUCUUCCCUCGAGGCGGCACUCCUGUUGCUGGAAUAUCACAUUUCCCAAGCACUCAAGCCUUAAUGUUUUUCAGUGGGAGCUCGUGGCUUUGUCCGCAGAGAGAGGACAUCAUUUGCAGCUACUGUAUGGUGUGUUUCAGAGCAGAGGGUGGGGAAACCUGUGCCCCUCCCGGAUAUGCUACACUCUAACCCCCACCACCCGUAACCAGCACGGCCAAUAGGCAGGGAUUACGGAAACUGAAGCCCUGUAACUUCUGGAAGGCACGAGGCUCCCUACUCCUGUUUUAGCACAUGAGAACUCCCUGUACAGGGCAGUAGCAGUCACCAAAAGGCCACACCCUGGCCUGGCCACUGCUGCAAUGCCACACCAUCUCAUUUGCUUUUAUUUUAUUUGAAGGUUGUGCAUUCCUCUCUCCAGCAUGGUGCACAUUUGCCCUGAUAUAUGUAUAUGCAUAUGCAUAUUUCAAGCAAUGUGAGUGGCAAUGAACUCUCCCCAUCCAUUACAACCAAACUGGAUAUUGCUCUAUUGCCCUUGAAGGGGAAAUAGCAGGACUACAGUGAAAGGACUAGUGCAGUUGAAACACACACUGAUUAAUGCAAGAAAAGGGCCCACCUAAUUCAUCAUCCUGCUUCUACGCAGUGGCCAGCCAAUGCCUCUGAAAAGCCUGUAAGUAUGGCAUGAAGGUAGCAUAUUUGUCAUUUGGCAUUCAGGGUUACACUACCUCUGGACCUGGAGGUUCCACUUAGCUAAUAACUGACAUAGACCUGUGCUCCAUUAUUUUGAAUAACCCUUUUAAAAGCCACCCGUUACCACUGUUUUUUGCUGUCACCAUCUACAGUGAUCAUGGAGCCCAAGAAAGUAAAAUCUCUCACUGCCUCCAUUUCUUCCCCUUCUAUUUGCCAGGAGGUGAUGGGACCAGUGGCCAUGAUCUUCGUUUUUUGAUGUUGAGCUUCAGACCAUAUUUUGCGCUCUCCUCUUUCACCCUCAUUAAAAGGUUCUUUAAUUCCUCCUCACUUUCUGCCAUCAAGGUUGUGUCGUCUGCAUAUUUGAGGUUGUUGAUAUUUCGGGACUUCCGGGUUAGCGAGGGACUUCCGGGUUAGCGCCAUCGGCGAAUGGCGGAGUUCCUCCGACCGGAGGAACUGGCUCCAUGGAAACUGGGUCUUCCCGCCGCGGCGAAGGUGAGAACCCGCUAGAAAUCCCAGGCGGAGGAAGCCUGGGAACGUGGGGUUCGGCAGGGCACCAGGAGCGCCUCCCCUACUCACGGAGAACCCCAUUUCGGGAUUCCAGAGUGAAGUGGGGUGAGUGGCGCGGUGCUGCGAACUGAUUGCUACUUUCACAGAGUGAAGCCGCACAGCCAUUGCCGGAGAGCGCUGACUUUUUCCUGUGGACAAUUGGAUCUAAAACAAGUACCCGUGAGUAGAAACGGAAAAUUGGAUUAAGAAAUACCCUAAUUUGGCACCGAAGCGGGAAGGUUCAAACAGGAAGUCCGCCUUCCGCUUUUUGUACAUAGACUGAAGCAAAAACCUUGUAAGCUAAAGUCUGGAAAGUCGUUAAAAAAGUCUAAAUUUCCUUCAUUUAUAACCACUAAAACCCCCUUGGAAGCAGGAGAAAAGGGGGGGGGAAUCUUUGUUUAAGCCUGCAGGAGAGGGAGUGAAGAAAGAUAAGUUUCCACCGUCUCAAACCUGGGAAGGGGGGGGGCAGAGACAGAAAUUGUUGGAGAGGUUCACUGACUGUGAAUGGAAUACUUUGACAGAUAGCUAAAGAAGAGAAAUAAACUGAUUCCAAUGUUGCCUUUUGCAUUCUAAAGAAACAAAAUAUCUGAAAUAUGAAAGUAAUUUUCCUUUGUUGGACUUGCCUUCAAAAGAUGGAUUCAAAUAGAAUUUGUCUCCUCGAGAGGGAGCUUGUGAAAUUGUUGCUGCAGUCUACUUGAGGUCUCCACAGCUGUGAGAUUAAGAUCGUGGGACCAGUCCUUUGACCUCGAAUAAAAAUGAGCUGGGAGGAAGUUUUGGUGCUUGCUUUAUGCAAGACAAGUGCUUUGUUGGAACAGAUGCAUGAGAAGAUGGAUCUGAUGAAUGAGAAAACGGAUUUGAUGACUGUUGUGGUCAAUAACUGUGGACAAAAAGGGAAUAUUGAUACAGAAACCAUUCAGGGACCAACUCAGGAACCUGUAUUGAUUGGGCAAGUGCAGAAGAUAAUGGAGGAGGUUGCGGUUGCACCUCAAAUAAUACAAAUGGAGAGACCUGAGGCCCUGCAGGAGCUUAAGCCGCUGUUUUUGAAGAUUGAAGUUGGAGUGGGCCAGGGGGAGUCUGGAGCUGAGGAGGUUCUUAACUUCGGAGGGACUUUGAAAUAUGCUCUUAAAUAUUUUUUGGAUUACAUUGAUGAUUGUGGGGAGUGGGACUGUGGGGAAUGGGCUGGUUUGAUGAAGGGAGAUGGAGAUAAUCUUGGGCUGGAACCUCCCAGAGACCUACUCCUCAAUGAGAAAGGAAAGAAAUUAAGAAAGAGACCAACAAAAGACAAGGAAAAGUGCAGGUAUAAACAAGAAGAAGAAGAUCUGCAGAAGGGACAUGGAAGAGACUUAAGAGCCUCGGACAUAAGAUUACCAGGUUGAUGGACUAGAUGGAAUGGACAGUAAGGACUGACAUGACCUGAGACCAGGAAGAAGAGACGCUGGAUGAAGAUUGGAAGAAAAUUUAUAAAGAAAACUUUUUAUUUAGGGAAUUAGCCUAAAAUUAAUGAAUAUUAGGGAAAAUGUUGGAAUGAAACUAUAUGGCUUUAGUAGAAAUGAUAUAAGGAGUUAUGUAUAAUUGAGUAUUAAGUUUCAAGCUCUAAGGUAUUUUACGGUAAGAUAAGGUUAAAUAAAUUAAGGUAAUUUGAAUAACAGAAUAUGGGGAAAGAUGGAAAGGAUUUGUUGAGUUAAUUAAUAGGUUAAAUUGUUAAGAUAAAUUAUUCAAUAAAAAUUGAGAAAGAUGGAAAGAAUUUGCUGAAAAUAACUAAUUAAACUAGAAUACAAAAAGGGAGGUGUGAGGAGGUCAAUGAAACAAGCAAAUGGAAGUUAAAGAUAUGUAACAUGGAUUUGUGUCUUUUUUUUAUCUUUUUGCUAUAUUGUUGUAUUGGUUUCUAUGCUUUGGUUUUUUUCCUUCUUUUUUAUGUAUUGUAGUGUUGUUUCCUAUUUUUUCUAUUUUUCUGUAAUUCCUUAACUUUUAAUAAAUAUUAUUUUUUUUUAAAAAAAAGAUAUUUCUUCCGGCAAUCUUAAUUCCGGUUUGGGAUUCAUCCAGUCCAGCCUUUCGCAUGAUGAAUUCUGCAUAUAAGUUUUAUUACAGCAGCCUAAUGGUACAAAUGCAGCAGCUGAUCCAUGUGCUCUUACAAGGGAAAGAAGUAACAACAAAAAAUGUAGUACAAGAGCAAGGGCACAAAGGUCAGGAGUUCAUGAGCAGCAGCAAAAAGAUUGCAUGGGCUCUACAAAGUUGUCCCAACAAGUUUCCCUGCCUACCUGUCAAGGUUUUGAGCAGAGGCAGAGAAAGCUCAGUUAUGUGCAAGAAUCCCUCUCCUGUGGGAAUUGCUGGUCUGCAUUUCUCCUGGGAUGAUGAGGGGACAAUCUCUCAUCUCUUGAUGCCCUGCCUCUCCCUGGGAUCCUUGGGCACUCCUCCUGCCUUUCCCCAGCUGGCUGGAUCCCUAAGCCUCCCACAUAAUCCUCCAUAGGAUGGGAAGGCAUAGCCUCUGGGUCUCAACCAACAGCCUUGGAGGAAACAACAUAUAAUGGCUGAAAAUUGCACUCCAGAGUUAAAACAGGUAGUUUUGAUCAUAGAAUCAUAGAGUUGGAAGGAAACACGAUGGUUACCUAGUCCAACUCACUUCAUUGCAGGAAUCUUUUGUCCAAUGUGGGGCUCAAACCCACCACCCUGAGAUUAAGAAUCUCAUGCUGUACCGGCUGAACUAUCCCUUGAGACUUUGAUGGCGGCUCCCUGUUUUUCAACCCUUUUCCAAAUAAUUCCUAAUGUUGUGUUUGCUUCCACCCCCAACACACACACAUUAAAGCAACUAAAACCAGCAGGAGAUGCACAAUAUAUGACAAUCCUGCCCGCAGGCUUACAAUCUAAUUGAAGGUGGUACACAUUAAGCGAAAGAACGCAAAAGGUAAAGAACGGUCAGCCCCAAGAAAAGCCAGGCUGAAGAAGAGAUUUGUCUUUGAGAGGUGCUGGGAAAUUAUAUUAGAGGAAGGUAGUCCGAUAUAGGAAAGCUUUCUAAUGGAAGGGUGCUGAGAGACAGGGGGGCAUUGAUGGGGCACAGAGGCAAUAAUGAGGCUUAAGUAAAAGAUUGACAUUUGGCUUGUCAGUAGAGCAAAGAACCCGGGCAGGAGCACAGAGGAGUGUUUGAAUCAUGGAGGAGAAGGCAGGGAGGCCUGUGCAAAAAUCCUCAACACUCACCUUCCACCCAACCCCACAUCAUGUCCUCCUGUAGCCUUCUGAAAAUAGGAGUUAACAUGGUGGACUGGGGCCUCCUCUGCUCCCCACUUAAUUCAAGCACUGGCAGAAGAAGAACCAGGGUGGGGUGGGGUGGGGUUUGAAAAGUAGAGGGGCGAGAUCUCAUUUGAUCACCUGGACAAAGACUUAGAAGCGGAAAAUUUCACAAACAAGCUCUGUAAAAAAAUGUUGCUUUUUGUUGGUUUCAGUCAAUCUUGUGGCAUGCAUACUAAUUUCACUAGGUACCCUCCUGUGCCAGCAUUAAGUGGAAGGGUAAGCAACGAUUCCCUCUUCAUUAUAUAAUUAUGCAUACUUCAAUCAUAUCCCUUCCUUUUGGUCUGUUUACCAAGUUGCCAUGCUAAAUGUUUUACUUUGUUCUUGUGUGGAUGGAAAAUCGAUUCAUAUACCACACUUGUCCAUAUGUCUGUGUUUGUGUGCUUGUGUACUCACCUUCCCCACCAGAUUUUUGAAAUGGGGUGACACAAGCAUUCAGUAUGGAUGCCUAUAGAUUUAUAUGCAUCCCCCUCCCCAACUGUUUUGAAUGGUUUUUUACCUUUUCCUACUAUUUCUUACUAGAUCUGUUUCCACUUUCAAUGGCAGAAGCAUAUUAUGCUGACGUCUUGCAGGAGCUAUCCAUUAAUAAUAAGAACUCUCCCUACCCCAUGGGCCCAAAAGCAUCCUCCACCAUAUGCCAUUUUCAAUUAAGGGUGCACUGAUUUGUUUCCUAAGGAUACAGGGGUUUUUUUAGCAGGUGGAGGGCAUCCAGAAAACAAUAGUAGUUGAAGGGAGGGUGAACUAUGCAAAAGUCAGUUAGGAAAGCACUGCUUCCACUAGCCGUUUUCUCCAGAAUUGUUUGCUUACUCAGUUUUUACAAAUAAUCAAGAUGAGAUCAUUGCCAAACUGUUGUACAAUGCUUGCUUUCUGUGUUGACCAACCUUUUUUCAGACUCGGUGGGUUUUUAGAAAAAUGUAAAAUGCAAUCACUGUGCCAGCCUGUCUGGGGACUGACACAGCACUAGUGAGGCUUCUCCCAGCUACUGGCCCUUUAAUUGAGGAGUGGGAAACCUCAAGCCAAAGGCUUUUCUGUCUGGCCCUUGAGGUGUUCCCCAGGCAGCAUUCAUCACCCAUGAGGCCACAAUCCUUCUCCUCAGGCCACACGCCGUGCUGGUCCUGCUUUGCACCUUCUUUGACUGUGUUUGCCUAGCUGGAAUGUGCCCUUGAGCCCCAAUCAUGCUCCUUGUUUGCCCAGGCCCUAGAAAAAGGAAAUAAGGUGUGUGUAUAAAAUAGCCAACUGCACAAAUGUAAAGUUCACAUUUGUUGCAUCAUUCCAUUUGUUGUCUCUGGUUCCACCCACCACUGACAUGUGGCCUCCAUAAGGUUAUCAGGAAGCGACUGAAAAAGUUCCGCACUCCUGCUGUCAUUAAUCAGUUCCUCAUACCUUCCAGCCACAAGCUGCUCUUCAGUUUCUUACUUGUAGCCAGAGCAAUCUCAUUGGUUGGAUGAUGAUGAUGAUGAUAAUAUUAAAUUAUUUAUAAAUAAUACAACAUUAUAUAUUAUAUAUUCAUAUUAGUAGUUUUAUUUUAUAUUUUAUUUUAUUUUAUUUUAUUUUAUUAUUUUAUUUUAUUUUACAAGCAAACAAAAAUUGGGGUGGUGGUGAUUAUGCUUACUUCCAGCCAUUGGCCAGAGGAGGAGGAGGAUCUGUGGGAAGCCCUUGAGAGACUGCAGCCCUUCCCACCUGCACAAAACAUAAUGGGCAAGGGAAAGACCAGCCUGACCUCAGCCAUUGGCUACAGAAGCAGCAGCUGCAGGGGAAAGGUUACUUGCUGGCAACAGCCACUUACCCCUGGGACUUUAGGAAUUUGAGGAAGCCUAAUCUGCUUCCAGCCAGGGGGGUGAAGGGUCCUGGGUCAGGCACAACUGCCUUGCUCUGUCGUUGUCAAAUCGGCCUCCCUCCCACGUCUUUCCUCUCCACCCUACUCUUUUGUAUGCCUUCUUAAGUUUGUAAUCUUGAGGGCACAACCUCUUUUUGUAGGAGGGAGAGAAUUGCUGUGAACUGCUUGGGGAGAUGAUAUCUGUCUGAAAAGUAGAGUAUAAUACAGUAAAUAAGUAGAUAUUCAGGGCUGUGUAGAGCCACCAUUAUAAUUCUGCUUCCAGCUGAUUGCAGAAAAGCAACACCCUCAACCUCUCUGUGAAGAGCCUUAAGACCUGUGUUCACCUUCCUGGAUUACGAUGCAACGAGGGCAUUCUUUUUUUCAAUUUGGAUUGAAGCUGGUUUGGGGGGAAAGCACAUCCAAGUACAGUAUUUCCUUUAAAAAGUGCAGGAUAAAUAUGGAUUGUGGCUAACAUCACAUGUACACUGCCUCCCGAACCAGUGCUGGGUGUGCACUGGUUGCAGAGUGCACUGAACGGGAGUGUAGAAGCACUGGAAUAUGAUAAUGGCAAUUCAGGGGGAAGUCUUGAGGCUGUAAGAAUAGAAUGACACAAUGAUUUAUUUGUUUUAUGUAAAACAUUUCUACACUGCCCUUCAGCAGUGUUUCCAGGGCAGUUUACGAAAAUGAGAUGAAAUACAAAUAAAACAUGCGUCCCUCCUUAAAGCUGCAAUCCUGAACGCAUGUAUUAGGGAGUCAGCCUCAUUAACUUCAGUGGGACUUGCUUCUGAGAAAAUAUGCAUAGGAGUGUGCUGCAGAUCUACCGUACUUUCAAGAUCAGCAAAUGAGCACUGAUCAUUCUUUCUUGCACACUUUAGAGAAGCAGAUACAUUACGUGUUUAGUAGUUCCAACUAUGUUAUACUUUUGGUGAAAUGAUCACACAAUACUUUUCUUUUAGCUGUUUUCAGAACUAACCAUUAAUUUGGAUUCUGGAAUUUGCACUGGGUUUAGUAGAGCCUUAGAAUUAUAGGUCAGUUAUGCCUAUGUUAUUUUGAUUAUCUUUCUACUUCUGUGCAAGCCAGCUGCCAAUGGUUUGGGCAGCGUAUCCACCAACCUCUGCUCUGCAUGCACACAUGCACACACAUUCACCCUACUCAUUCAUGCACACACACACACACAUUCCAUAAGCAUGUGCUUGCUUAUCUUCUCACUAGUAAAUAAACAAAAAUAACCAACCUGCACCUCUUGACCUCUUGUCAAGGUUAUUUAUUGUAUUUUGUAACCCGCUGUGUCCUUCUGAGGAAGUAAGAAAGAGCUGGGACCUGCUGGAGAAGGGUGGGUUAUAAUAAUAAUAAUAAUCAAUGCUUUUUUCUGGGGGGGAUGCAGGGGUAUGCAUACUCCUUUUUUUGAAUCUUUGUACUUUUGUCCAUUUACUGUAUUUAUUUUUCCCAAUUUGAACUUUAAAUGGUGAUUUUCUUGAGUCAAAAUGAGAGUAACCCUAAACAUUUUUUUAAAGAAAAAAGUACUACUACUACUACUAAUAAUAAUAAUAAUGAGUUCUGCAUGAAGUGACUAGGAGACAGAGUAGGCUAGACGGCACUGACAUGGUGAAAAUCUGUAGCUAACUGCCUGCACUGAUUGUUUCUUGUGACUGGUGCGGCAACAUGCAUUCUUUCGAUCCCUCAGCUGUCUAAGUCCCAACCAGUGGCUAAACGAGAAGGAUGGAGCUAAGUUUGGGUUUGAUUUGUAUGUGUGUGUUGAAAGAGAGGAAACCUUUAGAAGAAUCCUUGUAACAAACAAGUUGCGCAGGUGCAUCUCCCAUCAGGGCUCUGCUGACCAAAGAACAAGAAAAGCUGCAGCGGCGUGAGGACUGGGCUCCACUUUGCAGCACACAGUGCUGCAAAGUAUCCCUGAAUGGCCUAUGCUAAAAGGACAGUGGAGGGCAAGAAGAUUGCCUGAGUGUACUGAUGGGAGCCUCUCACACUUUCUCCCAUGUGUUGGUCUCCUGUGAUUGCUCUAUAUCACCACCUCUAGGGUCAGAGGCAGUGGACUGGGAGUCACAAGUGGGGAGAGCGGUGUUGCACUCAGGUCCUUCCUGUGGGUUUCCCAUAUGCACUUGGUUGGCCACUGUGGAAAUGGGCUUCUGGAAUAGAUAGGCCUGUGACCUGACCUGGUUCAGCAGGGCUCUUCUCAUGUUUCUUAAGACAGUUAAGAGGGAGCCGUGCGGUGUGCCCAGGCAAAAGCCGUUCUUUCUUAUCAGUCAAGUGCCAGGCCAAGGUGAGUGUCGGCUGCACAGUCUCUUCUGGUGGAGUCUCCUGGCUCGUCUGCCGGUGCCGACACUCUCACUGCUCCAGCGACACAACACAGCACCUGGCUCGUCUCCAAGUGCAAUGAUACCGGAUUAUGAGCUAGCUGUUACAAACGAGCCAGUAAUUAUCAUAAUCUGGUAAUUGAGAAAAAUCUAAUUAUGCAAAGCUAAUGGAUUUAAAGCCUUGCUUGAAAGUGUGUGCCUCUAUGUGUGUGUGUGUGGAGAGAGAGAUGGGGAGGUGGAUCACGCUGAAUCUGAGCAUUGCUAUCUGGGAGCCUGUGUCUAACGGAGGAGGCUCAUUUCCCCAUACCCAAGAAGUUGCCAUCUGCUCAGGGGUAACAAUGGGUCUUCUUCAUCAGCUUUCUCAAGCAGUCCUGGGGGGGGGGGUCGAAGGAUGGGAGGACAUAAUUCCUUUCAAAGGUGUAUAUGGGAAGCAAUUCAUAAGACAGCAUGGUCAGUCCUAAUCCUCUUGCAACCCCCCAUAAGUUGUUAGUAAUUGAAUCAUCCAUCCACACCCUCAUCCCCAGAACGUGAGUGUGAAUGAGCAGCAGGUUAAACUGUGGCCAAAGGGAGUAUGGGAAGGUGAGACGCAGUUAUUGAAAACAGCGUCUGUGAACAGUGGUACUGUAUUAGGGCAGAAGUCCAGGCUACCACUCAGCCCACUCAGCAGGAGGGCUCCCAAACACAGCUGACCAUUUGAACAUUUGAAAGUGUGAAAUAGUAGACAUUGCCAUCUAAAAAAAGGGAAACCCCUCUGCCCUCCAAUACAACCAUUGCAUCCAUUAUCUAAAGCAGGCCCUUGGACUCCAACUCCCAUCAGCCCCAGCCAGUAAGACCAAUGACCAAGGAUAAUGGGAACUGAAGUCCCUCAACAUCUGGAAGAUCACAGGUUCCCCAUCCCUGGUCUAAAAUUCCCUCACUGAAGCACUGUCAGUGAAGUGGGUGUAUGGUUGGCAGAAUGGGCAAAUGGUGUGGGGACAGUGACUGGCACCCUUGAGUGUGGGGGGGAUGACUCCAGAAAUUGCAGCCCUUGUCCAGCCCUGCCUCUCUCCCAGGAGACUGCAUUAAAGGAUCCAGGUAAAUCUGGCUUUCUCCCUGAUCUGCCUCAGCAUGCCUGCACUGUAUAAUUCUAUCUCUGUUUAAAUACUUUUCCUCUCAAAAGCUUUUAGCUGUUCUUUCCCAUCUCUCUCCUAGGAGACGUUCCUUUACCCCCCACCAGCUCCUAGUUCAAAUCAAUUACCCUUCACCCAUCAAGUGAAAGCUUGUUUGUUCAUUCAAUUACGGUAUAUGUCUAGUCCACUGUGAACUAAAUCAAAUAUUCAUGCCUUCUACUUUCCUUUAUAAUCUCCAUACUCUGAGUAAGAUUCCCAGGUUCAUACCCUCAUUUCUGGGUCCCUCUAAACUGAUGCAGUGAGACAUGUGUUUGGGGCUGUUGGCAACCCACCCUUUCAAUUUUUAACCAUCAUCAUAUGCAGAGUAGACUGUCCAGAGCAGACUUUGCUCUCUAGAUGUUUUGGUGUACAACUUCCAUCAACCUGGGCUGGUGUAGAGGUCACAUCUAGAGGGCACAGGUUGGCAAACCCUGAUCCAAUGAAUCCGGAUUUCUCUCCGAAGCAUUUUAAACCCUGCUGUGAUUACUCCCAAACCCCCUCCCUCUUUUUUUUUUAAGAGAGAGCCCUGCCCAGGCAUUCCCUAGUCACCACAACUGUGGCUGUCAGUUUGAAUGAGCAUGCAUUAAUCUGCAACAGUUAGAAGGGAUUUCUUCAUGUCUAAAAUUGAGGGACUGAAUCUAUUUCACCCCCAAGCUUGAAAACAUCUGUCCACAGCAGCCUAUACUUACCCAUAUAUGUUUUCAUGCCUUUCUUAAACCUUAACACAGGCCACAUAUUGACCUCGGCCCCAUCUGCACUAUACAUUAAAGAAAUAUCCUGCCACUUUAAACAGCCAUGGCUUACCCCAAAAGAAUCCUGGGAACUGUUGUUAUGUAAGGGUGCUGAGAGUCGUUAGGAGACCCUUACCCCUCUCACAGAGGUACAGAUUGCAGAGUUCCCUGGAAAGAGGGAUUGACUGUUAAACCACUCUUGAGAAUUGUAACUCUUUGUAGGGGGGACUAGGUGCCUUCUGACAACUCAGCAAACCACAGUUCCCAGGAUUCUUCGUGUGUGUGGGUGUGUGAAACUAUGACUUUUUAAAGGCAGGAUUCAGCUUUAAAUGUCUAAUGCAGCUGGGGCCCUAGAAAGGCUGCUGGGGACCCACACUCCUGACACUUUUCCACAGGGGCUGCUAUGAACAGGGCUAUAAGCUGCCUAAGUUCUGAAGAGGUCAGUGGGUGGGCAUGGAUGUGCUUAAGGGGACAACUUCAGAACUUCAGGGUGUAAUUUGUAGAGUUGUGCCAUUCACCUGAGUCCUGGCCUGCUCAUUAGAAUCCCUCAGGCUGAUGCUCAUAGCCCUAAGGGUAGGUAGGGCUCACACAGAAGUUUUAUUUUUAGGUAUUUAUAACAUUUCUUUUACAAAUUCCUUCCCAGGAAACAUCCCAAAGUGAUUUAGCAAAAACAUGUAUAAGAACAAUUUGAAAUGUUAGUUCAAAAGCAGACUGGAAUAAUAAUAAUAAAAACUCUACUUAAAAUGCUUGUUGAAAAGACUAAGGUCUUCAGUGAGCCUAAGAGACAACAGAGGUGGUACCUGUCUGGCAUGUAACAGGAAGGAGUUUCAAAGGGCAGGUGUAGCCACACUAAAGGUCUAAUUCUGACAUCCUAGGGAGGGGACCUUCUGGUGAGAUGGCAUCAGCAGGAGGCCUUCUUUUGCAGAGCACAGUGAUUUGGGUAUCUAAGGGGUGAGACGAUGUUUUGGGUAUCCUCACCUCAAGCUGUAUAAGGCUUUGUAUAUCAAUACCAGAAUCCUGAAUUUUGCGUUGUAGCUGAUUGACAGCCAGUGCAAUCAUUUCAGUUGCAGCACAACAUGGUGGCGACAUUCUGCCCCAUGAGCUGCUGCAUUUUGCCUGCAGGCCCACCUUGGUUGGUUGGUCCCAACUCCUUCCUGAUUAUGGGCAUAUGGCCCAGGAGGCCAUUACCUUUCCCCCUUCCAACUCAAGUAUUUAUUUUCCAUUAUACACAACCACACUGAAAAGAAGCAGAACGACCUAGCCCUCCAUUCUCCGUGCUGGACUGUUCUUCAAGGGCUGGAUAUGUUUGCUUACCUGCCCUGUUCACUAAGUGCUGGAGUGAAUCAAUGAUGCCUCAGGCUAAUUAGCAGCCCCAGUCCCAGGAGACAGAGAUGGACUCAGCCUGCGGUUUGCGAGGGACGCAUUUGCUCCCCCUCAUCUGGCACAGGCUCUUCCGGGAUCCGGCAGUGCUAAUUGCCCUGGAUGAACAUGUUUACUGUCUUUCAGCUCCCAGGAGGGGCCCUAGGCAAGGCAUGAGGCCAAGCUCCUCCCCACCCCGUGGCUGUUAAUACUACGCUGCUGUAAGUGAGCCCUGUCGUUAGACAGAGAGGGCAGCUGCAACACUCAACAGCCCAUCCAAACUCCAGAGCUUUCUGAUUCUUAACUGCAUGCCUUUGAGGGGCUUGUACCUAUCCUUUAUUUUCAAGAGGGCACUGCAAGUAUGCCAGGGCCUACAUGGACAGAGGAGAUACCCUCCUGGCACAGUUGCUCCCCUCUGCCCAAAGCAGUCCGGCAUACUGAGGAGGUAUCCCAUGUGAUACACCCACCCACUUCUGCCCCCAGCCUGGAAGCGUUUGCCAGGAGUUCAACGCUCCAUGGCAUCAGCCACAUCUUCCGCCAUGGGUGCAACACAGGCCGCAAAUUUCUGUGGACCGUGGCCUUCCUGGGCUCCCUUGGCUUCCUCAUCCACGUCUAUGCAGACCGAGUGGAUUUCUACUUUCAGUAUCCUCAUGACACCACGCUGGAAGAAGAGACCCUCCCCAGUCUGACUUUCCCAGCGAUCACCAUCUGCAAUCUCAACCCUCUUCGCUUUUCCCAACUCUCUGGCCAUGACCUCUACUGGGCUGGAGAGUACCUGGGCUUCCUGGAUGGCGAUGACAAGAUUGCUGUGUCCAAGGGCGAGGACGGGGACAUUUGGGAGGUGCUAAGUAAGAAGCUAAUGCAGAGCAAGGGGGAAAGGAACCUCCCGUUCAACUUCACAGAGCUCCAUGACCGCGCUGGGCACCAGAUGGACCAGAUGCUGGUUCUGUGCAGCUUCGGCAAUGAGUCGUGCAAUGCCAGUGACUUCGAAACAGUGAGUCUACUGCCACAUCGCUGGUCUGUUGAGGAUAGUGGGAACACCUCAUGGUGAUCAUGGAAUGGGUAGCAUGGGUUCUUAGCUAAGCUAGGGACAAGCAAAUAACUGGUAAUUCUGUUCCUUCUCUUAAAUCAGGGCUGAGGAACCUGUGGCCUGCCCAGUGUUGCCGUACAACAACUCCUAUCAUCCCUGACCAUUGGCCGUGCAAGCUGGGGCAUGUGAGAGUUGGAAGGGCCACAGCUUCCUCAUCACUGUAUUGAGGGGAGAAUUUGAUCCACACCAAACCUUUCAAAUGACUGAAAUGCCAUAUUCAGGCCAAGCUCUUUUUUAAAAGCUCACUAGUCUCUCCUAGGCCAGUGCUCCUCUCACAAACCGGAACUAAGUUCUCUUGUUAACCCUUGUUUGUGUUCUCUGUAGCCUGUGGCCAUUGCGGGGAUCAGGCACAUUUCCCUAUAAUCGCUAGCUAAUGAAACAUGCCGGACUCUAGUCACUCUGAGGUUGUAUCUUUAAAGUGUUCUUCCAGUGCCAGGGGGUAACCAUGCAGAUCACUUCUGCCUCCAUCUCCUUUUGGCUACAUAGAUAUUGCUGUUUAGGAUUUCACUCAGAAAAGGCUUCAAAACCUCAGAUUUCUGACCCUGGCCUUAGAGAGAACCUGCAUUACUUUUCUCAUCUCACUGGGAAACAAUAUUUGAUGCUGCAAGUCAUUCUUUGGGUAGGGGGUUGUGAAGAGUUGUUCUAGUAUGACAAUGAAUCUGAACAUUCUUGGAUCCUGGUUCUGUUCACAGUGAUAGGCAAUAACAGCAGAGCGGCAGGGAGUGGGGUCUGUGUUUGGUUUUCAGUAAUGGGCUUUGCAGUAGUGGGAAGAACAGACUGCUUUGGCUGGGAUGAGCCAAGGGUCCUGUGUCUUGAUGUGGGAAGAAACUUCAUGGCAUGCUUAGAUACUCCAGGCUAUACACUGUGAGCAAAGUCUUUUUUCAGAGUUUGGGCCCACAGAUUGUGGGGAACCACUUCCUUUCAUCCUAGCGAAACAAUUAGUGUUUUUAAUAUUCUGUUGGGAGCCACACAGAGUCACUGGGAAAACCCAGCCAGAUGGGUGGGGUAUAAAUAAUAAAUUCUUAUUAUUACAUUAUUAUUAUUAACUAAAUCUGGAAAGGGUUCAGACUCAUUUGGGAUCCUAAAACUGAGAAUCUUCAGCUCCAUGACUUCGCAAGAGAUCUAGGGAAGGGGAUACUGUGCUUCAUGCCCUAGCAUCAGCCUUCCAGCUACUAAGACAAGGGGUGGGAAACCUUUUUUUCAGCUUAAUGGCCACAUUUAGGGGUAUGAUUUGCUGGCGAUGCAAAGGGCCAGAGUAAAAAAACGGGCAGAACAAUACAUAUGACUUACUUUUGGACAGUAGACUACGGCUGUGUACACCCUAUGCCUUAAAAACACAUGCAAACUACGUUUCACCCCUCAAAGAAUUCUGGGCACUGUAGUUUACUGCUCACCAGCCAAAGUGGCAGGAAAAAGGCAAUAUUAUUCAAGCAGUAUUAUUAUUGCUGAGCCACCCGCUCCAGAAAGAAGGGCAAGAAGCCCAAGGAAGUAGUCCUGGGUGUGAUGGAUCUCCUUGCCUUGUCCGCCUCUUCUGCCUGGGUUGGCCCUGGGAGCUCCUCAUUGCCACCUGUGUUCUAUCCCUUAGUGCUGACACUGGAGCAAGGAUGUGUCUGUGUUCCUUUGGAUAAAUGGUAGGUGUCUGCCUCCUGCUAUCUUCCUUCCCAUUUGGAUGAGACUCUCCCCCCCCAUAAAAUGGAAUUAAGUUCUCUCUCCCCCCCCUUAAAAUGGAAUUAAGUGUUCUCUCUCUCUCUCUCUCUCUCUCUCUCUCUCUCUCUGUGUGUGUGUGUGUGUGUGUGUGUGUGUGUGUGUGGAGAAGGACUUGAUCUGGCCCUGCAGGCAGCCACAGCCUGCUGCAAAACAGCCGUUUCAUUAUCUCUGCUUGCAAAAUCAAGAAUGCUUUGGAAGGUGCAAAUCUUCGCCAGCAUCCGCCAGCCCCCUUCCCAGCUUCCUGCCAAUCAGCACUCCAGGUCAGUUAGGCACCACUGGUAUGGAUUGUGGCAUAGCCUCCUUGGCCAUUUCUACUGCACACCCCUUCGUUUUGGGUUUGGUGUAUAUAGAUACACCUUUAAAAUGGGUUCGCACUUUUUUCUUCCGUUACAACAUAGUUAGUAGAUGUGCUUAGCUAAUCAAAUGAAAGCCUCUGAUAUCUGUCUUGUUCUAACCCCCAGUCUUCAGGUGAAUGUUCUACUUUUUUUCUUUAAAGCACAGCAUGAACAUUUAGUCAGGGAAACAAAUUUUUGUCAUUUUGCUGUUUGUUUGUUUGUUUGUUUGUUUGUUUGUUUGUUUCUAAGGAAAAAUCAAUUUUAAAAAGAGUUUCAAAGCUGUUUCAGGGAGGAGGGGCAGUGGGUUUGUGACAUCACAGGGCCAACCAAUCCACUCUGUUCAUGGCCAGAUUCUUCUGAAAAGUGGCUGAGAUCAAUCCGAGUCAAGGAAAUGUACUUUUAUAUUACACAAUAUGAUAUGCAAACUUCCACAGCAAGUUGACCACUCAAAUAUGCAGUUUUUGAGUUGGAUGUGGAUACCGGCUGGGUCAGAUUGAGAUAGCACCAGAUUGCCCUGGGCCAGCCCACCCAGGUCAAUCCAGGGCUGUCAGAAGGUGGAACAGCUGGGCAGGGGGAGGGAGGAAGUAGAGGAAGGCAGCCUCUACAGCUUUAAAGAACAACAUGGGGCUGUUCGCAAAAGGGCUUUUAAAAAGCUCCACACUGUCCCUUGGCUGUGCAUGGCUGUUCUCAGCAAGGGAACACACACACAACCCUAAAGUUUGACUAUCUGCUUAUAUCCUUCUUGCAAAGUACUGAAGGGUAAGAGACAUUCUUAAGGGCAGGUAUAGGAUGUGGUUCUGCAUAUUCUAUCUGCAUAUAGAAUGGAACAUCGUCUAUCCUGACACUGGGGGCAGUUGGGCUAAGGUGUGGUUGUGACUGUUUUGUGUGAACGUGUCUUUAAAUGGUACAUCCGAGUUGCCUCUUUUCUAGACAUCAGAGUGCAGCGGUUCUUCUUCUUCAGGGUAACUUUGUGAGCUACAAAUCAGGGGCUUGAACACUUGGCAAAUGGCAGGGAGCUGGCAGAGCUUAGGAGGGCCUGGUGACAUGGGUGCAUAUCAAUGUGGCCAACUAAGUGUUGGAAAUGUUAGGAUGCAACUUAGCUUGUUGAGGGAUUUGCAUGGGAUUGAAGCAGGAAGAAAAGGGAUUCUCUGAGAUUCCUAAAUUGCCUUACUGUCCUUUUAUCUCUAUGCUGACCUUUCCUUGAUGCUAGACUGAUAUUCUCAGGUUGCAGCACUUGCUUCCUGCCUCUCUUACUCUUCUCUCUCUGACUUUCUUGGAGAGAGGUCAUCUUGCGAUGUAUCUCUGCUGAGUGCAAGGACCAAGCAGGACUCCAUUGCAUCUCAAACUUAGCUGUAACUAAUAACUCUUUUCUAUUCUAGUAUGCAUAUCCUGUAAUAAACCUAAGCUUUCUUAUUUUCCAUACCAACUGUCUCUAAGUGUGUGAUUGCAACUAAAGUAAGCCUGCUCUGCCAGCAAGGAUUCAACACACAGACAGCUUUCAAGCUGUGUGCUAACUCUGCAAAGUAAUUCAGCAGUGAGGGCAGGCAGAAAUCUUCUCUUCCCUCCCUCUCUCCCCCCCCCCAGCUUAUCUCUUAAAGGGCUUUUUGGGGCUGGUACAGUACUUUCAACUGCAUGGGGAUUUUUUUUACCCCUAAACAGCACAGGCAUGUUAUCUCCCCUCCCCUGCAGUCCAUUCUACACUUUGCCUGAAUUUAGGGCUGUUUUUUCUAUAUACUGACCCAUUCGUAUCGAAAUUUGGAUCUCAUUCAGGUAUGGGUUUAAGCUGGGUUUGAAGGGUUAAGCUGGAAUGGAAGCUUUGGUCACUUUUCUCUGUGAAGGGAGCUCUUGCUCCUCAGGCUUGGCGGCAAAGCUGCGAUGACUGCGAGCUUUCCUUGGGGCUGUGAUCUAGGGUCAUCAAGUCCAGGAUCUUGCACCUUUAAGAAUGCCCCCAGCUCUGGCUUUCCUUCAUCACACAGAUCAUGGGGUGGGAUGUGGGUGUGCGCAGUGUGUAUGCAUGAGAGCCCUGUUUCCCAGGUUCUGGGAAAGACAUAUGGCAAGACUCGCUGCUGGGCAGUGGAGACAGCGGCUGCUGCAAGCCGAAACUCAGAGCCCUUGUGGCUGGUGGCUGCUGUGUGUUCAGUGGCUCGGAGCUAUGCACAGGAAGAGCCUUAAUUCAGUGUGACGGCUCCACUCAUUGCGAUAAUGAGAACAAAGUGAGGCUGCCGUGUGGUACAGUGCACAGGUGUCAGCCGGCUGGCGCUCAUCGCAUCCCAGCGCUUCAGAGGCAAAGCAAAGGCUGUGGUGUGUGUAAGGGGCGAUCAGCAGUUAUUUUGGGCGAUCAGCAUCUAAGGCAGGAAUCAUCCUCUGAAAAACAAUUGGUCUUUAAGCCAGGAGGACCCCGGGAUAACAUCACCAGCCAUAAUGUUUUCCUAAGGGCUCAGCUACAAGGAAUCUGGUGUGCUCAGGCUGACAGGCAUGAUUCAGCUGGCACUGACUCUGAGUCCUGGCACAAAAGGGAACAGUGCCAUCAGACCCCUGACGCACAGCAUACCCCAUGUUGCCAUUUCAGCACUGACCCAGAUGGAACCCCUCAGCACGUCGCAAACCUGUUGAUGCCACAUCCAUAUUCACGCAUGCGGGUGCUGCCUUUCUCACAGCAUUAGUCCAGGAACAUUUCCGGGAUGGAGCCGCAGAGAACUUGCCAGCUUGAUGGUGCUACUGCCAAAUAUGAAAGAAAAGGGCACUGCCAGUCUGUUGCUGCGAAGUCUGACUUGGUGGGACACACAUCAGAAGGUGGAAAUUGGGGGGGGGGGGAUGAACAUGAAAGUGUCCUUAUGAACUUCCAGUGCCUGUGGAAAGAAACACUUGCUUAUACAUCUUGCUGCCAGGAAUGGUGUAUUUUCAUGUCAGCCCCUCUCCUGCCCCCUUUGCCACACAACCAGGCACCUGUCAGGCUGCUAGGAAAGUGACCCUCUUCCCUUCACCACUGGCUUCCCAGAGAAGCUGCCAGGGCAGGAGGAAAAAGGAGGAAGGGCCCCUGCUCAAAGUGCGUAAUAACCGAGAAAGGAGUCCCACAUCCUGCCCCCUCCUCUGCCUGCCUUUCCAGAGUCAAUGGGGCGAGGAUUAUGAGCCAUAAAGCUAGUGAUCAAUGGAUGCUGAUGGGAAUGUUUCCGGUGAAUAAAGCUGGCACCUGGGAGAAAGGAAUGGCUCUGUUUCUUUCUCUCUCUCUCUCUCUCUCUCUCUCUCUCUCUCUCUCUCACACACACACACACACACACAGCACCAUUUCACUAAGGGAAGGUGGAAUAUGGCAAGGCUGGUGGGUAUUGCAGGGUUAGACCAGAGGAGGGUAGAAGCAUGGAAGGCCUUUGCAAUGGAGACCUAUGUCGGUGCCUGCACCUGAAGAGGGAGGAAAGAAUGUAAGUAAUAUGAUUUAUCCCGCUGAGGUGCUCUGGUACCACGGGUCAAAAUAAAGGUGAUUGCCACACAGCAUAGGAAACCUGCCACACUGAAUGCAAUUUGCUAAAAUAGAUCCCUCUGGGACAUUGUGCUUGUAGUGUCUUUGGAGCAACUUCCUAGAGAAUGUCUGUGUGGGACAUUCCUCAUGCCCCAGGCUUGUAUACUUCUGGCUAGCAGACAAAGAAGGUCUGAUGUGGCAAGGGUCUGCUAUGCAGAGAAGUGUGGAAGACAUGAUGGGUUGUGUGUGUGGCUAAUGGCUGGGUAGUUGAUGUAAACUGGUCAGCUUUAUGGAGCCUUGGCCAUGUAGAAACAGGGUCCAUAUAUCUUGGCCCACAUGAUCCUGAAAAACAUUCCCUCCUGUUGACAGUUCAGAGGCAUGAUUCCACAUAAUCCAGUCUACAGUCUGUGACAUUGCUCUGUGUAAAACUUAAGCUGAAAAAAGUGAAGGCUUAUGCCACAAUAAAUCUGCUAUCCUUUAAGAGGGCACAAAACUCUUUGUCGGUUUGGUUCAGCUGGUGUUGAAUGGGAAGCAAAUCCCCAGCCACUUGGGCCUCACAGUCGUAAACGCAGUCCCUAGUUAGGGUGGUGGAGGUGAUAGCAAGGCAAGCAGGAGGGCUGAUUGAAGGGGGCUCUUUGAGGAAGGGCUUUAUCUCAGGUUGGUGACAGUUAGAUACCUUGGAGAGUGGUGACAUGCUUUAUGUCCUUCAUAAAAGCAACAAGGGCACCUGUGUUUUUGUGUUUGUGAUACCUUAAAAGCUAACAAAUUUAUUGUGUCAGAGGCUUUGGUAGGCCGGAGCCCAUUUCAGCAGCUUCGUGAAGCACUACCUACAGUGGACAGUUUUCAUCUCUCUCUCUCUCUCUCUCUCUCUCUCUCUCCACACAUAUAUAUGUGGGUCCAGACAGAUGCGUUGGGACAGUGACAUUACAGACUGAAGCUGGAAGGCCUAGCAGUGUUUGAGGGGGGUUGUCAUUUCAGAGCAAACCCAAAAUGGGAUCCACAAACAGAGUGAACAGAAUUAGAAUAAGUAGGUGUGCCCCACUCCCAACUGGCAUAGUGAGGUGAAUGGCAUACUGCAAGUGUGGAGAGCUUUUCUAUCUGUUUAGGGCUGCUUUCCCUCAGGGUCAGCCUGUUAGGGCUUUGCAUUCGAGUGGUGGGCAGAAGCAGGGCCAAAGGUAGAAAGAGCCAGAGACAGUGGACAGGAGAGAGCAGAAACACCUUAAGGAGUACAAUCAGUUUGCAUACACACCAUACAUUUAAAGCAACCCCGCCCCCGCCGCCUGAUAAUCCUGGGAACUGUACUUUACCCUUCACAGAGCUACAAUUCCCAGCCCCCUUUAACAAACUACAUUUCCCAGGAUUCAGGAUGAGUGGGUGAGCUUUAAAUGUAUGGUGUAUAUGCAGCCUUGCUUCCUGUAAUGGGUUGGUCAACCCCAUCUUUACUGAGCUAAGGUCUGAUAGUAUCAAAUCAACAAACAAAUGCCUACUGCUUUACUGCUGGAAUCCUUUCUGUUGAAUUAGUGACUUUCAAGGCUCUUGCAGAAUGUCCAGGAAGACUGAAGUGUUCCACAACAAAUUUCCUUCAUGUUUAUUCAAGUCCACUCUGCCUAACAAGCUUGGUGGGCGAAUGAGGCCUCUAAGCCAUUGCUGACCCAGAGAUUGCUCCUCUCCUCCCUCCAGUACGCAGCAAAUGAACAGAAAGGAGCUGGGUGGCACUCACAAAUCCCCUGAAAUCCGAACACAAUCUUAUUAAGAACCACUUAAGAGGUAUCGCAGUGAGCUGUGAUUCAAGCAAUCGCAGGCUCAUCACCUUGACAGAGCCUGCCUUCCACACAGCCCUAAUGGUGCCAGCAUGGUCCAAAUAGCAGCUCAUUCCCAAGGCCAACUCAUGCCAUCAGCAUUGUCUCCAGCUCCCUGCAGUUGAUUACAACAAUCAUAAAGCUCUGGGGAGAGGAAGGUGGGAGAGAGGAAUGACUCAGUGAUGUCCCCUCCCCCACCUGCCCCAGCAGUUUUCAUAGAAAAAUAAUUUAAGGGAGGGGAAGUUAACAGGUUGCUCACCCAUUUCUGGUUGUGUGAAGGGUGUGUGCUACACACUACUGGAGGAAGUUCCAAUUUUUUCACUGCAAGGGCUGCAUCUGUCCAAAGGCCUGUGUGGGAAAGAACGUCAGUACUUCAGCUGCUAGGCACAGAGCUAUGAAUUCCUGUGUGAGCAUAAGUGUUAUAACAUUUACACAUCUUUACUCAGGCACUGCUCAGGCAUUGCUCAGUGGUGGCAGUUAGGAAAUGCAGCAUGCCCAUUUAUCUGCCCCAUUUAUCUGUGCCACAACUGGCCCCUUCUGCCUUGCUUAGCAACAUAGGAGCAUAGGUAGCUUAGUCAGGUCAGUGGUGCUGCUGUCCAAAUCACCUGGCGAGCAUCACGUUGGGGGUGGUUGCUUAUACAUUGGCAUAGAACAGCCUUCUCUAACUUGAUGAUCCUCAGCUGUUUUGGACCACAGUUCCCAUCAGCACCAACCAACUCUAUGAUACCAACUCAGACUCGGCUAGGAGUCUGGAUGGUGUGAAGAAAUCUUGGCAUUGAGCUGGCUGGUUUCAGAACACACAGGCACCAUUCCCCUUCUUCCAUACAUUCUGAAGCCCCAAAAUGGUGAGGAGUGGGAGGGACUUGCUUCAGAGCAGUUUGUGGCCCCAUCCCGUUCCUCAGAGUGCAGGCAUUUGGCACUGACAUGCUCCCAACAUGCCACGGUGCUUUCUCCAGAGCAUGUCCAGGCUCUGACAGGUAAAUACCAGGCUAUUUUUAGCCGCUCCCCCUGCUGCGUGCUGCAGCUGUUCCUUUCAUUCAGAUGAACAGAUUUACCUCAAUUUCACGUCCCACUGAGGCACAAGCCUAAUCUCCCUGAAAUUAACCUUUCCUGCUUCCCAGAAUACCUGUCCCCUGGGCCAGGCCACUUGGGAUCAGGGACUAAUCUCCUAGUAAUGAGCCAGAACCAAAGCUGACUGUCCCUAUAUUCGCUGGGGCAUGCCUGACAGCUCUGCCAGGGGAGUCACUUCCUUGACCAUUGCUGAUCCCUGGCAGAAAGAGUCACUUUUUCUAGGAGGGUACAGAGCCUCCCCAGAUCAUGGGUGGCUGGGGGUUUGGAGGAUAACAGCAGUGGGUGGGUGUAUGUGUGGAUGGGUGAGAGAGGUAGUUGCUGUGAGAUUGGAUCAAGCCUCAGUUCCACCCACCUUAACCCUCUGCUUUGUGCAAUGCUGCAACAAUGUGAACUGAACCUGAAAACUUCUUGUUGUUGUUUAGUCGUUUAGUUGUGUCCGGCUCUUUGUGACCCCAUGGACCAGAGCACACCAGGCACUCCUGUCUUCCACUGCCUCCCGCAGUUUGGUCAAACUCAUGCUGGUAGCUUCGAGAACACUGUUCAACCAUCUCGUCCUCUGUCGUCCCCUUCUCCUUGUGCGCUCAAUCUUUUCCAAAAUCAGGGUCUUUUCCAGGGAGUCUUCUCUUCUCAUGAGGUGGCCAAAGUAUUGGAGCCUCAGCUUCAGGAUCUGUCCUUCCACAUCUGUCCUGAAAACUGGAGGAACACAAGGGCUUUUUUGUUAAUUUCUGUCCGUGAAAAUGUAGUCUCCCGUCAGAAGCAGAAUGGUUUUGAACCUAUCAAGACUUUGCUCACCAUGCCUAGGCAUUAAAGUGCCAAAUAUUAGGGACAUUGUUGGUCUUCUGACCACCACCCACCCACAGUGAACACAGAAACUGCUCCUCUGAUAGCAGGGUGCAAUGGUAAUGAUACCUCCAAGAUGUGGCUGUGUAUCCUUGUAACUAUUUUAGGAUGCUCAUGAGCAAUGCAUUGUAAUACAUUCUGUAAUUCAGUCUUGGAGACAGUAUUAUUCCACCCACUCUGCCACUGUAAGAAUAGGUGGGUGACAAGUUUUGGAUGACUACUUUGUGACAUUUUUAGUUGGUCCUAAUAAAUGUAAUUUUUGGAUACACCCCUUAUUGGGUCAACCUAUUUCUUUUGUUAUGUCCAACUUUUUUCAUUCCUUAAGCAUAUAGCUUAAGGCUUAAGCAUAUAGAUUUAUCAUUCUGUAGCAUAUGGCUAAUGUCGCUGGAGGGCACUGUGUUGAUUUGGAGAUAUAUACUGUAUAUAUACUCCUUUUUCUGUUUUGACCCCAAUGAAGCCAAGUUCUUUGUUAUUUUAUUUUAUUUUAAAUGAAAUCAAAAGGUUAGCAAUGGGCACCCAUGCUCAUUUGGUCACUGAAGGACUAUAAGUGGCAUUCCCGUCACCAAUCCAUCAUAGCAUCAGUGAUUUAUUGGGACUGCAUACAGAAUAUGACACACUCAAGUGCUGAGAAAGGUAGGACAAGGCCUGCAUGCAGCACGAAGCAAGGCUUCCAUGUGAGAUGUAUCUAUUCUCCAGAAUACGCCCCUUGCAUCAGUCUUAGAUUGGAGAGAGACACCUCUUUCUUUGUUUGGAGCUGCAUAAUGGUGAUUUCUGGGGCCUCCAAACCUAAAGUGAAGACACGGGUGCUGUCCUUGGUGCUGUCCUUGUUUUUGUCUUCUGGUACUGGCCAAGGUCCUGAAUCUCAUCUCCUUUGGUGGUGCUAGCUAAUCUAUUUGUUAGCUAUAUGCAUUGGAUAUAGGUGUAUGCCCGACUUUAAUGCCCAAAAGAAAACUCAUGGUGGAGGAGGAGGAGGAGGAGAAUGGACAGGAUUAAAUACCAACAUUUCAUUAAAACAACCAAUAAACACAUCUCAGUGACCUGCAGCAUACUGUAAAUAAACACAUCCUGCCUGCGUGAAAGCUUGCUGAAAUAGGGAUUUUCUAAAGCUAAAGAACACCAGAGCCCAAGGGCCUCCCCUGGAAGGAACCUCACAUUUACAGUGCUGCUACAUAUAUAUCAAUCUCUGACUUUUGUCUUCUGGGUUUCUGGGGUUUUUCCUGUUGUUAUUCUGUCUCUCACAGCUACAGUAAACCUACCAUUAAAAUUAUGGACUGGUCAUUUCUUCCUCAGAGGGCAAAUGGGCAAAUUUAGCAGAGGAUCAAAUACUUUCCCCCCUCACUGUAGCAGUGGAGAUACGAUAGUCCCCUGUGACACCCCAUAACGUAGCCACCAGGGGGCCAAAAGGCACUCUCCCAAUACUACUCUCUGGAUUUGGUCCUGAAAGCAGGAUUGCAACCACAGUAACACAGUGUCCCCAGUUCCCAUUCCCCAGAGCCAGUCCAAGGGGAUAUCAUAGUCAAUGGUAUCAAAUGCCAGUGAGAGAUCAAUAAGGAGGAGCAGGUCGCAUAUAAGGAAUUGCUUCUUGACUGACAAUGAGUAUGGAGGCAUUUAAAGAUUAAGACUAGCAUCUUGACUCUUACCUGGAAACUGCUAGCCAGUGCAAUCUCAUCGGAACUGAAGUAACAUAUUCUCCCUGGUAGCUAGCCAGGCAGCAGUUUUUUGUACCAGCUGCAAUUUCCAAACCAUCUUAAAAGAGAGUCCUACAGAGAGGGUAUUUCAAUAAUCGAUCUGAGAAGUUCUGAAGGCAUGGAUGACUUGGGCCAUAUAUCCAUCCUUGUGGAGAGGGGAGAGGUUGUGGUUGGCAUCUCAGCUUAAGCAGGUAAAAGAGAUUUGGCCUCUUUGUUUUUUAGCAUAGUCUAAGAUGCUGGGCCAUCUCUUGGGUGCUGUAUGAAGUGCUGGAGCUUGACUUUUGAAUGCUGUCAUGCUUCCCUACCUACUGUGCCAGCUGUGGCACUUGCUGGCUCUCUACCUUGCUGGAAGUUGGUGAGGUAGCGAUGGAUUUUUACAACAGUGUCAUCACUGGGUAGGAGAGAUCAGGCUUCUGUAUCACAGAAGAGCAGCAAUAAUUCAUUACUAGCACCUGCUCCUCAAGUCUUCAGAACUGUUUCACUCAUUGAAACUUCCUCUCUCUGUAUGUGAUAUUGGACUAUGUGUGUAGGUACAAUAGAUGUUCCCUGCCAGUUUAUAUAGUGGCUGAGAAACUAAUGUUAUGAGUCAGAAUCCUCUGGUUGAAAUCUUGUAUCUGCCACAAACCCACCACAUAAUUACUUGCUGAAAAGUGCUGUCCCAGUUUGCAUUCUCCACAUGUAAUAGGAAAAUGCAUCUAGGUUAUCUAGAUCCACUCCAGUCUGGUUUCAGGCUCAGUUUUGGCACUGAAACAGCUUUGGCCAUUCUGAUUGAUGAACUCUAUCAGGAGAGAGACAGGCAAGUGUGACCCUAGUAGUUCUCCUUGAUCCCUCCUUGGCUUUUUACACCAUUGACCAUGGUGCUCUCCUGAAGCAACCUAGGGAAGUGGGAGUUGUAGGUACUGUAUUAGGAUGAUUUUUAUCCUAGCCACAGGAUCACCACCAAAAAGUAGUACUUGGAAAUUAUUGUUUGGUUUCAUGGGUUUGGAGCUAUGAGGUCCCACAAUGGUCCAUUCUGUCUCCUAUGCCAUUUAGCUUGGAUGUUAAAAACAGCUGGGAACUGUUGUCCAGGAAUCUGGAGCAUAGUGGCAUCAAUAUGCUGAUGACAUAUUCCUUCUUAAUCGAGAGAGGCUGUGGACCAGAGUCUGGAGGCAGUGAUGAACUGGAUGGGAGCUAAUACAGUGAGGCUGCAUCCUGAUAUGAUCGAAGUACUGUGGGUGGUUGGUUCCUGUGUUUGGGAAUUAGGUGUGCGAUCUGUCCUGGCAGGGGUUGCACUCCCUUUGAAAGAACAGAUUCAUAGCUUGGGAGUACUCCUGGAUUCCAGGUUGUCACUAGAAUCCCACAUGAUUCCUGUGGCUAGGUGCUCUUAUGCCCAACUUAGGCUGAUUUGCCAACUAUAGUCAUUUGUGGGUCAGCAUAGCCUGGCCUCACUUCUCCAUGCCCUUGAAAAUAAUCAGGAGGCUGCAACUGGCACAGAAGGCAACUGCUGGUCUGGUAAGUGGGGCAGUGUAGUUGGGGCCUGUCUUGAAAGUGCUGCACUGGCUGCUUGUGAACUACUGGGCUAAAUUCAAGGCAUUAAUACUAGCAUAAAAGUAAAGGUAAAGGGACCUCUGACAGUUAAGUCCAGUCGCGAAUGACUCUGGGGUUGCGGCACUCAUCUCGCUUUACAGGCCAAGGGAGCCAGCGUUUGUCCACUCCGCAGACAGUUUUUAUGGGUCAUGUGGCCAGCAUGACUAAGCCACUUCUGGCGCAGCGGAACACUGACACCAGAGCAGCACACAGAAACGCCGUUUACCUUCCCGCCGGAGCCGUACCUAUUAAUCUACUUGCACUUUUUGGCGUGCUUUCGAACUGCUAGGUUGGCAGGAGCUGGGACCGAGCGACAGGAGCUCACCCUGUUGCGGGGAUUUGAACCGCCGACCUUUUGAUCGGCAAGCCCAAGGCUCAGUGGUUUAGACACAGUGCCACCCGCAUCCCUAGUGCUAGCAUAUAAAGCCCUAAAUGGCUUGGAACUCAAUCACCUAAAAGAGCACCUUCCCCAAUAUCAACCAUCUCAGACUCUAUGAUUGUGAGGCAAGUGAGGCCUCAUUGGUGGUGCCCCCACAGGGGGCUGCCUUUUCAGUGGUGGCUCCCCAUUUGUGGAAUACUCUCCCUGGUGAAGUGCACUUGUUUCUCUCAUUGUUGACUUUCAGGAUAAAUUUUAAAACAUUCCUUGUUUACUCAACACUGAAAGACACUGUAUGUGGAUUUUGUUUUGUUUUUUUGCAACCUUGAGAUCACUGGUUGAGCUACUGUUGUUGAACUGUUUAAAGUGUUUUAAAACUGUUUAGAUUAAUUACUUUUUUUAAAAAAAAAGUUUUAUCACAGCUCUGUCUUCCAUCCUUGACUCCUUUGCAUUUAAGGGCAUGGUAUAAUGUAUGAAUGAAUACAAUAAAUAAAUAAAACUAACCCACUUUGCAAAGCUCUUAUAAGGGUCAUCCAGAUAAUGCAGACGUGGCAUUUUGAACACUAAUGAAUAUGGUGUAGUGGUUAGAGUGUUGAAACUAGAGCAUGGGAGACCAGAGUUCAAAUCCCCAUUUGGACAUGAAGCUAACUUGGUUACAUUGGGCCAGUCACUGUCUCUCAACCUAGCCUGCCUCACAGGAUUGUUGUGAGGAGAAAAUGGGGAGAGGGAGAACCAUGUAUGCUACCUUGAGCUCCUUGGAGAAAAGGUGGGCCAUCAGUGUAAUAAUAGUAAUAACAAUAGUAAUAAUAAUAAUAGAUUAUUAUCACUAUUAUUUAUCAUGUUCACCAUGCAAGUACUAUCAUCUACAAUAUCAUUGGCAUGCAUUCAGCAGGGAAAGCGGCUCAGAGCCUCCCAAGAACCAUAGCUCUACAAGAUGUUCUCCUGUGUUGCUUCUCUUCCCCAACCCCCAGGCAACACCCCUCAGCUCCCCACCAGCUGGCAGCUCAGUAGAAUUACCCCCAUCCUUCAUGCCACCCCAGGAACACAGCUGGCUGCAGAGUAUUCUGGCACCCAUCCACUCCUGCACCAUUAAUGUUCUCUUUCCUGAGUUUUCCCAGAAGCUUUCUUUCUUUCCCCCCACCCCCCUGCCAUUGGCAGGCUCCUGGCAACCAGAGCUGCGUGUGGGGAGGGGAGGGGAGGGGAAGAGGAGCAGGGCUUUCCCCCUUCAGCUUUAGCCACAGCAGGAAGAAGUUGCUAUGCAGAGCUCCUGCCGGACACUGUUCCCAAAUAUAGCUGUCCUGACAGACGCUAGAGGCUAGAGCAGAAAGGCCCACUUUGAUCCGCUGUCAGCUGAGGCUCUUGUGGGGCUCUGUGGGUCACCUUCCUGUCACUCACAUUCUGCGCAAAGAGGCAGGUGAGGCAGAGUUUAGAUAGUUUGGGUUCUUCCCUCAGGGGGGAAAAAGACGAGUAAGGGGUGCAUGAUAGAGAUGUACAAAAUUAUGCAUGGUGUGAGGAAAGUAGAUAGGGAGACGUUUUUCUCCCUCUCUCAUAAUGCUGGAACUUGGGGCCAUCUUGAUGUUGGGAGAGUCUGGACAAAUGCAAGUACUUCUUCACACAGCACAAAGUUAAGUUGUAGAAUUUGCUCCCACAGUCUCACCUGGGCAAUUCUGACUGAACAAAGGAAACAAUUGUCCUGUCCACUUUCCUCCAGCAGAGCAAGACACAUCAGCAGCAAGGGCACCAAUACUUUUAGAUAGAGGCCAAGACACCAACCCCAGUGUUGUCCUGCGGCCAGACUCUUUGUUGGGCCAUGUGCCUGGAGCAGAGCUGGCUCCUUCUUCUGACAUGUUAACCAACGACAAGGAGCCACUGGCCCAUUUGCUGUGACUGCUGCCAGCAAGUGAGUGGACAGUCCCAGAGGCCGCCUCGUACAGGGCUGGAAAUAUAAAAGGCCGUGGCUAAGAGACGUAUAUGUUUGGCAUUCUCUCCUAAUCGCAUUUACUUGGGAAUUAGCUCUGUUUCCUGAGGGCUGCAGUGGGGGCACUGUAGGGGGAGGCCAUUGCUUGUGGCUUGUACGCUGACAAGGGGGCUGGCAUGGCAGGCAGAAAAUGCACUGAGCGAUCACAUUUAUAAUUGCAGGGAUUGCUGCGAGGGGAGUGUGGCCUGUCAUUACAGCAGCACUGCCAGACCAUCAAUAACCCACUCCCCGGGCUCAUAACACAGCCAACUUAUUAUUUACGCUAACAUGUUCCAUGCCAGCGACUGCUUGACUACCAGCACCGCUGCCCAAAAAUGGUGUUAUCACAAACAGCUGGCUUGGAACGUACCCUUCUCCAUUCGGCACUGACUAUGCCUCUGAGGGUUACUGUCCUUUUAGGUGAGGGAUGCUGCUGUUUCUCAUGGUGCAAAUGCCUUUCUCUUCUCUUUCUUCUGCUCUUUUCUUAGCACUUUUCAAACUGUGCUCCAUGCAAGUUUAUCUGGACGUCUUCCAUGAACAAAAUAGUAAUGGCAGACAAGUGGCCCCACAGAACAGGUGGCCCACCACCACCACCUUCCCCCGGCCAUGCGCACCUGCAGGGACAUGUUGGGUGUUUUCUAGAACACACUUUCAGUCAGUUGAGGUGACAGCGAGUCCCAGUAAGUCUGGCCAGGCCCAGUACUCUGGGCAAAUUAAGUGUAUGUACCAGACUAGAACAUCUCCCAGGAUCCUUUGCAGUAUACAGUGCUUCUCAAUGAUACUUCAGCAGGCAGGCCCUGUGCAAAGGGUUCUUUCUGUGUUGAAAGUCUGAAAGCAACUGUCUCACCCAGAAGGCCCUUUAUAGUAGUGUGGAAUUCCUAGCUCUGCCUACAAUGGAACCCUCACAAGCUCCAGCCUCCAGGAUGUUGCCUUCUGUAUUGGCUAACAUGGAAAUGGAUGGAGCCAUAAGGUUUUGUCUGCUUUGCUGCCAUCACUCAGGCACAGCUCUCAGGCCCAAACCACAGAGCCUAGACAGAGCAUACUCACAUCUCGAUUAGGGACAACAGAUAACCCAACAACCCAAGACAACAGAAGCUCUUUGGUCUGUGGAUGACCUACAAAGUGCCUUGCCUUCAUCCAUUCACUGAACCCACUCUCAUUAUAUAGGGUUGAACCUUUCCCUUGAUACCUACAGAGCAACCCCCAAUUCUUCCCCUCAUCACACACCACUGAUCAUGUUCCAAGGUGACCUUGGCUGUGACUUCCCCAUCUCUCCGGUGAACAUGUUUUUUUUCCCUCCCCCUGUUCUAUUAAUAGUUUUUACCCCCUUAAAUUAUUGAUCUGUAUUUACAGCCAGAGCAAGCACCAGGCAAAUGGUGCUUUGUCUGGGAAUAAAUCUAUUUUGACACAGGAAAUACUUGAGGCUGAAGUGGUGGGGGCGGAAGGGUGCAUUUCAGGGACAAGGAGCAUCAUCAGCCAAGCUGGGAGAGGAGGGGAAAGCCCUGGGCUGGGUGCAGGGAAGUUGUGUGUUUGGAUUGGGCAGCAUUAGGAGACCUGAGAAGGAACUUACAGUUCAAUAGCCCUGAGUAUUUGGGAGGGGUAUGAGUCUAUAAAAACCCUCCUUUUCCCCUCCUGAUCCAGAACGUGCCCUGAGCGUGCACACCCACCCACCCUUCUCACUUUCCUAGCUCCUGUGUUUACAUCUCCUUUCAGGAGCUAGUAGUUAUUGGAACCUCCAGUGAUUCCAUUUCAGGGCCUAUGGAGAUACUGACCAUUAGUGCAAGGUGCCAGAAGGAAGCAGGUUGGUCCUGGGCAGGCAUGAGCCAAGUCCCAGUAAUGGCAGUCAAAGGGCCCAGAAAGGCAGGUAACAUAGUCCAAGAAGGGCAAGAGGUCAGGUUCCAAAGGCAGCAGUGGAAGGUCUGGAGGCUGGCAGCACAUAUUUCCGAGGCAAGUGCCAUAGGUCUAAAUGGCCAGAGGCAGCUGAUUUAGUCAGCGCAGAGACUAGGAUCCAAAACAGCAUAAGGGAAGGGAGCAGAAACUUAGCCAGGUGAGCAUUUAUCUUGUGAAACAAGAUAUUCAGACUCGAGGAGCAACUUCUGAGAAUCGGCCUUUGUGGGGCCUGGUGGACAGGGAUUUGCCCUUCGUGUCAGCCGACAGAACACGUUUAGGUGAUGGAACCAGGACUGGUGCCUAUGUGGCACCCUUAGAGCACAGUGCUUACUCUGCAAGGCACAGGGCACUUGUGGUGUGGAAACCUGACUGCUGGGAGCACUAUUUUGAGACCUCUUCUUUUGCUUCUCCACCAGCCAAGGCUCAUGCUUCUUGCUCCAACUCCCUUGAUCCUUGUAUACCAAGGGUCUCUUCAAAAACAGCACCAUCUCUCCACUACUCUCUUUCCCACUUAGCACUCAAGACAAAUGUCUCUCUUUACCUUUUGAUUGAUUAGUCAUUGCAGGACUCAUGGUUGGCACCACAGGGUAAGGAAAAGCUUGUGCUUGAUGUUGGGAGCAUUUAAGAGAGCUGAGGGUAGUCUGUAUGGGUGCAGCUCUAAGUCUGGACCCAUGGGCUGGGUCUACGUGCGUACAUCUCGCCUAGAUCUGAAAGCUACCUCUCCUUAGCUUCCUUCCCCAGGACAUACAGAACUUUCCACUGCCUCCUACCAGAACACGUUUCUGUAUCUCACUCUCUUUCCUUCUUCCUUUCCUUUACUCACUGCCAACUCCCAGCCUUCCAUCUUACUGUCAGCAACAUUGAGCCCCAUUAUUCCAGAGCAAAUGUUCCAUUCAUCCAUCCAGUCAACAGGUUUGCCCUGAAUGUAUAGCUGGCUCAUUAGUUUGAGAGGGAACAGGAGAGUUUGGAUGGGUGUGUGUGUGUUGUAUUAGCACUAAGGGCUGCUGGAAGAGUUAAGGGAGCAGCGCUGAAACAGCCAAGGAAGGAUUCUAGGACUUCUGCUUUGGCACCCCACCCUGGAUUUGCAACCAAUGAUUUUGUGCAGCUCCAAACUCCACUUUUCUUCCCUGCUGAGAUCUGUCGUCCCACAACCCCCCCGCCCAACACACACACACUGGAACAGCCCCAGCUUCGUCAGCCGGCCCCAGGGAAGCUGCUAUCUCAGCAGCUCAGACACAGCCUGGUCUCCACAUCCAGCUGCCUCCGGGAACAUCUGUGUCGGGUUCACGUUGGUGAAUUAUUUAAAGCUUUCUCUGGUGCGGCGUAAAGAUAAUAAAGCCGGAAAUGAAAGAAUCGAUAGCGAGAACUGAGGCAGAGCUGGGGACUGCUUCCCUAGUGGCUCCAGGGGGAGGUGGAUUUUUUGGCAGGAGGGGAGUGACUGGACUGGCACAGCCUUCUGUUUGGAGAAAACAGGAAACUCCCUCCUGCACCACACAGUGACCUCUCUCAUACACUGAGAUCUAUUGAAGAGAGAGCUUCUCCUUCUGCUACUCUUCAUCUAAACUGCCCCUAGGACAAGGGAGGACAGAUUUUAUAAAGAGCAGUGGGGGCAGUCUGAAAGUGGUGUCACUGCCAUCAGAGAAAAAUGUACCUUUCUUCUGUCUUGGGGUGAACUCUGGGGAGAGAGGGGGAAGAGUUCUGCAGUGUUUCAGUAUGAAAAGCAGGACUCCUAUUGGCUAGUACCUAUGUCAGCACCAACUUAUCUUAGCAAAUCUUAUCUUGGAUCCAGAGAAGGAUCUGUGUGUAUAUAAAAUCUAGGGAUGAAUACGUAAAAAAUGUUUUUAAGGUGUCAGGCAAGACUGAUAGCUGAGCAAGGAUUUCUCUUUCUGGUGUGCAAAUGUGUAAGGCAAGCUGUGGUGCUGGAAUUAUACCACAGCUAGGAUUCACCUUGACCCUCAGGAUCACAUCACAUUACGUCCAUCUUCACCCUAAGAGAAGUCAGCAUUAUGUAUCCUCAUAUCUUCCUACCAGAAAGCCUUGGGUGGCAAUGCUCAUCCAUUCCUACCACUGGGGGAUUAAGGCUAUCGGUGGCUAUUAGCCAUGAUGAAUAUGCUCUACCUCCAUCGCUGGAGGCAGUAUGUCUCUGAAUACCACUUUCUGGCAAUUGCAAGUGGGCAGAGGGCUAUUGCAUUUAGGUCCUGUUUUCCGACUUCCCAUGGACAUCUGAUUUGCUUCUGUAAGAAUUGGAUGCUGGACUUGAUAGGCCUUUGACCUGAUCCACCAGGGCUCUUGUGUUCCUAUUACUACCUCACAGGCUGUGUCUGGUGCUUUUUCCAGAGCAUAACCUUAUUGAUCUGGGCCAAUGUCAUGACCCGAUCAACAGCCUGCAGUGCCACAGAAGGAGGUUAUGAAGGCUCUCACAGCACUAAUCAGUGCUUUUGAUUCCCAGCAGGCUGCUUUCCUCUGAGGCAUCUAGACUUCCUUUUGCACAGCUCCAGGGCAUCUUUGCAGCUAACAUUCACAGUGCCUUUGAGCUUCCGGUGCACUAUUUGUGUGCAUGUGUGUCAAUGCUGGGUACAAGCAGCAAUUUUGGACAAGACAACAUAUUUUUGCCAGUGUGAGUAUUAUAUUUGUGCUACAUUGGCAGGAAAUGAGAAAAGUGCUUUGGUGUCGUACUUGGGAACAACCACAGAAAGAGGAGCUCUGGUUCAAAAGUACACAGGAACGUAGGAAGCUGCCUUAUAGCAAGUCAGACCAAUGAUCCAUACAGCUCAGCACUGUUCCCGGAUAGUGACUGGCAGCAGUUUCAGCCCUUCCUGGAAAUACCGGGGAUUGAACCUGAGACCUUCGGUAUGCAAAGCAGAUGCUCUAGCACUGAGCUACAGCCCUCCCCUGUAAAGUAAAACCAAGGGAUAGAUAAGAAGGUUCUGCAGCCUUUUCUUCUUGGGAUGUAUUAUUCUCCCACUUGAAUAGCAAGGGCCUAGGGUUUGGAACAGAGCCCAGAAUCAGGGCCCCGAGUGUGCACCUCUAGGUUCUCCUCCUAACCAGAUGCCAGAAAAGGAGAUUGGAAAGGCCCUUUCUCACCGCACCAUGGGAGUGGAGAGCCUGACAGGAGAUGUAGUGCUCUUUCAUAGACAUAUCAAAGUAAACUGUGGAUGAUGAAGUGGCUCCAAUUCUCAUGGGUUCACGGGGCAGUGGUUCCUGGAUUUCUAAUGACUUUGUGUCUGGAGUUAGUGUGCAGGCAAGGUGUCCAAAAGGAAGAAAACAAAUAGUAUACCAGAAUCAGAAAAUAGUGUCAGCUACCCAGCUGAGAAGGCGUCAGGUCACAUGCUCCCUUUGUGGGGAUGUGAGGGGGUAGCGGAGACAGAUGUCAGAGCCACAAACCCACCUUUACAAUAACCACCUACAGUACACUUUUCAUAACAAAGAAUUCCAAGCAGAAGCAACCUUCCCGUGUCAGACGCAGCACGUAGCCGACACUCCAGAUGUCACUGUUGAUACUCCAGAUGCCGCAAUGGUAACUAGGCAGGUAAAUCCAAAUCAUCAUCUCUCUGAAGUCACUCAAAUGAGGUCAUACAGGAAAAGCAUUAUGUGUCUGAACAGCUUGUCACCCGGGAGUGAACUUUUCUCCUAAUGUUGCUAUUCUGCCCUAAUGAUGGGCACCAGGACUACAUAGUUCUGCCCUGGAAAAGAGACAAUGGACCCAGGCUUUUCAUCUUGGAUAACCACCAAACAUUCCGCCACCACCUUUCCAUAAUACAUUUUGUACUCUGGUAGCUCAAAGUCCACUUUCAGGCUUAGUAUAAUUGGUUUGUUUUGAGGGGAGGUGGGGGUCUGGUGACCAAUUUGGUUUCCCGCUGACUCAACUUCCUUACUGCAUUUGUUCCUCCCCCCUCCAAAAAAAAUUUAAAAUCUGAAUUCCCUUCCCUGGAAGAAAUCCCCUGUUGAGUUGCUUCAACCCUAAACUGCUUCCCAAGGAAUCCUGGAAACUAGUUUGUUAAGGGUGCUGAGAGUUGUUAGGGGACUCCUCACAGAGCUACAGUAUACAAAGUGGCAUAAGAGUGCUUGAAAUGGAUGGGGUGGAAUUCAAUGACACACACUUCAUUCCGUCUGCCCUAAUGGGAACCAUUCACCACUGGUAGCUUGCUUGCCAAAAAAUAGGAACGGCACACAGUGAGCUGCUGGGUGACCUGUGUUCCUUGCUGCAGCCUGCCUUCUGCCUGCUCCUGGGUUUUCUCCCUCCUUCCUAUGAAUGGGGCAUGGCAGGCAGUGAACAGGUGGGGUGAGGGGCUGGAGGGAGAGGAGGCUCGACCUCUUGCUGUUGGUCGCAGUUCCAUCUGGCAGGAGAUGUAAAAUCCUCAUAAAUAUUAUAAUUUAAUUAUCGCUAUGCAGGCAGCCUGGGAUCCAACAACUGGGAGUAGGGGAGGCUGCAGGACUUCAAUACUCCCAAAAAUAAUAAGGGGAAAGGAGGCAGGGCAUAAGCAGGGCACUUCAGUAUUUUGUGUUAUCAAAAAUAGUGUGUGACACCCUUCAGUUCUUCCCUCUGUUCCUCCCUCUACCAUCCAAUAAACCUCCUCCCUCAAAGUCCAGGUUGCAAGAGCGCUGAAUAUCAAAAAGCCAUUGCUGGUUCUGCUGCUCUUUAAUCUGCCAAUGAUCAACGCUUCUAUUGAACAUCCGGGAGUUGUGGUAAAACUAAAAUCUAAGUAUAUCGAUGAAAUGUUUUGGAUUCAAAGUAGGAACAAGUGAGCUAAAAGGAGACAGAGAUGGUUACACUGACAACUGCAAUGUAACAAUGCCGUCUUUGGCCGACACUUCUGCUUUCCUAUGGAGCUUCCAGAUGACCUGGUUAUUGAGCAUUAGUCUUGAUUUGUUUGCAAGGAGAUUCAGUGAUGUUGACUAUUUAAUGAGCAUUCAUUUUGAUUUGUUUGCAGGGAGGCUAGAUGGCUUUGUGUCAAAACAAGUAUUAUCUUGCACUUUCCAGCACAUUUCCCCAUCACCUUCCUUAUCAUGAAAACAUGUGCUUUUGUACACUUUUGUUGAAACACAAACACAUUUAAACUAUCUUGAAGUUUCCCAUCCACACAAUUGGGUGGUGCUUGAUGGAAUGCAUUCCUGUUGUGUGUUGUUGCCCCUUCCCUUCAGUUACUACUUCCCAGCCUUCCAGAAGGUCCAGAAACCUGAGAUCCAUUGUGUGGGCAUGCAAAUAGGUAUACUUGUUUACCUUUGCACACAGACUUUAUUUUUUUUUUAUGUUUUGUCCCUAGAUUAGUGCAAUACUGAGCUUUCACCAAAGUUCCACACAUGUUUCACAGUAGACAAAUCUGCUGGAUCUACACAAAACCUAUUUUUGCAUCAUUCUUGGUACUGCUAAGUGGAGAGCCAGCACCUCAUUGAGGACCAUCUCAACAGUGUAAAGAACGGCUGGGCAGUUGGAAGGCAUGGGCACCUCCAAUCUUCAGAUUCCCCCCACCAGCACAGAAAGCCACAGUUCAGCUUGGAGAAGAACAUAAACAGUAUGUUUCACACAUAAGCACACAUGGCAAGUGUCAGGGAACUGCCAUCGGACGGAAGGGAGGUGAAAGGGCUCACACAGGUUGGGAGAGACGCAGCAGCUGAAGAGGGAACCAACAGGGAGGUGAAAGGGCUCACACAGGUUGGGAGAGACGCAGCAGCUGAAGAAGGAACCAGCAGGGGGAGAGGAGCUGAGCUGGAGGGAUGGCUCAGAGACACUUCCAGCGAAAACAGUGGGGAGGUUUCAGAACCUCCUGUAAGAACACCCACUCCUCGCCGGAAACUGUCACGCAGAGAUUCCAGAAGACGUGUUUCCGUUAAGGAGCUUUUAUGUUGGAAGCGAUUACGAAAGCAACCACUGUCGGAAUCUGCUAGUGACUAGAGCAGCCAUGUCUGAGGGGCUCCGUCACAGACAGAGGUUUGUGGACUUGAACAAACUCUGAGGGGAUACGAUUUUACGCACAAGCAGCUCAUCAUCCCAUCACAGCAUUCCGACAGUCUUUGAAAGCAGCUUGUGCAGGAGAAGGCAUCAUGAGCAACCCAGCCGGAACCGGAGAAGCAGGAGCUGGAGCGGGUCCAAGCCUGGAAGAAAGGUACCAGAUGUUGGAGGUCCAGCUAGCGAUGCAGACGGCGAGGCUUGAGGAGAGGAGGGCUCAGGAUGCAGACAAAAGGGGAAAGCCACCCAGUUCGCCAGAAAGGUACCAGGAUUGGUGCAGAAGUUUGGGGGAGCCCAAAACUAUCAUGGUUUUCGGACAGAAAUGCAAUAUGCCCUCAAUCUGCAGUUUGAUGAAUUCCCUGACGAGGAAUCACGAGUGGCUUUCGUGAUUGAGCAUCUUGAAAAGGGGGCGAGAGACUGGGUUAGACCCCUGAUGGCAGCGAAUAGUGACGUCUUAAAGGACACGAUGAAGUUCUUUCGCGCCAUGGAUCUGAUGUUUUCCAGCGAUAUUGAAAAGGGAGUGGUGCGCAGACAGUUAAUGGGUUGCAAACAGGGGAGCCGAUCUGUCCGUGAGUACUGGACUGAGUUCACCAUGCUUGUUCACAGAUUGGGGUGGGACUUAUCGGCGGAACCCAUUCAAAUGCUCUUUGAAGAAGGGCUUUCUUCGGCUGUGAAAGACGAACUUUCCCGGGCGCCCAGGGCGGAGUCUAUGGACCAGCUGACCAAAUCAGCGCUGGCCAUAGGAGCGCGCCAGGAGGCGAGAGCAUUGGAGAGGCGGGAAGGGAAAGGGGAACGUUGGAAGGAGUUCCGCAUUCCAGACAUUCCAGAGCCAACUUUCCCACCGGCAGAGCCGAUGGAAAUCGGAACAGCGCGCGCGCGCAGUUUCAAAGCCCAGUGAGGGGGCAAAGAAGGAGGGAAAAGGCGCCCGGAAAUGCUAUCUCUGCCAACAGCCAGGUCACUUUGCCAGAGUCUGCCCCCAGAGGAAAGAAUGGCAAGGGAUGGUAGGAGCUGUGGAUGGAAGAGAAAAACUACCGGAGCAAGUAAAAGCCAACGCCUGGCUGCCACUGUCAGGGCACAGCAGCCAGGCCAAAGAGCAGUGAGAGUGCCCACGCCAGAACCUCCUAAACCCGCCCUAGUGAUAGAAGUGACGCUAGAGCUGCCAAACGGACACCCUCUAAAGAUAAAGGCGCUGUUGGACUCAGGCAGCUCCUGCAAUUUCAUGAGCAAAGAGUUUGCAGCUGAACACCAGAUACAGACAAUCCCUUUAAGCAGCCCCUUGCAGGUGACCACGAUCGAUGGCAGGGAGCUGUUGGGUGGAGAAGUCAGCUUGCAGACCGUCCCAAUGAUAAUGAAGGUAGCAAGGCACACCGAACUGAUAGCUUUUAAUGUGGCCACCUUGGGAGGAGCUCCCAUUAUAUUGGGGAUGAGCUGGCUAGCGUUACAUGAUCCGCUGGUGGGCUGGCAUCAGAGAGUGGUUUCUUUUGGUUCAGCACAUUGCUUAGAACACUGCAAAGAGGGAAAGGGUUUGGCAGGGGUCCAAGCCGCCCUAGCAGGGACUGAAGUAACAGAGAACGUGAAGGUACCACGACAAUAUGCAGAUCUCCGUGACGUCUUCAGCGAAAGGGAAGCUGACCAACUCCCCCCGCAUAGACCCUUUGACUGUCAAAUCAACUUACUCCCUGGAGCACAGCUCCCUGUAGGCAAGCUGUACGCCAUGUCAGACAGAGAGAUGCAGGAGUUAAGAGAGUUCAUUGACAAGAACCUGAAGAGAGGGUUCAUCAGAGAGUCCAGGUCGGUGGGGGGCAGCCCAGUGUUUUUGUGGAUAAGAAAAACACGAACAAGCCGAGGCUGGUGUGUGACUUCAGGGCCUUAAAUGCAGUGUCAGAACCAGUAGCCUUCCCUAUGCCCAGGAUUGACGACAUUUUGACAAGGGUGCGGAAGGGAAAGAUUUUCACAAAGCUGGACCUAAGGGGGGCGUACAACCUGGUACGAAUAAGGAAGGGGGAUGAAUGGAAAACCACUAUGUUCACCCCUUUAGGGGCAUUUGAAUAUUUGGUUAUGCCCUUCGGCCUACAAGCAGGCUCCGCAACAUUUCAAUCGUUUAUGAACCACGUCCUGGGGCCUUUGCUUUACAAGAAUUGUGUGGCCUUUUUAGACGACGUGUUGGUGUAUUCUGAGAAUGAGGAGCAGCAUGUGAGAGACGUCAGAGAAGUGUUGAGCAGGCUGCAAGCCAACCAGCUGUGGGUGAAACUGGAGAAGUGUCAGUUUCAUACCAAGGAGGUGGAAUUCCUGGGGUAUCGCCUGUCAGACAAGGGAUUGGCCAUGGAUCCCGGCAAGGUCCAGGCGGUACUGGAAUGGAAAACACCCAAAACAAAGAAGGAUGUGCAGAGGUUCCUAGGAUUUGGGAACUUCUAUCGUAAGUUCAUCCGAAACUUUGCCCACCUGACGGCGCCCAUUACGGACUGUCUCAGCAGUAAGAAGAAGUUCGUGUGGACUGAGGAGGCGGAGCGAGCAUUUGAGGAACUAAAAAGGGCCUUCGCCUCGGAACAACAACUCCUGCAUGUGGAUUUACAAAAACCGAUGAGAGUGGAAACUGACGCAUCAGACAGAGCGAUUGGGGCGGUGCUUCUGCAGCCAGGCAAGAAGGGGUCAGAGUGGAGACCGUGUGCCUUUUUUCGCGAAAGCUGAACAAAUCCGAGAGGAACUACACGGUGUAUGACCGAGAACUACUAGCCAUUUAUGAGGCGUUCCGGAGAUGGAGGCACCUGCUAAUUGGCGCACAACAUAAGGUGCAAGUGUGCACUGACCACAAGAACCUAGAGUAUUGGAGGACGGCACGAGUGCUCAACCAACGGCAAGUGAGAUGGGCCCAGGAGUUCUCCAAAUUUAACUUUGAGAUUAGUUACGUGCCAGGCCCAGAGAACAUUAGGGCGGACGCUCUCUCACGCAAACCUGAAUAUUUGGAGGGGAGGGGCACCCGAAGAGAGACAUGUCAUUCCAGAAGACCGCUGGGUGUGUGGGGCGGCAUUGGUGGGACAAAGAGAACUGGUAGAGGAAACAGAGAAUGAUGAAUACGCCCAGAAUAAGCUCAGAGGUCUUAGGGGUGAUGGAGAGGAACCAGGGGGUUUCGAGGAAAGAAAUGGAGCUUUGUAUUACAAGGGGCACUGUAUAUCCCUGAAGGAGAGUUAAGGGGAGGGUACUCAAGCAGUUGCACGACAGCCCUACGGCGGGGCAUUUUGGACAACACAAAACCAUGUGGUUGGUCACCAGGGAAUUUUGGUGGCCUAAGGUGAGGGAAGAUGUACGUGAGUAUGUAAGAGGGUGCGAGCAAUGCCAGCGAGCCAAAGGGGAAAGGCGGGCGCCGGCGGGGCUAUUAGAACCCUUACCAACCCCAGAACGACCUUGGGAGGCAGUGUCGAUAGAUUUUAUGACUGAUCUGCCGAAGUCCAAAGGGAAAACAGCCAUCAUGGUGGUGGUAGACCUACUAACAAAGAUGUGCCACUUUGUAGCUUGCUCGCAUGCAGUCACGGCGGAAGAGACAGCGAAGUUAUUUGUAGAAAACAUUUUUAGGUUGCACGGGGUGCCAUUGAGGGUGGUCUCAGACCGAGGAAAACAAUUUACUUCCAGGUUCUGGAGGAAGCUCAUGAGCUUACUGCAGGUGGAGGUCAAUUUUUCGACUGCCCGGCACCCUGAAACCAACGGGCAGGCGGAAAGAGCAAACGGUGUCCUCCAGCAAUACCUGAGGUGUUAUGUCAAUGACAGAGAGAAUGACUGGGUAGAAAAGUUGGCGCUGGCGGAAUUUGCCUACAACAAUGCCGAGAAUGUGUCCACAGGGAUGAGCCCCUUCUUGGCUAAUUAUGGGUGUCAUCCCAGGGCUUUCCCAGGGGAGAGGGGAGAGAUGGAGCGUCCCGGCAGCCGAACAUUUUGUGGAAGAAAUGGAAGCAAUCCAUCGUCAGCUCCAACUCAACUUAGAAAGGGCGAAGGAAGAAUACAAGAGGCAGGCAGACAAGAACCGAAGGGAAGGUGAAACCAUAAGGGUGGGAGAUAGGGUGUGGCUGUCAACCCAAGGGUUGCCGUUCAAAGGAGGUUGUAAGAAAUUAAGACCCAGGAGGUUGGGUCCCUUUGAGGUCAUUCAACAGGUCAACCCAGUGGCUUUCAGGCUCCGGUUACCCAACCACAUGAAACUGCACCCAGUAUUUCACAGGUCGUUACUGUCACCGUACGAAGGGGGACGAGAAGGGCUGGCCACUCGGGGACCGGUCGUAGAAGAAAGAGAAUGCAGCAGCCAUGUGGCUGAAAUCCUCGACGCCAGGUGGAAGGGGGAUCAGGUGGAGUAUUUGGUAGCGUGGGAAGGAGAACCGGAGUCAGAAAACACUUGGGUAAUGGCUGAAGAUAUCAAUGACGAGGUAUUGAUAGAAACGUUCCAUCAAAGGUUCCCAAGGAAACCUCAGCCUGUGGAGAGGUUCCGGAGGGAAUACUUUGGGACCACUGAUGAAGGGGAGGAGUUGGAAGGAUUCCCGGACUCGGAAGGGGAAGGGGAGAUAGACUCUGAGGAGGAGGUGUACUUCGAGACCAGGAACCGCAACAGGUUGAGAGAAGUGUUCGAGACAUCGGAAGAUGAAGGAAGUUCAUUCCGGGUUUUGCCUCCUCACCGCCCGUAGAGGAGGGGGCGAGAGGGGGUGAAGGGGGCCCUGGAGGGGAGGUGGAUGUCAGGGAACUGCCAUCGGACGGAAGGGAGGUGAAAGGGCUCACACAGGUUGGGAGAGACGCAGCAGCUGAAGAGGGAACCAACAGGGAGGUGAAAGGGCUCACACAGGUUGGGAGAGACGCAGCAGCUGAAGAAGGAACCAGCAGGGGAGAGGAGCUGAGCUGGAGGGAUGGCUCAGAGACACUUCCAGCGAAAACAGUGGGGAGGUUUCAGAACCUCCUGUAAGAACACCCACUCCUCGCCGGAAACUGUCACGCAGAGAUUCCAGAAGACGUGUUUCCGUUAAGGAGCUUUUAUGUUGGAAGCGAUUACGAAAGCAACCACUGUCGGAAUCUGCUAGUGACUAGAGCAGCCAUGUCUGAGGGGCUCCGUCACAGACAGAGGUUUGUGGACUUGAACAAACUCUGAGGGGAUACGAUUUUACGCACAAGCAGCUCAUCAUCCCAUCACAGCAAGGCAGGACGGGGAGACUGAUUUGGGGGAGAGGAAUUUGGAGGUGUGUUUUUCUUUUUCUUUCCUUAACCUCCUUAUGUACCUGCAAGGGCCAAUUUUAGUUUUGGAUUUUGACUGAAGGCACAUUCUUUCACCUUUGGUGGACAUGCCCAAGGAUUAAGACAUUCUGGGAGAUGAUUUAUAAUGAAAUGAAAAAGGUAUUUAAAUAUACCUUCCUGAAGAAACCAGAGGCCUUUCUCCUGGGCAUGGUCAGCCAAUUGGUGUUAAAGAAGGAUAGAACUUUUUUUAUGUAUGCAACAACAGCAGCAAGAAUACUCAUCGCGAAGUAUUGGAAGACACAAGAUUUGCCCACCUGGGAAGAAUGGCAGAUGAAGUUGAUGGACUACAUGGAACUGGCGGAAAUGACUGGCAGAAUCCGAGACCAGGGAGAAGAGUCAGUGGAAGAAGAUUGGAAAAAGUUUAAAGACUAUCUACAGAAAUAUUGUAAAAUUAAUGAAUGUUAGAAAAAUGUUGAAAUGAAGUUAUAUGGCUUUAGUAGAAAUAUUAUAAGGAUUUAAGUACAGAUAGGUUAAUAGAGCAUUAAAGGAAAAAAUAAGGUUAGAAUGAGUUAAGAUAAUUAUAGGAUAGAAAACAGAGGAAGAUGGAAAGGAAUUGCUGAAAUAAUUAACAGAAGUGGAAUACAAAAAGGAGGUGUGAGGAGGUCGUGGAAAUAAGUGAAUGAAAGAUGGGAUAAUGAAAUUGUUUGAUUUAUUUUAUUGUCUUUGUCUUGUUUUGUUAAUUUGAUGUGUUGUAUUGUAUUUUUUUUUCUUUUUAGUGUUUAAGUUUUUGGAAAAAUAAUAAAUAUUAUUUUUUUAAAAAAAUAGUUUUGGAUUUAAUACAGCUGUUUAGUGCAAGAGCAAUUCCACACAAAACAGUUGUUUUAAAAAAUUUAAAAAGAUUGCUGUGAACAUGCCUUAAGCAACAACUGGUGGAAAUAGGCAAGCUGCAUCCUUUCUUGGAUGGGUUGAGCUCAGACGACAAGUAAAUGGAGUAGGGGAUACAGUGGUUGAUGGCACCCAGCAAAACAUUGACAUGCAAAAAAACCCCCACAACCCUGCCCAGACAAUGUGCUUCAGUGUGGCCAUACUUGGAUAGCACACAAUUGUAUGUUGGAGUUAUGUUGUUGCAUUAUCCAGGGAUUGGGAAAAUCAGAAUUCAAUGGGGGGAAGUGCAGGCUGCCAGUUGGGUGCAGACAACAUUGUGUGGACAACACAAAAACCAGUUGCAUGCAGUUGCAUGUAGUCUGUCCCCAUGCUUUUUUAAAAUUCCCUCUUCUCUCCAAAGCCAUUAAUAGUCCAGGAGUUCAUUCCAACUCACCGGUGUCUGGAUUAAUGCAGGAUAUUUUCUAUCUCUGAUAAACUUCUUUGACAAUACAGUUAAGCAAGAUAACUGGCAUAGCAGAUGGAGGGGGAGCAGUUUGUGUGUGUGUGUGUGAGAGAGAGAGAGAGAGAGAGAGAGAGAGAGAGAGAAAGUGUGCGCAUCAGUCUUUGCCUGCUGUUUACAAAUAGAUCCUGCUUUCUUGCUUGGCUUUUGCAAAUCCGGAGCCAGAGUGGAUCAGUUUGGGGAGGUGGGGCUGGCAUGGGAAUUUCUCCCAGAUGGAGGGAUUCUGAGGUUUAAGGAUAAAUGAAAGAACAUUGAACUUUCCCAUGGUCCACUCAACAAGAAUAUCAGCAUUUUGGCAAGGAACAGAGUAUUCCGAAAGAGAAAGACGCCACCAGGUACAAGAAAACAGCUAUUGCAUUUUUAGACUCUUGAAUUAAAGAUAGCUUGAAGUUACGCACAGGCUUCUUUUGCAGCUGGUCCAUAUUCUCAUUACUCUAUCCAGCAGUUCUUAAACAUUUAUGUGCAGUUCUACAACAGGGUGCAAAGUGAGAUGCAGAUACCAGGUAGAGAACUAAUUUGUGUAAGCUAAUCAGGUUUGAAUUGUUUCCUCAAUAUAGAAUAUGUAAACAAGGCAUAGUGGACAUAGGGCUUGCCCACACUGGAGCAAAGUGUGUAUUUGUGCUGGCCUGUCUCCCCAUUAAUGUAAAGGCAUCCUCAUCCCAAUGGUGAACUGGCCAUUCCCCUUUUAAAUGUGGGUUUUUUGAUCCUUGGAAAGUCCACAUUGGGAAAACCUGUAUUUAAAGUAGGAAAGGUCUGAGACAACAGUGGAAUGGGCGUCCAAAUUUUGGUCCAGUGUGGAGAAGCCCUAACUCGGCACCGAACCAACCACCCAUUGCAGGGAUCAACAAAUUACCCCUUCAAUAAAUUACCCCUUUUAAUUGUGGGUGGAUGAUGUCUCUAUAAGAACCAUGUGCCCUGGAACAGGAAGCUUGGAGAGACAAGGAAUCCUAUUCCCUAGAAGCCCAGCCAAGUAGCAUGUGCAUAUAUAUCUCUGUCCUGUGAAACACUGGAGCCUGCUCUCUAAUCUGAGCAUAAUUGUGACUUCCGGGUUGGCGCCUCAGGCAAUGGCAGAGCUCCUCCGUUCGGGAGGAACUUGCUCCGUGAAAAACAGGGUCUGACCGCCACGGCGAAGGUGGAGACCCAUUGAAAUCACAGGCGGGAGAAGCUUGUGAACCUGGGAUUCGGCUGGCACCUUUUGCGCCUCCCCUACUCGCGGGGAAACCCUGUUUUUGGGGUCCGGAGCGACGUGGGGUGAGUGGUGCGGUGCUUUGAAUCGACUGCUUCUUUCACGGAGUGAAGCCGCAUUGCUGUUGUUGGAGAGCGCUGACUUUUUCCUGUGGACAAUUGGAUUUUAAACUACGCGUGAGUAAAACGGAAAAUUGGAUUUUUAAAUACUUUAAUUUGGCAUUGAAAUGGGAAGGUUGUAAACAGGAAGUCCGCCUCCCGUUUUCGUAAAUAGACUGAAGCAAAGACGUUACAAGUUAAAGCCUUUCAAAGCUUUUGGCAAAGGAUUAAAUUUCCACCGGUUUAAAAUACAAAACCCCCCUUGGAAGCAGGAGAAGAGGGGGAAAUUUUGGAUCUAGUGAGCCUGCAGGAGAGAGUGAAAAAUUAAAUUACCACUGCUCUGAACCUGGGAACGGGCUGCCAGAUGACGUUUGGAGAGAGUGCAUUUGACAGAACGGAUUUGACAGCUAGCUAAAUAAGAGUAAGAUACUGUUUCCAUUGUCCUUUUCUGCGCUUAAAAAAGAGGAAAAGUAACUGAAAAUUUAUCUUUAAUGUAUGAAAGAACUGAUACAAGUGGAGACUGUUUCCCUCUAGAGGGAGCUUUUGAAACUGUAACAGGAGUGUAACUGGGGGAUUCCCAGCUGCAGAUAAGGAUUCUGAGAACCAGAGAGCGACCUUGGACCCUUUAAAAAUGUUGACAGGAGAGGCCAUUGUGACUGUUUUAUGUAAGAUAAGCUGUUCGCUGGGACAACUUCACAAGAAGAUGGAUGACAUGACUUUUAAAGUUGAUAAUUUGGAACAGAAAGUGACCAGUUUGAGUCAAAAAGCGAACACCAACACAGAAAUAAUUCAGGACUUGGUACAGGAAUCCAUUUUGGCAGGACAAAUGGUGGAGGAGAAGGAGGAGAAGGAGAAUGCUGCUGUUGUUGAAUAUAAAAUAAUACAAGUGAGAUCUGUGGCUUUACAGAAGCAAAUUGAGGACUAUAAGUUGAGGCCUUUUAUGAUUGAAUCUAGGAAAAGUCAGACUCUGAGGAAUGGAUCCAGGUUUGGAUUAAAGAAGGAAAGUUGGAAAGAGCCCUCUAUGCAGGGAUUAACUGACUUUUGGGACAUGGACUUGGGCCUGGAGGAGAUUGAAGUUUUGGGGGCCUUUGGACUUGGAGGAAUCCUGAAAUAUGCCCUGAAAUACUUUAUGGACUGUAGCUUUAACUAUGGAAAUUUAGCUGAUUUGUUCAGAAGGAAGAAAAGGAUUGACAGGUUGGAGUUUCCCCGAGAUUUGCUUUUUAGCAUUAAAGAAAAUGAAGAAGACCUGCAGAAGGGACUUGGAAAAGAGUUAAGAGCCUCGGACAUAAGAUCACCAGGUGGAUGGACUUUAUGGAACUGACGGAAAGGACUGGCAGAAUCUGAAACCUGGGAGAGGAGACGGUGGAAGACGAUUGGAAAAUUUAAAGUUUAUAUAUAGACUUAUGGUAAAACUAAUGAGUGAUAGAAAAAUGGUGGAAUGAUUUUUUGUAUUUUUUAUUUUUUAUGGGCUUAGUAGAAAUGUUAUAAGGAGUUAAGCAUAUAUAAGUAUUUUAGUUUUAAUGGAAAAUAAGGCUAAAAAAUUCGUUAUUUACAAUAUUAUGGAAAAUGGAGAAAGAUGGAAAGGAUUUGCUGAAACAAUUAAUAGAAGUGGUAUACAAAAAGGGAGGUGAGAGGAGGUCGAGGAAAUAAGGGAAUGAAAGAUAGAGUAUGGAAAAGAGAUGAUGUAAGUUUUUAAAUUGUUUUUGUUUUAUUUCAUUUAGGGUUAAGGCUAGGGAGUGGGGUUUGUUUAGUUUAGUUUAAUGUGUUUAGUUUUGAGUUUAGGGUGUGUUUUGUAUUGUCUAUAUAUUGUAUUGUAUUGGUUUUUUUCUUUUUUCUUUUUGCUUUUCUCUUUUGUUUUUUCCCCCUGUUUUUUUUCUUUCUUGUUCUUUUUCUCUUUUUGUAAUCUAUAAAAGUAAUAAAUAUUAUUUUUUUAAAAAUCUGAACAUAAUUGCACCUUUUUUUCACCACCAGUUGCUCCAAUUCCAGUCAUUCAGGAUCAUGCAUGCAUGACAGUCGCUUGCUAUGUCCUGGCUCAGAAAGGUACUUUCCAUGAGGGUAGCACCCAGUAUGUGAUCACUACCUAGUGCAGGCAAAUUGUGGAGUCAAGCCAGGCAAGAAUGGGAGGGAACAGCUGAAAUACAAGCACAUUGUGCCUUGGAAGAGGCCAUCACAAUUGGCCUGCUUUCCCAUUAAUACUGUUACAGAUGGUGAGGAUCAGCCACAUGUGUGUAUGGAUGAGGGAGAGAGGGAGAGAGAAUGUUCCUGUUAAGCACACAUAUUUACACAUCUAUUCUUCAACCAGAAACAGAAGGCACUUCCUCCUUCCAUGGGCAGAAAACUCCCUUUAGCUGUCAACCUCUCUGUCAGUCCCAGUGGAUAAUUAAUGUAUGCCCCACAGUGCAAUCAAAGGGAAGGGGGCAUAAAGUUUGUGAGUACUAAGAAGGAGGAAAUCUGGUUGAAGAAAUAACUCGGAGGCUGGAAUGUUGCUUGGAGGAGGAAAAGUCCGAGGUGUCAAGAGGAAAACCAAAGACCGCCAAGCCUGUGAUCCCUCCACCUCCAGACUUGUACUCAGGCUUGCAGGAAGAAGGGCCUUAGCUCAAUGGAAGGACAUUCCCUGCAAGAGCUCCCAGGUUCAAUCCCUGGCUGGGAAAAACUCCUACCUGAAACCAUUAAGAGCCACAGCCAGUCAGUGUCAACAGUACUGAGCUAGAUGGCUCAAUGGCCUGAGUAAUAAGGCAGCUUCUAGUGUUCUCAUGAUAGUUUAUGAUGCUUUCUGACAUUAACGUAUUUGGGCAUCUCAGUGCUCCUUGCUCUUCUGCACACCAGGGUGAGGCCACAUAAGUGCUUUAAGGACCCUCUUUGGGACUAAUGCAUCCCAAAUAUUUGUGUCAGAUUGUUUGGGGCUCAAGGUGUAGCAAGGGGGAAAUGCACAAGAGGAGCAUCAGGCUUGCUGCUCAGAACAUCUGGAAUGAGCAGUUCUUGCCCAGGUGAAUGACUGCGGAUUUAUUCUGAGCCUUUUAUGGAGCUUGGAUCCUCAUUCAUGCUGGUUGGAUGUUAAAGAAGGGGCCACCUGGGUCCAGGGAACCCCAAGGCAAUGUUAUCAAGUAAAAGUGCAAGAGAAGUUAUGACCUGGUGCAUGAAAGUCACCUGUUGAGAGAGAAAGUGAACUUGUGCUGAUAUUGUUACUAAUAUUUGUAUUUCUCUGUGACUGAAUGUGCAGCCAUGUUAGGACAUAACCUCCAUUUUAAGUCAGGGGGAAAAACACAGCUUGCCUGCUAGAGUCAAUGAGCUAUCAGUCUCCUGAUAUGUUUUUCUUCCUUGGAUAUCAGGCAAAAUCAACAUCCUUUUGUUUUCUAUUAGGGGGAAAACACCCUUCCAGACAGAGCAAAUGUUUUGAUUAAUGAGUCCUUGAAUUCCUCUCCUUCUAUUCUGUAACUCCUGGGAAAUCAAUUAAAAUGGUAAUUUCCUUUGUCAUAAUGGGGAGUGUGUCCAGCCCAACCACCUGCCUGUGACAUCACUGUGGCACUUAGGACUGCUAUUGGUCUGUAGACCCUGGAGGCAAGGUCAUUCUUUUCUUGUCCCUAGCCACAUGAUUUCUUCCCCCCAAUAAAGCAGCUCUCUGGGCAGAAUAAUGGGUGUUGUUGUUUUUCUGCUUCCGGUUACUCUCUGGCUCUGUGGUGCUUUCUUUCUUCUUCUUUUUAGAACAGAGAAUUAGGAAGUGGGGGUGCUGCUGGCCAAGCUCGCCUGGCAUUGGUCUUGCACAAUGGCCUUCGAAAUUUCUAGGCACUGAUAAUUAAUCUUUUGCAGCAAAGCUUUCAUUUUCAAACUGUCCUUUAUCUUAGCCUGAUUUCUUUUGACUAAAUGUAAGCUUUUGAUUAGGAAAGAUACUCAUUCUGCCUGGAUGAUUUAUAAUGUGCUCAGGCUCAAACCCCAUGGAGCCUGCCCAUUUAGCCUUUGGUGAUAUUAAAAUAUGGAGGGGGAGGCAACUGCUCCAGAAGGAUACCAUGGCCAAUGGUACUGGAAACUGCUGAGAGGUCGAGGAGCAGUUUUUGGGUCAAGACCCGCCCUAAACCCUGAUGGUAAUGGAUCUAGAAAAUUAGUUUCCUCCAAGAGUGCCAGGAUCUGGUCCAUGGGCGUAGCCAGGGUUUUGUGGGAGAAGCAGGCCUUUUGUAGGGGAUGCAGAACCUCAGCUAUGUGUUUUUAUUGAUUUAGGAGGGCACUUGUCCCUCCCUGCCUCUCCUUGGCUGUGCCCAUGAUCUGGUCCAUGACCACCCACUCAGGAACCUUGCCCAAGAAGGGCAGAUUGGCAACUGGCUGGUAGGUACUUAGACUUUCCAAAUCCAGGAAAGUGUUAUUGAGUAGUAGUUUUACCACUGCCUCCUUCAAGCAAGCAGGGACCACCUCCUCUUGCAGGGUGGCAAUGAUCACCUCCUAGGCUUAGCGAGCCAGUUUUUAUCAGCCAAGAGAGGCAAGGAUCCAGAGUGCAAGUGGUUGCCCUGACCAAUCUAAGCACCCUACCUAUUCAUGCACUUAUACAUCCUAUUUGACACACAUAACAGUCAAUUGGAUCUUAAGUCCAACAGCACUUGCUAUUCUGGGAUCUAAGGAAAAAGAUGAGUAUCUGCAGGACAAAAGCACUGGGAUAUGCUGUGCAGAGAAGGAAAUAUGUGUGGGCUUAAAUUCAUCCAAAAUGGACUUCCGGGGAGGUGCCUCCGGUAAUGGCGGAAUUCCUCUGACCGGGAGGAAUCUGCUCCGUGGAAAUCUGGGUCUGGCCGCCACGGCGAAGGCGGAGACCCAUUAAAAUCACAGGCGGGAGAAGCCUGUGAGCGUGGGAUUCGGCGGGCACCUUUUGCGCCUCCUCCACUCAUGGGGAACCCCGGUUUUUGGGGCUCCGGAGCGACGUGGGGUGAGCGGCGUGGUGCAUCGAAUCGUCUGCUUCUUCCACGGAGCGAAGCCGCGUAGCUGUUGCCGGAGAGUGCUGACCUUUUCCUGUGGACAAUUGGACUUUAAAGUAAUUACCCGUGAGUAGAGCUGAAGCGGAAGAAUUGGAUUUCUAAAUGUUUAAUUUGGUAUCGUAACGGGGAGGUUCAAAACAGGAAGUCCGCCUUCCCCUUUUGUAAAUAGGCUGAGGCAAUGAAGUUGCAAGCUGGAGUCCUGGAAAGUCUUUCGUAAAAGAUUAAAUUUCCAUCGGUAAAGAACAUUAAACCCCCUCUUGGAGGCAGGAGAAGAGAGGGGGAAGUUGUGGAUUGAGUAUGCCUGCGGGAGAGAGCGAAGAGAUUUAAAACACCGCCGCUCUGACCCUGGAUAUGGGCUGCUAGUAGGACUGACAUCUUUUGGAAUGUUCAUUGACAGCGUUUAGAACGUUCAUUGACAGCUAGCUAAACAAGAGAAAUACAUUGUUUCUACUGUCUCCGGCUGCUUUAAAAAGGAGUAAAAGUAACUGAAAAUUGAAACUAAUUUGAAACUAAUAUUGGAUUGUUUAAAAGAGGAUACUAUUGACUAUUACAAAUAGAAACUGUUUCCCCCUAGUGGAAGCCUUUGAAACCAGUUGCGUUACAAGAGCUGGGCUAGGGAAAUUUCCAGCUGCAAGUUAAAAACCGUGAGACUCUGGGACUGACCUUGAAUCUUUUAAGUGUUAUGGUAAAUGGAAGAGGAAAAACAGACCAGUCAACUGCUGACAAAACAUUAAGGUCUGGGAGGACUUGGCAACAAUCCAGGAGAGGUCCAUCAUCAGGCUUCCCUGCUCCUUCUGUUGCAGCCUUUGUACCAGUAUAUUUAAAACCAAGAGGAAUGUCGACAGAAGAGGCUUUAGUGGCUGCAUUAUAUAAGAUAAAUGACUCAUUGGAUCAGCUUAACAGGAAAAUGGAUACGAUAAAUGCGAAAGUGGAUGUUUCAACUAUUAAAAUUAACUUAAUUACAGAAAGUAUAAACAAUACCAAUACAGAAACCACCCAGAAAUUGAUACAGGAACUUACUUUGAUACGGCAAACUGCGGAGGAAGCCAGGGAAAAAGCUGUUGUUGUUGAAUGUAAAGUAACACAACUGGAGAGAAAGAGAAAGAGAGCCCCAGCCCUACAGAGGCAAUUUGAUGAACAUAAGUUGACGCUUGCUACGACUGAACUUAUAGAAAAACAGACGAAUUUGAGGAUUAGAAUUCACCUUUGGUGGACAUGCCCAAGGAUUAAGACACUUUGGGAGAUGAUUGAUAAUGAAAUGAAAAAGGUAUUUAAAUAUACCCUCUUGAAGAAACCAGAGGCCUUUCUCCUGGGCAUGGUCGGCCAAUUGGUGUUAAAGAAGGAUAGAACUUUUUUCACGUAUGCAACAAUAGCAGCAAGAAUACUCAUUGUGAAGUACUGGAAGACACAAGAUUUAUCUAUUCGGGAAGAAUGGCAGAUGAAGUUGAUGGACUAUAUGGAAUUGGCGGAAACGACUGGCAGAAAUCCGAGACCAGGGAGAAGAGUCGGUGGAAGAAGACUGGGAAAAGUUUAAGACUAUGUAUAGAAAUACUGUAAAAAUAAUGAAUGUUAGAAAAAUGUUGGAAUGAAGUUAUAUGGCUUUAGUAGAAAUGCUAUAAGGAAUUAAGUAUAAAUAGAUUAAUAGAGUAUUAAAGGGAAAAAUAAGAAUAUGUUAAGAUAAUUAUAGGAUAGAAAACAGAGGAAGAUGGAAAGGAAUUGCUGAAACAAUUAACAGAAGUGGAAUACAAAAAGGGAGGUGUGAGGAGGUCGUGGAAAUAAGGGAACGAAGGUUAAGAUAUUGAAAUUGUUUUCUGUUUUAAAUGGUUUGUGUCUUGUUUUGUUAGUCUUAUGGUUUUUUUGCUUUUUUUGUUUUUCUGUUUUGUUGUGUUUAAACGGUUGGAAAAUUAAUAAAUAUUAUUUAAAAAUAAAUAAAUAAAUUCAUCCAAAAUGGGACAGGGCUGGGAUGGCAGUAGAACGUGGGAGCUUACGCAUGGGGAUAUUUCCAAGGUGUGCACUCAAUUGCCCCUUCCCUAAAUGGUUUUUAAGACUGCAGUGCAAAUGCACGUGGACUGCAUAAGCAAAACACUUGGAUUACCUUCUAGGUAGCAUAAAGACUCUACUUAGUUGUAAAUCAACAUUUUUAAAACGUUUAUAUCAGCCAAUUAGUAUGCAUGUUUGUUUAGGAAAUAGCUGGAGUACAAAUGGGAAACUUGAUUUAAAUCAAUGAUUUAAGCCCAUCUCUUCUCUUGGUGAUUUAAAUUACUGAUUUAAAUCGCCUUGAUUUAAAUCAGUGCGGCAAAGCAAUAAUGCUGGGACAGGAGAGCAGGGUAGAUUAGAGCUUUGGGAGCAGAGCUGACUGGGAAGGUGAGAGGAACAGAAGAGGAGAUACUGGGAUCUUGAGACCAGGCAGAGGCCAACUCUACCAAGGAACAUGCCAUAAAGACAAGUGAAGUGGUUCCAGAAUCUCUGCUAAGUGGGAAGAACAUGCUGAGGGUGCCACUACAAUUGAUAUGAGACAAAACAGAAAACAAUGAAUGUAAACACCUGUGUUCAUUCAGGUGUCCCCACUGUGAGUUGGGACAGCUCCCUUUACCCCAAAACACUCAAUCUUAUCCCACUUCUAAAUACCCCAGAGAGAAUGUUAGUUUCAGCUUUCUGGAGAAUGCAGCAUAGGUGGUAUGAACCUGGAGAUCUGCUAAGACUGGUGCCCCAUGUUCCCUAUGCCAAGUGCAGGCAAUGCCAUGGUAUGUUUCCCAUCUCCUCAUCUAGCUUGGGAAGAAGAGGAGCUCAUCCUUCCAUGUGAGGUGUCCAUUUUACAUAGUUUUGGACAGGUAGCCCAAUGUCUACCUGGGAGCCAAGGGUGGUAAAUGGAGCACUGGGACCAAGGACAGUUCGUCUACUAAUGUCUUCCUCUAGCCACACUCAGCUGGUAGAUUGAACCAUUCACAGGGAUUCUGUGGGGAACAGGCAUUCAUUCAGCCUUGUCCAUCUACCUGUGGACCUUUGGAUUCUACCAUAGAAAAUUGCUUCCACUAUGUUGCAGUGCUGUGUAAAGGGCAUUCAAGAUCCAUGUACUGGACAGAUUAUUGGCUGAUAGACAGAGACAUUGAUAGGAACUAAAAGGAGUUGGAGCACAAGUCCAUAGCACAAAUUUGUAUAUCCUAGUUUAUAUUAUAGGGAUUAUGAUUAUGAGUGGCUGGGGUCUCAUCAGGUGCCGACAAAAAUCCUAGGGCUCAGGCCCUCUGGUUGAAAAAAAACAUGUAUAAAAAGAGUUGGAAAAUGUUAAUACAACUAAACCUCAUAGUAACCUAAAAGGUCAUCACAAAAACAAUAUACCCUACCAACAUAAAUUCAGCAUGUUAUCAACAACCUGCUCUUAACACCAUAUCUGAAGCCCAACUGGUUGUCCUGGGUACAGGUACUCCUUCAGGCAGAUAACCCCACCCCAAACCAUUCAGGGCAUUAAAUAUAUUUACAAGCAGUUUAAACUGGGCUUUGAAAUGUACCAGUAAGUAAUGCAACUGGUACCGUAUUGGCAUAUGUUCUGACUAUCUGACACUGGCCAGAAACUGUGCAACCACUUCUUGUACCAGCUGCAGUUUCUGGCUGGUGGCUUGUUCCGAGCAAGCCUGGAUCAGCCCAGGCAAUUUCAUCUGUGGAAUUCUCCAGUGUCUUGUCAAUCAUCUCCGGUUUCCAGCAGGCUAAUAUUUAGCAAGCUCUGGAAAGCUGCCUGCCUGAAAAACUGAGCACUAGUGCCCAGGGCCACAAGUGAAAUGGGUUGUGUCACCCUCAUGUGCACAAGCUCCUGAAUUUCCCCUCCUGUCCGAGCCUCACUGCAUGAAGCCAUGGGUAUGGCUUGCUUAAGGGAGUCCUCCCUGCAGUCUCCCCCCUUCUGCUCUCAAAGCCCCUUCCCUCCAGCCCCCCACCCCACCCAGUGCCCCCCUUGGCCUCCUCUCACUCACUCCCCACCCCCCAACUCUGCCCGUGUUUCUUUAGAAUAACAUUCCUGCUAAAGACUUUAAUCAGAUUAGUAGCAGUGUCUGCAGUGCUGUUAAAUCAAUGUUCCCCAACACGGCUCGGCGGCUGGAAAUCAAUUACUGUUUAAGCCGUGCCUUGGUCCCUGGCCUGCGAUCAAUACGCCAGAUGUAUUACUCUCUCCGAGUCUUUCCGACUAAAAACCUUUCAUUUGUGUAACAGGAGCUUAAGAAGGAAGACCGCCCCACUGCUCCUACCAGGGCCAGCCCCCACUAUCUCACACUCGGGCAAGGGGAGAGCUGGGGCUAGGGCGUCCCUGGGCCGAACCACUUGGGAAUGUCAGGCAGGAAGAGCAGUGAAGCCAAGACAGCCUCAGGUUCUGCCUCCUCCAAGAUUCACUCCCUGACAAGUCUAUACCCUGCCCCUCUUUAGAAAAUGGCAUAUUCCUUCAGGCACAUAUGUAGGCACAGAGAGAGUUCCAAAUCUGCCUGCUCCCAAUGGCUGCAUACACACCAUACAUUAAAAACACGUUUUUUCCCCACCGCAAAGAAUACUGGGAGCUGUACUUUGUUUAUGUAACAAAAUUUAUAUACUGCUUGAUUGUAAUAAGGCCUCUUCUUCGGGUGUGGGGAACCUUUGGUUGUCCAAGUGGUGCUGAACUGCAAGUCCCAUCAUCCCUGGCGAUGUUUGCUGGAGUGAGGGGAGUUGUAGUACAGCAACAUCUGGUUGGGUUAAAGAUUCCCCACACUGCUCUACGUGGUUUACAAGGGUGACCUGUGCUUCCCAGCAUCCUUUACAAACUACAGAUUACAGGAUUAUUUUGGGGGGGGGAGUGAGAUUGAAAUGUAUUAUGUGUAUGCAUCCACCUAUCCCUAGUUCCUCUCUUUCCUUCAAGUUCAGUGGGCUGACUACACAUAAUUUCACCACUUGGCUCUCUUCCGCUCACUCACUACCAGAAUCACCAAGGUCCCCUCCACUGGCCAGGGCCAGCCCUAUCGUUAGGCAGGGUGAGGUGGCUGCCUCAAGCAGUAGAUGCUGGGAAGUAGUGAGGUACUGAAGGCAUGAGUCUUUAUGUGCCAUACACUGCCUGCCUUAUGCUUCCCAAGUUAGCCUUCCACCCUCAGAUGUAGUAGAAGAUGCUGUCCCAUUGUGGGUGUUGAAAGUAAGAUUCCACCUACCAGUCUGGUUGACUUUUGUACAUCAAAUGGAGGUAUUUGCAGGUUGCUUUCUUGUCUUUCAUUUCAGGCAGUAAAAUGCCUUUCUUGGACCAACCCAAAGCUUAGAUCUGCCCACUGCAUCCUUGCCCCAGACUCUCAGGCUGUGAUCUCCAUUCUCUUACUGUCCUCAGUUCCCAAGGGCCUGUGGUCUCUGAUCCAAGUAUGUAGAAUAAGCUGAAUUAGUCACGAUAAGAAUCUUUAAUUAGCCGUGAAUAUUAAUGGCUUGCUCUGUAAUUAAUCAGGCUCUGUGGGUCAGGGCUGGGAGGCUUCUGUGCAUACAGAGGGACAAGUUCACAAGCUCCUUCACCAGAGGCUCAUACCAGCUCUGACAUCUGGCCAGGUUGGGGGGGGGGGGCUUGGAAACUUGCAAAGGGAGGAAGGGAGGGAGAAUCUACCAAUGGGUGCAAAGCCAUUGUUGUACACAUUACAAGAUAUGAAUUCCUCUCUAGAACUAGACAAAGCUGUGAGGUGGUAGGGUUGCCAGGGUGCAACUGUACCCCCUUGCUCUGAUUUCCCUUCUGUGGGUCCUUGCCCGGCAACCCAGGAGUGAUGCUCAUAGCCUUUUCUAUCCCUGCACCACUUGUCCAAAUGUUACCCUCUGUAUUGAGUCUGUUGUACAAUACAUUGACUAGCAAGAAGUUCUCUCUCAAAAAAUCCAAGAUCAUUAACUCAAGGUGAUUACAGCUGCCUGUAACCCUGGCUGAUCAAUGCAUCAUAAUGCGUAUGAAGUAUACAAAGGUCAUUCUUUACCUGAAAUGAUGGAAAUUAAUACCAACACUUUCCGUGAUCCCAGAAGUAUGCUUAGUUUUUAAAAACCACAUCAUAUCUGAUUCUGCAUCGACUGGUGUAAAUGAAAGACAACCCUCUUCUUUAUUAUAAAGUGCAUGAUGAAUGCACAACAGAGCUGCAACAGGUUCAGAUGGAAAGAAGCCUGUAAGGAUAGCCAGGAACUGAUCAGGUGCAUGCAAAUAGACUACAGAUGCUGUUGGACUACAACACCCAUCAUCUUUGGCCAUUUUGGCUGGGGCUGAUGAGAGUUCAGCAACAUCUAGAGGGACCCAUAUUUACUACCCCUGGACUAUAAUAUAUAGAAUAGCUGGAUUCCUUUUGGUGCAGUCCAGGGUUCCAGCAUAACCUACCUUGACAUAAUUAUUCCCUCUCUCAAAGAGCACUGAAACAGGCCUCUAAUGGGCUGUUUUGUUAAGUGGGGUGUGGUUCCCUGGAAGAGACAGGACACUGGUGAACCAAUGUUACAUGUCUUAUUAGUAACUGAUUUAUCAUCAAGACGAUUGAUUUUCCAAAGUGUAGACCCCAUGAGGCUUGCCGAAAGGAGUGGGGUCAUAAGUUACUUGUAGCAACAGGCCUGGUUAUGAGAGCGUCCUUAGUGGACUAGAUUAUAGGAGCCCAAGGGACAAGUGGCACAGGAUCAUGGUGGUGGUGAAGCUGAGCAAGAGGAGGUGAAAGUACUGGGGUAAGUAAAGGGCUGUGGGAACUUUUUCAGCUCAGGGGCUGAAUUACCUUUUGGGAAGUCAUGUGCCAUUGGUGGGCAGGGCCGGAGGCAAAAUUGGGCAAAGCAACAGAGAUGAAUUUUACCUUCGUACAGUUGACGAGUUUCUACUCACACUUCCACACAUUCCCCAUCCAAGCCAGUGAGAAGCAUCACCAGAGUUCAAGGGCACUUUCGGGCCAGGUGAAAACACUCAAGGAAGGUCUGAAGCAGGGCUGGUGAGGGGUGUGACCUGAGAAAGUGGGUGUGGCUCAGAAAGGGGAGUGGCCUGGAGAGAGCCCCCAAGGGCCAGAUAAAGAGGUCUAGAGAGCUACAUUUCGCCCCAAGCUUGGGGUUCCCUAACCUUGUGUUAGUAUAUCCAUAAUGGUUUCUAGAGUGGGGGAGUGUGAUAUAGUGAAGCUAAAAAAGGAGCAGAAUUUCAUAAAUUAGAGGAGAAGUGCUUUUAGGAAUUUUAUUUGAUUAAAGCACCCAUUUUCCUUUUCAAGUCCUCACUCCUCUGUCUCCAAGGACACACCUGCCUGUCUCCAUUAUGCCUCGAGCAGUGUGUGUGUGUGUGUGUUUGUUCUGCUUCCUUCUUUCUAGUCUGGGUAAAGCUCUCGAUUACAAUCCAUCCAACUAGCCUGCUGACCUUGACGUACAUGUAUCAUGGUCCCCAGAUCACAAAGAUAUUCACACGCAUUGAUUUCCCUCAUGUCUCCUGCAUGCUGUUGACAAUUGUUAAUCCACACUGUCAAUCCUGGGCCCGUGGUGUGAUUAGCAGUCUGGUGGUACCUCUCAUGUGUCACACUGACUUUACACCAUGAAUCAGCAUUUUAUGGUCUGACAGAGUGCUAAGACAUUCACUGUUACAACUGUCUAUACAGAGGAGGCCUUCCUAGUCCCCACAUCUAUCACAGUGGACUGUUCCAGCUAUAUAAACUAAGGCAGGGCUGAGCAGACGUCAGACUUGCAAGUUCUGCUUGGUGUUAUCCACACAUACACACACACCCCUGAACCACAAGAUCGACCCGCUGGAACUGGGUGCAAAAGGCACCCAUUUAGAAUGAAAUAAAUCUGAGUCCAGGAAUUUGUCUUGAAUACCAGAACUGAGCAGAACUCGUGGUGUAGUUGCCAAACAGAAAUCUGCUCCUGGUCAACACAAUCACAUUCCCUUGCUGGCUGGGCUGAAGAGAAAAUUAUUCCUGGUAUGAUUUUAUGUAAUGAGAAAACCUAUGCCAGGUACAAUUUCCCCUUCUGUGCAUGCUUUAGGGCCAAACUACAUGGUACAUACAACAUUUUUCAUUUUUAAUAAAACUCACUCAGAGGGUGAGUGGACUUCAAAUCCCAUCAUGCCUAGUUAUUGGCCACGAUGGCUGAGAAUGAUGCGAGUUAUAAUCCAAAAUAUUUGGAGGGCACCAGGUUGGAGAAGGCUAUGCUAAAGAUAACAGACAGUGACUGUGGAGGUGUAGCAUCUGUUCUGUGCUGACCCUAGGGAAGGGUACAGUCUGUGGGGCAAAGAUUAAUCAAACAAGAAGAAGAAUUGAUAGUCUUUCUGCUGAAGCAGGCUACCAACAUCGUAAUUUUGCAGCAAUCUGACUUGUAGCUGUGUAACUGGUUUGACUUGUUUCCUCUCCCCUUCCCCACACCAUGAUUUGUAUACUUCUACAUUGACAAAUGUUGGUUCAAUAAACAAUAUCACCUUGCCCAUUUGGUCUCUCUGUGCUCUGGGACUACGACUUAUUGUCUACACACCAAGCUAUUUUAGUGGUUAGAUUAGCAAAUUGAGCAUUACCUUGGAUUUGAUUGCUUGAAUUAACUGCUCAGGGGGUCGUUUAGCCAAGGAGUUGAGAAUAUGUAGGAUGGUAUUGUAUUUUGAUUUACUGUUCCAAUCUCCAGUGCUUUGUGGUGCAGGAAACCUUGGAUUUUCUUAAGGUAGCACCACAAGUAGCGUGUAUUUUCUCCGUGUUGAAUAACAGCAAGAACAAGCCCAGUUAUGGCCUCUUUAUGUUUUCAUAAAAAUAAAAAAAACAGCCAGCCUGCCUGCAAGAGAGUGGAUGUCAAGGUUCUUCAUAGAUUUUCUCUCACUUGGUGCAAUCACUUGGAAUGGUUGGUCCACAAGAUUUGUUCCACUAAUAUAGAGCAUGGUGGGUAAUAUAUUGGUUGUUCAGUCUGAUCCUAAGCCUGUAUACUUGCUAUGUUUGUCUCCCCUUCCCGCCUCUUGGUUUAAUAUCUUUCCUCUAUCAACAUUUAGACUCUAAGCUCCCAGGAGGCAAAGAGAAGCAGCCACCUCAGGCAGUAAAUCCUGAGGAACAGGGAGAGAAGAGAGCUUUUUGUGCCACGUGGACUGCCCUGCACUCCCUAAGUUAGCCUGUGGCCUUUGGUGCCAUGAAGGCCGCUGUCCCACUGCCGGUGCUGAAGCAAGAAUCGACUGUCAGUCUUACCUUACAAAGCUCUGUGUACAUCAAUGGUCCAGUAUAAAUAAUACUUGUGGACAUAGGAUUGCUGCCCUAAUGGAGCAAUGGUGGAGGUGACUUCUGUAUUCUGGACCCCUCUGGAUUUUGUGCAGCACCCUGAGAUAAGGGGAGGCAGAUCUCACGAAUUCCGUAUUACAAAAUGCUGUCAGUACUUCCUGUUUCACACCCAGUAAGCUAGAGCUUGUAAUAUAAGUGGGAUAAAUGCAUUCCAAUAAAGAGCUCUAAAGUAUCUGCCAGAGCACAAGAGAACAGCAUCUAAUCCAGGAAGUGUUCAGAUCCCAUUGAUGGCUCUGAAUCGCCUUAGACAGCACAUCUAGCCAAAUAUUCCAAAGAAAUGGAGGAGAACACGCGUAGAAUACUUUAGGGCAUGUCAAUCCCUCAUUUUGGCCAAACAAGGGCAAGGGUAUGAGUAAGAAAAAUGCCUAAUUUAACAAAAUUAGAUUUUCUAGUAAAAGCAGCCACAAACCAUUAUGCUAUCAUCUAACCUCCUGCUUCAGCCUAACUACAUUUAUCUGUGUUCCUGAGAUGCAAGCGGAAUAAUGUCUGUGCUCCUGGACAGACUCAUCCUUCUGUUUUACAGAUUCCUUGAGAAUCUGUGUGUCCUUAACAGCCUGAUCCUAAAUAUGUUUGCUUCAAAAUAAGUGGUGAUGCUUGAGUAUUUUGCUUGGCCUGUGUUUUGAAACAAACCUACCCUGAUUUGCCCUUCCCAGAUCAGAACCCAGUUAUGAUGCUGUUUCCAUGCUUCUUCAAAUCUUACAAUAUGGUUCUUUAUUCAAAAAUGUACUGACAUUUGUAUUUCAUGAUAACAUAAUACCAACAUGCAUAUUUUCGGAUAAAGUGCAUGCAAAAAUGUGUAUUUCUGUGAAAGAUGUAUGCAAACACAAAGCAAAAUUUCAUGUGGUCUAAAAAAAAUGCAGAUUGAUAUUGAUAUGUAAACAGGACAGGACAGACUUAUGAACAUACAUGUGCCUGGAAAGAGAGGGGCAAAAGGUAAGUGUGGAUAAGCCUACCUUAGCCUAUUACUCUCUCCUCCAACUGGCAGCAGCUCCCUGAACCUUCUGCAUGCAAAUAAUAUGCGGUACCCAUUAAUCUAGGCUCCCUGCCAUUCUUCACUCUGUAGAAAAUUCAGGCUUCUGUGACUUGCCAUCCUAUGUGUAGAUGUGUUUGUGUUACAGCUCAAUCGCACAGCUGACACCUUGGUCACAACCAAUGCCUACACAAACUUGGCUCCCUCUUCUCUCCUGACCACUUGGCAUUUCCUAACAUGGCAUAUGUGCUGCAGUGAGUUGUUGUUGUUUCUUCAUUUAUAUCCCACCUGACCUCCAAGGAGUCCAAGGAGGCAUACAUGGUUCUCCACUCCAUUUUACGCUCCCAACAACCCUAUGAAGUAGGUUAGACUUAGAAACAGUGGCUUGUCCCAGAUCACUCAGUGAACAUUGUGAUUGAGUCGGGAUUGAACCCUGGUCUCUCAGCUCCUAGACCGAGACUCUACCCAUCACACCAUACUGGGUUCACUGCACCAUAGCUGUGGAGGUAUGAUAUAAGAGGAGCCUGUUGGAUGGGGCCAGUGGCCCAUCUACAGUCCAGCAUCCUAUUCUCACAGAUGCCUGUGGAAAAUCCACAAGUAGGACCUGAAAAUUCUCUCCUCCUGCAGUUCCCAGCAACUGGCCAUCAUUUCAAAAAGAGAAUUCUAGAAAAGGAAAAAUAAGGGUCGCAUUGGGUAAGUCAGGGAAGCUGGAAAAGAGAAGAAGACCUAGUUUCAACAUUUAGAAAUAUGUGAUUCUGUCUGUAUGGAGAGCAGCUACUGUCCUAUGAGAGCUUGAAAUGGUGUUAUGAAAAAAAUCAUGUAAUGUAAGCUCUUGUUUUUAUGUUGCUCAGUGCCUGGCUAGUAGUCAUCAGCAAUGUCAUUCAAUUCACAUCUAAUAAAGACAUUUGUGUGGCAAUUUGUGCAGUAUAUCUUGGUUUUCAUACACAGGUAUGCUGUGCCUGGCCUCCGGUUAAGUUUUGCCUUGGGCCUUCAGAACCUCUGGACAGACAUACAGAGGAGAGGCUCUGACACUUCCUAUGAAUUGUGGAUUGCUGCUUGCCAGGUUGGAUAAGUAUUGUGUGGACUGACCUGUUCUGUUUCUGCAAUCACCGAGGGGAGAAAUACUUUGUUAGAUGGCAGGGCCUUUUUCUUUUGUAAAAGGUAAAGGUAAAGGUACCCCUGCCCGUACGGCCAGUCGUGUCCGACUCUAGGGUUGUGCGCUCAUCUCACUUAAGAGGCCAGGGGCCAGUGCUGUCCGGAGACAAUUCCGGGUCACGUGGCCAGCGUGACGAAGCUGCUCUGGCGAGCCAGCGCAGCACAUGGAAACGCCGUUUACCUUCCCGCUAGAAAGCGGUACCUAUUUAUCUACUUGCACUUAAGGGUGCUUUCGAACUGCUAGGUGGGCAGGAGCUGGGACCGAAAGACGGGAGCUCACCCCGCCGCGGGGAUUCGAACCACCAACCAUACGAUCAGCAAGUCCUAGGCACUGAGGUUUUACCCACAGCGCCACCCGCGUCCCUUUUGUACAUCUCAGUAAAUUCUACUGCUGGGAAAAUCUGCCCUGCCCCAAAACUAUUAGGGUGUUCAGUUGCUGGCCUGAAAGUUAGGGCGGGGGGGGGGGCAGAAGGAAUAACCCUGCUUGAAAUGUUAUUGUGGCCAAACAACCAAUUCAGCUAUUUCCUCAGUAUUACUUCCUUUCCUAUAAAGUGCCUAAAAUUGGUAACCACUGUGCAAAAUUUGAAAGCAAUGCAAGCUCCGUCCCCAGGCUUACAGUUGAGAAAAAUGCCAUCUAGUAAGCAAAAGGCACAUACUUAAAAUCAUUUAACAAGGAUUAGUUAACCCUGAACACUAUUUAACUACCCUGUGGUUAAUUAAAUUACAACAACAAUUAGAUUUGUAACAGAAUGUGCGUUAUGGAUGUGGUGGGGACUUUGCGUCAGCGAUUAUGAUUAAGGAAACUGGGAAAGGAAGCAACUCCCACAUUGUUCACAUAAGACUUCUUCCAGCUGUGGUGCUCAAAAUGGCAUUACAGCGCAUAGAUGUCUUUUCAGAAGUGAGGCCCACAGAGUUCAAUGGGGCUUGCUGCUAGGUAAGUAGGUAGAAGAGUGCUCUGUUAGUUACUCUCCAGUCCUGGCCAUGAUUCUUUUUCUCAGACCAGGCCCAAAAAUACAUCUCAGUGCCGCGCUAUAUCCUCCCUGAGUGUGCUCAUUGCAUAGGAUUACCUGCAUAAUCUCAUCCAACACCAUUCAGGCUGUGUGCACACUAUACUUUUAAAGCAUAUUUGAAGCCCAUUCUUUCCCUCAAAGGAUUCUGGGCACUGUAGUUUACCUUCACAGAGUUACAAUUCCUAACAACUAGGGUGCCCAGAAUUCUUUGAGGGAAGAAAAUGUGCUUUGAACAUGCUUUAAAGGUGCAGUGGGUACACAGCCUCCAAGGGUUACCACGAUUUUGAUUCUGAAUGCAGAAUCUGUGGUGAAAGUGAGUGAGAGAGUUGUGAUGGUGUUGUCUCCCAGAUAUUGUUGGACUCGCAACUCCCAUUGAGCCUGACCUUGGGCUAUGCUGGUUGGGACUGAUGGGAGUUGGAGUCCAACAACACCUGGAAGGUGCCAUGCCUUAGAAUACAAAAUGCAAUUAGAGAAUCACAUCUUCUGCAUAGCUCAUGACAUGAUUUGUUUAUUGCUAUUUGAUUUCUCUGUCUUCCUCUGCCCCACUCCCAUACACCCAUAAGAAUAUGGAGUAAGAGACAUUAUCUGAAUGGUUGUAUUAAAGUGGUUGUUGUAUAUCCAGCAGAUCCAUAAUGUAAUACAUGGCACACUACUGAAAUCUGUGAGGCUGUACAGUUGUGCAAAGCCAAGGGAAGGAGAGUGGGUGGGGAAGAUACAAAUCACAGAUUAAAACAACUCCCCCUUGUGGGUUUUUCUUUUAAACGGGGGAAUUGAUCAGAAAAGAGAGGGAAGAUCAAGGGCCAAAGGAAGUAACCCCAAGGGUCUCAACACAAAAUAAUUACAAUUACAGUUAAUGGAAUUGUCGACUGCAUAAUCACCAUCUGCUUAAAGCACAUGACUUCCCCCAAAUAAUUAUGGGAAGUAUAGUUUGUUAAGAGUGCAGGGAAUUGUAGUUUUGUAGGAUAAACUACAGUUCCCAAGAUUCCGUGGAGGAAGUUAUGUGGCUUAAACAUUUGGUGUGCAUGUAGCCACUUGUCUCAUCAUGUUUGUUGCACAGUUACAUCUACAUUAGGAAAUUUGCCCAUCCAAACUGCUACAAUAUUCAAAAUCAUGCUGUGCAACAGCUAAGCACAGAUGUAUUCCAUACAGGUCAGGUGCACAUUACAAAUGCCACAGUUUGGCAUGGGCUUAGAGUGGCAGACGUGUGGGGAUGCCAAACUGCAACAAAACCAUAACAGUGCCAUGGGUGUGAAUCAGGUGAAUGGGGUCUUUGCCUCACUGAAGAAGCUGGAACCCCAUAACCUGACUGGAGGCGGGGAAGCCCUUGGCCAGUGCCUGCCUCCCUGAGAAAUGGGUCUGGCUGAAGAAAGCUGUGCCUAUGUUGGCAUCACAGGCUCCUGCAAGGAGAGUUUGCUUAAACUGCGCGACUUUAACAGCUCCCAUUACCCUAACUGAUGAGCCCCAUAAAGUUUAUGGCUCUGAGUGUGCGGGAGCCAUGCUAACGGUCCUUGCCAUCUGGAAAAGAUGGCUCCGUAGGGGCCAUAUGCCCCCACCCCCCAUUGCCCUGCUACAGCAGGGAGGAGAAUGCUGAGCCAGCACCUUAGAGAAAAAGGCAUCAGGCAUUCAAACCCCCCUCUCCACAUGCAGGGUGGUGGCGUCAGCAUCCCCUCUCCUGGGGGUGGGGGAGAAAGAAAAGCAAAAGGGAGGAAUUUGGCAAAGCUCAGGAUCUGGAGGCUGGAUGUUUUUCUCCCUGCCUAAAUUGAGUGGGCCUGUUCACUGUAGGAGGUAGGGCCACCCCCCAGCUGCUUCUGUGUUUAGAACCAGACACAAGGACCUUGCAUGAGGAUUGCCACUGGGCAGAUUUUAAAGUACCGUAAUAGAUCAGCCUUUAGGCAGUGGGGACUUCUAACGUGUAUAAAUUGAGACAAACAAAUGCACAACACAUGAUUCCCUCCCCCCAGGACCUUUCACUAGUAGGACCGCCAACGUAGGGGUGGGGGGCAGAUGACAAAGCUGGCCUGCUCCUGUGCCUUUAACAGCAGCUUGAUCUGCUAAAAAUGAGCAGGCAAGGCUUUUGAAGGCAUAGAGCUCAAGCAGAUCAAACUUGAUAAGGCUGUGUAGACACAAACCUUUUGCAGCACGAAAACACCAUUUUUCUCCAUCCAGAAUCAUCCAUGCUUGUCCUUGGCUGCGUACACCCAACAUUUUAUUCUAGAAGCAAUGGAGACUGAGUACUUGUUGUUGUUGGGUUUUUUUGUGUAGUCCACACACAAUCGAGAUCUACUGCAUGUUUCUGCCCUUGCAAUGGGCCUCUUGAGGAAUGGGUUUCAUUCCAAAAAUAAAAGCUCAUUUCAGAUCGGUUCUGCAUUGUUCCUCAAUGUGUCCAUUCAAAAACAGGUAAGAAUAGAUGUAGGUGGUCCCAGUAAUGGAGGGUGUGUCCACACCUGCCCAUUAACAUUGUUGGUACCAAGAGGUAUUUGUUCAUUCAGCUGGGGCAUGUGCAGGAAGGAAAAGACAUAAAUAAUCUAAUUUAGGGUUUCUGAAACUUGGGACUCCAGCUGUUUUGGACUACAAUUCCCAUCAUCCCUGACCACCAGUCCUGCUAGCAAGGGAUGAUGGGACUAGUCCAACAACAGCUGGAGACCCAAGUUUGGGAAACCCUGAUCUAAUCAAAGGGAGGGGUUUCAAAGACCUAUCAAGUAUAGUAAUCACACUCACCUUUGUGGGUGGCAGGAACUAGAAUAAAUCUAGGUUGAAAGAAGCAUGGUGAGGAUGAUCAUGAAUGAUUCCAGAUUGAGAAAAACUAUGUUUUUGUGCUACAAGCACAAAACAACGUAUCUAUUCCUAACAUUUACUAAAUUUAAGAUUUUAGGGGGAUCUGCCCCCCCAAACUCGUAACACUUUUAGGGGGACCUAGCCCCCCCAGCCACUGCCAAAACUCAUCACAGUAUGGUGCAUACCCAGCAACAGAUGGAGUGGUGCUGCUGGUGGUUGUUAGAGGGUGGAAGUUUUAAGCAUAUAUAUACAGAGGUAUGUGUGUGUUUCCCCCCUGUACUAUAUCUUCUGGAUGGCUGCUUUUUAUAAUUUUUGAAAUGUUUGCAAAUAAAUAUACUGUUGUCGUUUUUUUAAAAAACCAACACACUGAUCUAUAUACUGUGAGCCAUCUGACCUGCUAUUAGUCGGGGGCUAUUCUGUGAAUAGACACAAAUGUGCUUGAGUCUAGUGCAGGAGGACAUCACUUUGGUCUUUUGCUUCAGGUGCCUUAAGUGCCAGCAUUUUUAACUCCCCUUGCAAAGAAAGGCCUCUGCUUGCUGCCGUUUUUGAGUACAUGCCCUCCAACAGUUCCAAGAUGAAAACAGGGAGACUUGUAAUCCCUCUUCUCAGUAUCAUUACGUGUUAUACGUUGCUGAAGGCUCUUCCUUGCUUGCUGCCCAUUGUAUUCAUUUUACUCUGCCACAGCCUGUCCUGCAUCAGCUUCCGAAGCAAGGUCUGUGAGCAAACUGACCAGAACAGAUUUCUUAGAAUAGUGAAUCUCACUGUGGAUCUGGCUGCAACUGCAACUCAGACUCAGCAGCAUUUAUUACCUGGACAGGAACCAGGGGCAGGGAAAUCGAAGACAAGCAAAGCUCCUUUUGCAUGUAUCUGCAUGUAUGUGUGCUGGAAUAAAGUUGGAUCAUCACUCACUCAAGAUAUUUAGCUUCUAGAGACAAUUUAGAGCACAAAUGGAGAAGCUGUUAGCUUCUGGCUGUUGCUGAACUCCAGACUCCCAUCACCUCAGUCAGGAUGGUUAAUGGUCAGGGAUGAUUGGAGUUAUAGCCUAUCAGUAUAUUGAGUGUGGGCACAGGUUAGUCACUCCUUAUCUAGAGAGCCAACUUUAAACCUGCAAGAACUCUGGUGUUCCUUGGUGUCAAUGGAAACUUCCUUCACAGAACUAACAACAGGCUUUUUGGGGCUGAGUGGUGGUCAUCAGGAUCAUGGUAGGGAAGGGAAUGGUUAAACCUGUGCAAACCAUGGCUAUGAUGCUAAUCACCCAUCCCUCUGCCUGCCUGCUGUUUAUACUUUUUAAAAAAGGUGGGGGGGAUCCAUGUUGUUUGCAGAGAUGCUUUAGUGUGAUAUGGUGUUUGGCUUCAACAAUUCUUAAAAUUCAUUCCUGGCAGGCAAAAUAAGGACAUCAUUUUGCAAGGGACAUAUACCAGAUAAAAAGUGAUCCCUGGAAAAUAGGAACAGUGAAGGGCCAAAACAGACCUGAUGUUAAAUGCAUCUUCACAUUUAAUAUGCCCAUUUUUAAAAAAUGCAAAUAGCUGCCUUUUGCAGGAGCUGACAGUUGUCAGGAUUCCAGCUGGUAGGGAGGGAGAGUUUAACCCUUCCCUCCCUUACUGUGGUCCUGCAGAAAAUAACUCCUUUGAAGUUGCUAUUUGCACUAGGAAGAAAUCCCUCCAUCAGUACCCUUGGGUGCUUUUUUCCAAUACAAAUAGCAGCCUUUAAAGGAGUGGCUUUUUUUGUCAGGACUGCAGCAGGAGAGAAGAAAGGGUCAGAACCCCCACCCUCUACCUAUUGUGAUCUUGAGAAUGACUAUCCCCUCUCCCUGGCCACUGCUAUUUGCAUUUUUAGCCAGCAUGCACAUUAAAUGCAAAGAUGCAUUUUGCAUCUCUUAGUUUGGUCCAGAGUAUAAGUGCCCAUUUCCUGGAGCAAGGACCAGAUUCUAAAGUGGUUCAAAUACACUUUCCUUGUGAAGAUGGAACCUGAAGUAGCCAGACCUUUAGGAAUCGGUCAAGGGUGUGGGCCUGGCACCUUGAAAGAGGAGCCAAAGCCUCUGCUUGAAACCAGAUUGCCUUGGUCCAUUGUUCAUCCCAGGGUUCCUCCCCUCGCUGCUCGGUGGCACUUGCCCAGGGCAAGAUUUUUGGGCUGGCUUCAUGCUCAGUGUGGGCAUGAGCAGCGCUCAAGCAGACAUCCAGAAUUCAUGCAGCUCUCCACGCUUCAAUGCCCCUGAAUAGCCUCCGCUCACGCUCCUCUAUUGUGCCCAGGGCGGGGGCGGUGUGGGAGCUUGGCAUAGCUAUUAAUCCCAACAAUGGGCCUUUAAUUGGACUCUCCAUUGCUCGUACAGAAACGCUGGCACGUGCCAGUUAAGGAAUGUCUGAGGCAGCGGCGAGUUUUGUGUAUGCAAGGGGGAGUGGCUCCCCAGGGCUUUGGAUGGCCUCUCCCUUGGGAGGCAGCUGCACACCGAUUCACGUCCCAUUCAUAAAUGCAGGCCGAGCACACGUGUACAUGCAGCAGGCGUGCACUGGAGUACAUCCCUUUCACAUGGGAUGCACGUAGGCUUCUCUCCCUUUCAAGCAUACAUGCACAUAUGUGCAAACAUGACAUGGACAGACAGGCACCUUGUAGGCCUAUGCAAGAUGUAUCUGACUAUUCCACUUAACAUGCAAAUUGAAAUUGCCACAGGAACCCCCUUGCACAUACAUUCAGCCUUGCAAGCAAUGCCCCCACAUAUUCAGCUGGAUUGGGGGAGAAGCAGCAGUCAAGAGUAAGGGAUGUCUCUUUGGAGGUGGCUCCAUAGUUUGGGGAAAACAGCAGAUAAGGGCUUGGCAGGGUCUAUUGUGUGUUCACUGGGCAUAAAGUGCCACAUUCUUCGAAUGUGGGUGGAUGUUUGUGGAGGGGCAGUGACUCAAGGAGCCGAGAGGCCUCGGCUUAGUCCGCUUCUACUGGACUCCGCAGGGUUGUGAGUCAACAAUCUCAGGCCCUUUGUUUAAAGGUAUUUAUACCAGUUCCCUUUCGGAAGAGGAAUGAAAAAUCCAGAUAAUGUGGAGGAAAGUGUUCGCGCACAGGCCCGUGGGCUGUUCUUGUUUAUGUUCUCAAGGAUUGUUUGGUUUCACCCACACAGUCGCAACAACGGGGAUAUUGUGCUAGGCACUUCAUAUGUGUUAUGCUUGGCAAAAGUAGGUCCCUUGUAAUUGAAGUUUGCUGUCUGAGAUGUGGGUAAUUUGCUUCAGUGGAUAUGGGAGUGUAGUUUUUUGCACUGGCUUUUCUGAUAAGAUCUUGUUCCACUUUAAGCUGUUGCGUCCUGCUCUGCAGGGCAUCUACUUUCGAUAAUUGGUUCAAGUAAGUUAGGAGGUCAUUUUUUCUCUCUCUUCUCCCCCACCCCCACCCCAGUGUGUGUGUGGGGGGGGUUAUUUUAGGAACUGGCCUGACUACAUGGAGUUAGUUUGUGUGCAUCUGUUCCAUGCUUUCAGGAUACGCUGAACACAGUAACAAGCUUCCUCUACAAACGUUUAAGUGUUUGUGUGAAAGAGUGUACACUUGUUGAUUUGUACAGUUGUAUACACAGUUUCACACACUUCACACUCAUCAAACAUUCCAUGUGAGUAACUGUAUAAGUGUACAGAUCAUCUACUGUGUACACAGAUUGCCCACUCGUUAAACAUAAUGAUGGGUAACAGCUAGGAAUCUGUGGCUAGAGGAAAUAAUACCCAUUUGAAACAAAUUCUGCUAUGGUAUUUUUAUGGCUUGUUUCAUAUGGUCCUGAUCCAUGGUGGCUGCCGCCCAUUGGGACUGGUAGGGUGGAAAGCAGGGAGCCCACAGUUUGUGGGUAAGAGCCAAUGACAGGCAGAGCCAACUUAACUCUUGACUUGUCUGCAUCCUCCUUCCUGCUUAUUUCUACAAGCACUACUUGUAGAACUUGGCACUGCUGGGAGGGAGGAAGGAAGGAAGGAGGAGGAAGCUGGCAGCCAAGGCCACCCCCAGUACUGGUUGUCUGUAAGAGGAAGCAGACAGGUGGGACUGGCUGAGGACAGACCCAAGUGAGUGGGGCAGUGCCUCCUUCACCCUAAUGGACUAGCUUUCACUAGUCAUAAUGGUCUGUGUUACAGUAUGCUUAUUUAGUGUUUUGUUUUGUCGCCCAGGGCGAUAAACACAUCACAGCUAAAAAUAAAUAAAAAAUGUAUUUGAAACAUUUAAAAAUAAUUAAAAGCCUCUUAAAACAAUAAAGACAGUAAAACAUUAAUCAAGAUGAAAAACAGAUUUAAAAAGAGAUAUAGCCAAGGCAGGGAGUUCCAGAGCACUGUCACCCUAAAGCAAUGACUCCUUGCAACCAAAUGUGGAAUGUACAUGGUGCAGCAUUUGUAGAAGUUCAAGUUCCACAGACUGAGUAGAUUGAGUAUGUAUGUGGUAAGGUGAUCCCUUCAGAAAACUAGUCACAUUUAUGUACUAAUAGUAACACCUUGAAGUUGAACUUGGCUUGGUAGCCAACUGGAAUUCCAUGCAAAUUCUUGAGCACAGAUAUAGUAUUCUCACAGACUCUUAAACCUGUCAGCAAUUGUGCUGCAGUAUUCUGCAGUUUCUGCAUCAAGUACAAGGGAAACCCUGCGUAGAGUGCGUUGCAGCAACCCAGUGCCUGAACCACUGUGGUUAGACUGUGAGGAUUCCACCAAAAAUGUCUGCAGUUGGCCUGCCACUACUGUCUUCACAACCUUCCCUCAAAAGCAGGUAUUGGUGACUGGUCGGUAGUUAGUCCAGACUGUCGGUUCCAGAGUUGGCUUCCUUAGGAGGGCCCUUACCACUCCUUUUUUCAAGGCAGCAGGGAUCACUCACUCACACAACUAAGAGUUAACCAUGCUCUAGACCCAACCAGUCAAACCCUGCUCUGUUAGAUAUAAUAAGCUGAAUCUAAUGUGUGGCAUGAUUGGGGGUGGCGGUGAUAUCAGAAGCUCAUUUGUUAGCUACAGGGGGUGUGUUUUAGGAAGGUGCUGCAUCUGUGUAUUGGGCAAUGUGUGUUUUGUUUCUGAGCACUGGCCUGCCUCCUUUCCCUUGUGAGCCUGCCACAAACCCUGUGAUGCAGAUGGAUACUCUAAAGACAAGGCCAAUUCCAGUUCAUUGGCCAGCACAGUGUCCCCUUUUGAUGGGCUCUCCAGGGAUAAAGUUGGUGCCUAGGAGCUCUGAGAGCCUGGAAGAACUCUGCCCGUCUCUUCCAGAGGGUUUGUCACCUUUCCCUUCUGAUCAGAAUGCUUGUCAGGCUGGCAGCAUGAUGGAGAUGUCAGGCCCGACCUGGUGCUCCCCACCGUGGGAGAAGUCAUCACCAAAUGCUAAUGCAAACAGACGUUUGUUCCUAGCGGGACACAAAAGGACCUACCGGAGCCUGCCUGCGAGAUUGAUUUAAUGGAGACCAACCUCAGUCGGGUGGAACAACUGAGACGGACCUGGCAGGGCUGUCAGGCACAGGAACUCCACAUGUAAGCUUGGGGCAUUCCCUGUCAAGACCAUGUGAGGGAUGCACAUUCAUGUGCAUGUUUGCACGCUGCAGCGCACUCUGAGUGGCUAGCUGACAUCAUCAACUGGGUCUUUCUGCCACCAUGUUCUCUGUGAUUGUCUGUUCUGGGGCACUUUUAGUUGCUGACUGAUGGGCCUAUCAGCUUCUAGGGUGAGAACCAGCGCUUUAAGGCUGGAGCAGGUUAUCUCCAUUUGUGCUUACUUGGGCUUCUCUGAAGAGCCAGUGCAGCAUGUCAAACUGAGAUCGGAGAGACCUGAGUUCAAGUCCCUGUUCAUCCAAAAAGCUCACUGGGUGCCCUUGGGUCUCUCUCUCUCUCUCUCUCUCUCUCUCUUUCUCUCUCUUUUCCUCUCUUUCUCUUCACCUAAGGUAUUAGGUUAUUGUGAGGGUAAAAUGGGUUAGCCCCUUGAGCUCCUCAGAGGAAGGGCAAGAUGCAUGCAUGGUAAAUAAGUAAGUCUGCCACAACUCACAUGAAUGGCAAGCACUUCCUCUUGGACUACUGACCCGGCCUAGUCCUGAUAGCCUGGACUAGCAUAUGAGCCCUCCCACUCCUCCAGCCUCUCAAGUAGGGAUGCCUGAUGCUUUUCACUGAAGAUUAUCACUGUGAUAUGCAGAGGAUUGGCAAAUAGUGCCUUACAAAAUAUUAUCGUCCCUCCUGUGGUGGUGCUUCAACCUGCCUGUCCCUGCUCCACUACACCACUGGUUUCUACUGGCAAACUGAGGGUAUGGUCACAUUGCCACUUUCGCUGCAUCCAGUGUGCUUCCACUGCUAAUUUUAGAAGCAUUAAUGAGACAUUUGCCACACUCCAUAUUGAUCCUGUAGUUUCUUGACAAAUGCUGCUGUUUGAGGCACCCCCCCUUUCUCAAACCGGCUUCCAUCCAGGUAGAAAACUGGAUGUGGAAUAAGUGGUAAUCUGAAUUUCUGAGGUACAUGAGUGUGCAUGUACAGAUCACAGCUUCAUGGAGUUCCCGAAGUAGUAGUAGUAGUAGUAGUAAUAAUAAUAAUAAUAAUAAUAAUAAUAAUAAUAAUAAUAAUUAUUUAUACCCACCCAUCUGGCUGGAUUUCCCCAGCCACUCCAGGCGGCUUCCAACAAAAUAUUAAAAUACAGUGGUCUGUUAAACAUUAAAAGCUUUCCUAAACAGGGCUGCCUUCAGAUGUCUUCUAAAAGUCUGGUAGUUGUUCUUCUCUUUGACAUCUGGUGGGAGGGCAUUCCACAGGGCGGGUGCCACUACCGAGAAGACCCUCUGCCUGAUUCCCUGUAACUUGGCUUCUCGCAGCGAGGGAACCGCCAGACGGCCCUCGGUGUCUGGGGAGAACAAUGGGGGUGGAGACGCUCCUUUUUUUAUAUAAGAUAUUUAUUAAGGUUUUCAAAAUAUUACAAAAUAAAAAUAGAAAAAAGAAAAAUACAAAAUAAAAAUAGUUAAAAACAAGUCAAUCUUUCCAUUACUUAUUUUUCAUUAGCUUAUUUCCCGGACCUCCUCACGCCUCCCUUUUUUGUAUUCCAGUUCAGUUUGUUGGUUCAGCAAAUCCUUCCCCUCUUUGAUUAUCCUAAUCUUUAAUCUUAAAGUAUUGUAACAUUAAAUUUUUACCUGUUAGUAAUCCAUUUUUCAUAUUCCCUUAUAAUAUUUCAGCUAAAAACCAUUUAAUUUCUAUCCAACAUCAUUCUAACAUUCAUUAAUUUUACAAUAUUUCUGUAAAUAGUCUUUAAAUUUCUUCCAAUCUUCUUCCACCGACUCUUUUCCCUGGUCUCGGAUUCUGCCAGUCAUUUCCGCCAAUUCCAUGUAGUCAAUCACCUUCGUCUGCCAUUCUUCCAGAGUGGGUAGAUCUUGUGUCUUCCAAUACUUUGCAAUGAGUAUUCUUGCUGCUGUUGUGGCAUACAUAAAAAAAGUUCUAUCCUUCUUUGGCACCAAUUGGCCGACUAUGCCCAGGAGAAAGGCCUCUGGUUUCUUCAAGAAGGUAUAUUUAAAUACUUUUUCAAUUCAUUAUAGAUCAUCUCCCAGAAAGCCUUAAUCCUUGGGCACGUCCACCAAAGGUGAAAGAAUGUACCUUCAGUUUCUUUACAUUUCCAACAUUUAUUAUCGGGCAAAUGAUAGAUUUUUGCAAGCUUGACUGGUGUCAUGUACCACCUGUAAAUCAUUUUCAUAAUAUUCUCUCUUAAGGCAUUACAUGCCGUAAAUUUUAUACCUGUGGUCCAUAACUGUUCCCAGUCAGCCAUCAUUAUGUUAUGUCCAACAUCUUGUGCCCAUUUAAUCAUAGCGGAUUUCACCGUUUCAUCCUGAGUAUUCCAUUUCAACAGCAAGUUAUACAUCCUCGAUAAAGUCUUAGUUUUGGGUUCUAACAGUUCUGUUUCUAAUUUUGAUUUUUCCACCUGGAAGCCAAUUUUCUUAUCCGAAUUAUAUGCCUCCAUUAUCUGAUAAUAAUGAAGCCAAUCUCGCACUUUGUUUUUUAGUUUCUCAAAACUCUGCAGUUUCAAUCUGUCUCCCUCUUGUUCCAGAAUUUCCCAAUAUUUUGGCCAUUUGGCCUCCAUAUUGAGCUUUUUCAAUGCUUUCGCUUCCAUCGGUGACAGCCACCUUGGGGUUUUAUUUUCCAAUAAAUCCUUAUAUCUUAUCCAGACAUUAAACAAUGCUUUCCUGACAAUAUGGUUCUUAAAUGCUUUAUGUGCUUUGAUCUUAUCAUACCACAGAUAUGCAUGCCAUCCAAAUACAUUAUUAAAACCUUCUAAAUCCAAAAUGUCUGUGUUUUCAAGAAGCAGCCAUUCUUUCAACCAGCAAAAAGUUGCUGAUUCAUAGUAAAGUUUAAGGUCUGGCAGGGCAAAUCCACCUCUUUCCUUUGCAUCUGUUAGUAUUUUAAAUUUUAUUCUAGGCUUCUUGCCCUGCCAGACAAAUCUAGAAAUAUCUCUCUGCCACUUCUUGAAACAGUCCAUUUUGUCCACAAUUUGCAAUGUUUGAAACAAAAACAACAUUCUAGGCAAUACAUUCAUUUUUAUCGCAGCAAUACGACCCAGCAGUGAAAGCUUCAAAUUUGACCAGAUUUCUAAAUCUUUUUUCACUUCGGCCCAGCAUUUUUCAUAGUUGUCUUUAAAUAAAUUCCCAUUUUUUGCUGUCAUGUUAAUCCCCAGGUAUUUCACUUUCUUAACCACUGUUAAACCUGUCUCAUUCUGAAACCUCUCUCUCUCAAUCGGUGUUAAAUUUUUCUCUAAAACCUUGGUUUUUAACUUAUUCAGUUUAAAUCCUGCAACCUGACCAAAUUCUUGAAUCAGUUCUAAAACCCUUUUGGUACUAGAUUCUGGCUCCUGUAACGUCAAUACUAAGUCAUCUGCAAAUGCUCUCAAUUUGUACUGUUUGGCUCCGACUUGUAUACCUUUAACCAACUGGUCCCUUCUAAUCAUAUUCAGCAAAACCUCCAGGACCGAUAUAAAAAGCAAUGGGGAGAUUGGGCAACCUUGUCGUGUCCCUUUUUCUAUCUUAAAUUCUUCCGUCACCACAUUAUUUACAAUUAGUUUAGCCUUUUGUUCUGAAUAAAUUGCACUUAUACCGUUUUCAAAGCCUUGGCCUACCCCCAUCCCCUGUAGGUUCUUCUUCAUAAAGCUCCAAGAGAUAUUAUCAAAAGCUUUCUCCGCGUCCACAAAUAUCAAAACAGCUUUAGUAUUUAUGUUCACUUCUAAUUUUUCCAAAAUAUUAAUUAUAUUCCUCAAAUUGUCAGACAAGUGUCUUCCCGGGAGAAAGCCCGCUUGGUCUUUAUGAAUCUCUUCCAUCAACACUUUUUUCAAUCUCUUGGCCAGAAUAUCUGCAAAAAUUUUGUAAUCCACAUUAAGUAAUGAUAUGGGGUGGUACUUCUUAAACUGAGUCUUUUCAGUCUCUGUUUUCGGUAUAAGUGUAAUAUACGCUUCUUUCCACGACUCUGGUGCCCUUUUCCCGUCCAAUAUUUCAUUGCAGACUUCCUUUAAAGGUUGUACCAACCACUCUUUCAAGGAUCUAUAGUAUCUAGAAGUCAGCCCAUCUGGUCCUGGAGAUUUGCCUAGUUGCAUGUUUUGAAUGGCACCUUCUACUUCCUGUUCAGAUAUUUUAUAGUUCAACAUUAGUUUGCUUUCUUGAGAGAUUUUUUGUAGUCCAUUUAUCUUCAAAAAUCGAUCUAUAUCCAUUUCUUUCUGUGGCCCUUGUGUAUAUAAUUGUUUAAAGUACCUCUGGAAACAGUUUCUAAUCUCAGCAGGGUUGUGUAUGUUCUUUCCUUCCACUUCUAAAUUUGUAAUAGUAUUUAAUUUUUGUCUUUUUUCAUUUGCCAAGCCAGCAAUUUCCCACAUUUAUUAGCUGAUUCAAAUGUUUUUGUCUCAUUUGUUUAAUUUUCCAUUCUAUUUCCUGAUUCAUCAUUUCCAUAUAUUGUACUUGAUAUAAUUUUAUUUCUCUCAAAAUCUCCUGCGACUUUGGUUUUGCUCUCAAUUUCUUCUCACUUUCUUUUAUUUUCUCCAAAAUUUUAUCUUUCUUCUCAUUUUGGCUCCUCUUCUUUAUUGCAUUCUGUUGUAUCAGGAACCCUCUCAUAACCGCUUUGCUUGCGUCCCAGAUUACUCUUUUUUUCAACAUUAGUGUUCAUAUUUAUCUCAAAAUAGUCUCUCAAAGUUUUUUGGGCCUUCUUAAUCACAUCUCCAUCUCUAAAUAAGGUGUCAUUCAUCCUCCAUCUGAAGGAGCCAGUUGUUAUUAGUUUCAUCUCCAUCCUUACAGCAUUAUGGUCGGAGCAGGUUUUUGGACAAAUUUCCACUUUCUUUAUCUUUGGUGCCAUUCCUCUAGUUACCCAUAUUUGGUCGAUUCUAGUCCAUGUCAUCUUGGCUUCAGAAAAGAAAGUUCCCUCUCUUCCCAAGGGAUUCUUUGUUCUCCAAAUGUCAACUAAGUCCAAGUUGUCUGUCAUCUCAAAAAAUGUUUUCGGUAGUCUACCAUCCUUGGUGACUACCUGUCUUUGUGCCUUAUCCAUGUUUGUAGAUACUACUCCAUUCAUAUCCCCCAUCAAAAUCAGAUUGUAAUCCAAAUAGUCCAUUAAGGUCUCAUGCAACUUUUUAAAGAAUUCAGAUUUCCCCUCGUUCGGUGCAUAAACUCCUACUAUCAGAAAUUUCUCUCCUUGUAUUUGAAUUUCAAUUGCCACAAAUCUUCCUUGACCGUCUUUAAAAAUAAAUUUCGGUGAUAAUCUCUCCUUUGCAUAGAUCACUACUCCUCUUUUUUUGACUUUGUCAGAUGAAAUAAACUCCUGUCCCAAUCUCUUAUUAAUCAAUAUUUUCCUAUGUAGCCUUAUCACGUGUGUUUCCUGAAGGCAAAUCAAGUCCAAUUGUUCCUUUUUUAAUAAACGAAAAGAACUUUUCCUUUUCCGAGGAGAGUUAAGACCAUUACAAUUCCAACUUAAUAGUUGCAGAGCCAUGAUGUUAUUACUUUGCUUUACCUCCAACUGCACCAAGUGUUUGUUCUUGUUCUGUCGGUGGUGUCACUUUCUCUGAACCAUGCAAUCCAAAAGAUAAGUUUGCUAUAUCUAAUAUUCCUCUUUCCAGUGCUUUUGGCUCUUCUCCAGAUUCCACUUCUUUCUGUAAAUCUUUUCCGUGGUCUUUCAAGAAUCUAUCUUUAUCGUCGACUGAUCUUAUUUUAAUCUUUCUUCGUUUAUAUUUAAAGGACAGGCCUUGGGGAAAUUCCCACCUGAAGAUGAUUCUGUUGCUUCUCAGCAGGGCAACCAGGUCUCCGUAGUUAGAUCUUAAGUCCAAGAGAUGUUUUGGGAUGUCCUUAAAUAUCUCCACGCUUGACUCAUGUAUUUCCAAAGUCUUUCGGAAGUGCAGAUUCAAGAUUUUGUCUCUCUCCUCUUUUGUUCGAAGGGUAAUCAAACAGUCUCUCACCUUAUUCUUCUUUCCUCCUCUUCCAAGCCUAAAUGCGUUCACUAUCUUAAAUUCUUCCUUCCCCAAAUCCUGUUGCCAGAAAUCUGCAAAUUCCUGCGUAAGAAAGUCAGUCAAGUUAUCUUUCUCAAGUUCCGGUACAGCCCUGAUUCUCAAAUUCGUUUGUUUCUCCUUCAAUUCAAUCAUGGACAACGUCAACCCGUGGUCCUCAAGUUGCCUAUAUAUCGGUGGUAUCUUCUCUUGAGUAGUAGUUGCUAUAUCCUUUGCUUCUUCAGCUGUCUUUCGGGUCAAAGCAGAUUCCUGUAACAAUUUCUCAAUAGUCUCUGUAUUGGUAUUCACCUUCUGUCCCAAAUUAUUGAUACUUGUAGUAUUUUGGUCAAUUUUAACUGAUGCUUCCGCUACUUGUUUAUUUGUUUCAGCUACUUGUUUACUUAAAUUUUCCAAAGAUUCAUUAAUUUUUCCUAGUGCCAGGGCUAAAACGUCUUCAGACGACAUUCCUUUUGGUUUAACUUGUAAGGGUGCAGCCCCUGAUAAUCCAGAUGGUCCAGAAGGGCCAGAUGUUGAGGCUCUUCGCUGCGACCCAGUAUCUGUACGGAAAGAUCUGCCAGACCUGGUAGUUUUUUCCUGAAUCAACUCUAACUUUCCUCUUCCAUCUGCCAUAACACUCUCAUAGAAGUCCAAGGUCAAUCCCACGGCUGGAAUUUAUUUUGAAAUGGAAAAUUCCCCUAGCCCAGUUAUUAUUGUAGCAAUAUCGAACCUCCUCUAGGGGGACACAGUAGCAGUCAAAGCUUGCAACUUUAAGAAAAAAAUAAUCUUUAUAAAUCCCCCAAUUCAGUUUCAAUUGAACUUAAUCGGUUACUUUUAAACCAGGAGAAGUCCAGAGACACUGUAUCUCUCUUGCAGUUAGCUAUCAAAAGUACUCUAUUUGCCAAUAGUGCUUUUCACAAAACGGCAUUCCUUGUCCCAAGGCAGUCCGUUCCCAGGAUCUAAGCGGUGGAUUUUAGCUUCGUUUCCCUCCUUUUUUUGCAGAUAAAUACAGUUCAAACCUUUCCCCCCUCCUCUCCUGCAAACCGGAGGGGAGAUCGCUUUUCUGAUGUUAGGAUUUGCGUCCUUUUUCAAACGUCUUUCAAAGUUUCCGCUUACAGUCUCUUUGCUUUGAUCUGUUUACAAGAAACGGAAGGCGGACUUCCUGUUUAUGCCUCCCCGCUUCGGUUCCGAAUUAUUGUUUUUCUCCCUUUAAAUCCAAUUUUAUCCUACUCACGGGUAGUUACUUUUGAAGUCGAAUUGUCCCAGGAAAAAGUCAGCGCUCUCCGAUAACGGCUGUGCGGCUUCACUCCGCGGAAGAAGCAGUCGACUCUCAGCACCGCGCCGCUCACCCCGUUUCGCUCCGGAGCCCAAAAAUGGGUUCCUUCGCAGAUUGGGGGGGCGCAAAAGGUGCCCGCCGAGUCCCACGUUCACAGGCUUCACCCGCCUGUGACUUUUGAAGGGUCCCCGCUUCGCCGCAGCGGUGCAGACCCGAUCCCGCGGAGCUGGUCCCUCAGAAAGUCAGAGGGAAUCCGCCAUUACCGAUGGCGCCAACCCGGAAGCCUCCUUCAGGUAUACUGGACCGAGGCCGUUUAGGGCUUUAAAGGUCAGCACCAACACUUUGAAUUGUGUCGGAAACAUACUGGGAGCCAAUGUGGAUCUUUCAAGAGCGGUGUUAUGUGGUCUCGGUGGCCGCUCCCAGUCACCAGUCUAGCUGCUGUAUUCUGGAUUAGUUGUAGUUUCUGGGUCGCUUUCAAAGGUAGCCCCACACAGAACACAUUGCAGUAGUCCAAGCAAGAGAUAACUAGAGCAUGCACCACUCUGGCGAGACAGUCCGUGGGCAGAUAGGGUCCCAGCCUGCGUACCAGGUGGAGCUGGUAAACAGCUGCCCUGAACACAGAAUUGACCUGCGCCUCCAUGGACAGCUGAGUCCAAAAUGACUUCCAGGCUGCGCACCUGGUCCUUUAGGGGCACAGUUACCCCAGUCAGGACCAGGGAGUUCUCCACACCUGCCCGCCUCCUGUCCCCAAAAAAACAGUACUUCUGUCUUGUCAGGAUUCAACCUCAAUCUGUUAGCUGCCAUCCAUCCUCCCAAGUGUGUGGUUUGCAGGGGUGAGGAAGCCCAAAGGGUCCUGCACUUUGGGUGAAGAUAGCCCCACCCCUUGAUGUGAACAACCCUGUGCAAAUGCGGCUUGAAACACAGUGGGAGGAACUGACCUUGCUGUAGUAUUUUAAGCUGCUAAUGUGAACAUACCCUGAGUUUUGCAGUAGCCCUGCCCUACAGCCUAGAACUAGGGGAUUCCAAUGCUGGGAUAAGAUUAUGCCUGCGUGACCGGUUUGACCCCAGUGGCUCAGCCUUGGGAGGUCUGUUUAGUCAUGAGCAUUUAUAUAGUGGAGGCUUGUGCUGAGAAUUUUGGCCUAAGCACAUUGCAAUGAAGUUGGCAGGGGACGGAUGGACACUGUGCUGUGCCAGCUGCUAUUUGCCUUGCAGAAUGGCCACCUGCAGUGUGAUCAAGGGAAGCCCAGCCAGGGUCAUUUUGCAGCCACUAAUUUUUCAUUAAUUUGAUUCCAUGGCAGCAUCGGUUCAUUAAACCCUUUGGGAGAAAAUUGCUCAUCAUGCAGAUUCACAAAAACAGCUGUUCACAUCUGUGAAACGAAGCACGGAUCUGGCAAGGAACAGGCUGAGGCAAAGAUGCUCACUUGGUGCACUCUGCAACUAGCCUCCUCUCCCCAUACACUUUUGGCCCUACUUGACCUUUAGCUGGCCUCUUCUCCUCUGAUCAGAUGGGAAACACUUCUAAAACGGGGUACUGAGCAGCAUUGCAUUACACACAAGUUUCCUAGAGCACCCAUCCUGAAGCCAAUAACCUCUGUGCCUUAGACAAUUUGCUUUAAACUUAUUGUAUAGUCAUGAGCAGAAUUUGCAUCUUGUAAGUAAGGGUGAGAAGUCACAACAGAAACAGUAAAGGGCAAGGCAAGUUGAGGGGAGCUGGCGUUUUGGAUGCAUUCCAAAUCUCACUGUCUUUCCCAGGAUUGAUUGCCCCAGAUUGUUGCCAUCAUCUUGCUCUGUCCUCAAGAGUUUGCUAAUGGAUUAGAAUCCCCAACUCCAUGCUGUAGGGUGCAUUCUCAAAAAUCAUUUAAAUGUGGUUGCAAGGAGCAAUACAUAACAGUUUUAUUAAUUUAUACAUUAUUAAUUUGUAUAUUAAUGGCUUUCUGUUGCAGCUGCCUACGUUGAGGUUGACUAUCAGAGAAAUAUGUCCCUGCUGAAAAAUGUCAUUGGGAACAAGAGGCCUGGGCAUGUUGUGGAACCACCUGCUUGAAGUAUUAUGCAAGAUGCUACUGCACAAUUUCUGGUGAAGUGGGGAGGGAGGUACACACACA